rnacentral:lncRNA from 1 species
UGCUUAGAACUAAUUAAGAGAGAUUCUAAUAUCAAUCCUAGUCGAUUUAUACAAAAGUAAGUUAACAAAUCAGAAUUGUCUAAAAUUAUAAGAUUUAUAGGCCAUAAUUCAUAAUUUUAUGGUUAAUGUAAAAGUUUGAAUGCUUUUUCCCAAUAAAGACGUGAAUUAUGACCUAUAAAUACAUUCAAAGUUUUCAAGUAAAUGUUUACGGGCUAAUGUAGAAUUUAACGAGAUUACAAUAUAUAAUUAUUAUAUAAUGUAGUCUCGUUAAAUCUGUUCAAUUGAUAGUUAUUCAGGGACAUCAAAUGCAGAGAUGCGGAUUCAAACUUAUGAUAUUUUAUUUGUUCAUUUUUAAAUGAUGAAUUUCAACCACUAAACCACUUAAUAAAAAAUAAUUUUUACCAAAAGGCAAGAUGUGUAAACUUAAAGACUCUUCGACCUAAUAUGCUUCUUCUUUUUUUGAAUAAAUUCUACUUUUUUUUAAUAAAAAAGUCAUUUCAUUAAAAGAUAACAAUCGAGCACAAAUUAGAAGCAUAAUUAAAGGUGGGUAUAAAUCUCAACCAUGUUUUAUAACAUAUUACAUUAUUAAUCUCAAUCAAAUGGUGGGCUUCAACAUUAAGGUUCCUACCAACAAACAGAACAGAAGCUGCAAAAUUCUUUAGAAGCAUUGUGCAAUCAAGUUUUAUGGGUUCAAGAAUGGCACAUGUCUUUAUCAUAUUCACACGAUCAACCACAAUGAAGGCGUCAGAAUGAACCAAGAUCCUCUUCAGUUUUAACUUCACUGCUACCUGAACUUUCCACCUAAUAGCUAGCGCUUCUGCAACGCUAAGGCAUGUAGAACUCUCAAUUUUAUUGCUUGCAGACAACACUACUCUCUUCUCAUUGUCUUUAAUUACAUACCUCCAAACCACAUAGUCAUUAAGAAAACACCCAUCAUUCACAUGAAUUGUAUGGAAAUCCUUUGGACAAUUGAGAACAUCACUUGUCUCAGCAAGUUUCUUCCUCACAGUCAGGCAGGGGUUAGAUUUGUUGAAUUCCAACACAUAGUCCAUAGCGCUUCUCGCUACAACAUCUGGGGCAGGAGCCUCAUUCUUAAACACCCAUAAAUUUCUCGCGUUCCAAAUUUUCCAAAGGAUUGUGCACACCAAUUGGACUACAAAAGCCUCCUUAAGAUCAAAAUUUUCUCCAACCAAUCUAACAAACCAGAGUUUGUUAGAGUUCAAUGACCAAUCGAGGGUGAUAACCACGCCAUUUUUGAGAAAGCACAUUCCAAGAAUAUAUGAUGAGUGGUUUCAAGGGCUAUGUGGUAGAAGGAACAGAGAGUUUCGAGACAAAUACCUUUCUUUUGCAUAUUACCUUUGGUUGACAAAAUGUUUUUCCCUAACCUCCAGGUGAAGUUUUUUAUUCUCGCAUGGAAAAGGGCUUUCCAGAUUCUCUUCCACAACAUUGCAUGAGAAGGACUCAAGGAGUCUUCUUUCAUUGCUUCACGCUUUGCUCCCAAUAGGUGAUAUGUUUUGACUUGACUGUGUAUUCUCCCUUUUUUCCUUAUGCUAGAUCAAUUUAUCUUUUGGUCUUCUGAUAGAGAGGGGUAUACUGUUAAUCUACUUAGCUUCCUCAGGGUCGAAACAAGCAUCCACAAGGUCCUUGUUACAUUUGCAAAAGUCACAAUCAAUCAAUUCCUUCACCAAGGCAUCUUUAUUUAGACCUCUAGCUGCGCUGACAACUUUGAACCCAGGGUUAACCGGUAACUAAUUAUCCUUCCAAAUUCUGACUUUAGCCCCAUCCCCAAUUCUCCACCUCGAUCCAUCCAUGACCAGCUCCCUAGAACUCAGAAUACUAUGCCAAGCAUAACUAGGUGCAUGGCCCAAUUUCGCCUAUUGUAUAUAACAAUUGGGAAAGUACAUGUUCUUCCAAACAUCCCUAAAAAGAGAAUUACUCUCAAUAUGAAGUCUCCAUAAGUGUUUUCUAAGUAGACUUAAGUUAAAAUCUACAACCCCUAUAAAACCCAUACCUCCUAAACCUUUUGCUUUUUCCAUUUUGUCCCAACUCAUCCAGUGCAAUUUCCUCUCCCCAUUUUUAGCUCCCCACAAAAGCCUUUCCAUGAGCCCUUCAAUAUGCUUUCACACUCCUUUAGGGAGUUUGAAAAAGCUCAUAAUGUAACUAGGAAUAUCUUGAGCAAUUGCUUUAAUUAGAACUUCCUUUCUUGUUCUUGAUAGAAAACCUUCCUUCCAACCUUUCAUAUUCUUCCAAAUGCGCUCUAUAACAAUAGAAAACGCCUCUUUCUUUAAUCUUCCUAAUACAACCCGUAUACCCAAAUAUCUCGAGUGAGAUAGCACAGUCUUAACUCUCAUCCUGUUAUAGAUCGUAUUUUUAACUUCAUCACGCACAUUUCGACUGAAAGAGGCCUCAGACUUGUCAAGAUUGACCAUUUGUCCUGAAUCUUUUUUGUAAGAAGAUAUGACUUCCAUUAUUCUUUUUCUUUUGUAGAUGUAGCUCUUGCAAAAAGAAUACUAUCAUCGCAAAAAACAAGUGUGAAAUCUUUGGAGCUCUCCUUGCAACCUGAAUCCCAUGAAUGUUGUUUAAAUUAGAUUCCUUCUUCAGCAAGCCAGACAGAACAUUUGCACAAAGAUCAAACAGAUAAGGGGAAAGGGGGGUCCCCUUGCUGAAGACCCCUCUCUAGAAGGAACUUUUGACUAGGUUUCCCAUUGAGAAUGACUUGGUAUGACAUAUAAGAGAGAUGUACCUAUUGAUCAACUUCAAUAAUCUCUCUGGGAAUCCCAUAGCUUCUAACACUCAAACAACAAAACUCCACUCCACCUUAUCGUAUGCUUUCGACAUAUCUAAUUUUAGGGUCAUAACCCAUUUCUUCACUUUCGUCCUUUUCUCCAUCCAGUGGUAACAUUCCAUGGAAACUAAAGCAUUAUCAGUAAUGAGUCUCCCUUUGACAAAGGCACUCUGCUCUACAUCAAUGAUGUACGGAAAAAUGUGUUUUACCCUAUUAGCCAUCAUCUUCAACACCAACUUCAUCCCCAUAUUGCAUAAGCUGAUUGGCCAAAACUCCUUUAUGGACUUAGGGUUUUGGCACUUUGGGGUCAACAUAAUGAUGGUUUAAUUUAACUCAGCUGGCUCCUGAUCAUUGUUGAGGAUAUUCAACACCAUUUUCUUGACAUCAUUUCCUAUAAUAUACCAAUAUUUUUGAAAGAAAAGACCUGGUAGCCCAUAUGGACCUAAAGCCUUUAAGGGGUGCAUCUAGAAUAUAACUUCCUCAACAUCUUGUUCAGUGAACAGACCUUCAUACCAAGCUUUGCUUUCAUCACUAAGUUUUCCUUUAACCACCUCACAAGUUGUCUGAAUAUUUGUUGGACCAAAAGAGGAGUAAAGUUCAGAAAAAUGGGAGAGAAGGAUUCUCUUUCAAUUCUCCCUCCCUCUCCACUACACCUCAUCCUCGUCGCUGAGUUUGCAAAUAUUAUCUUUUUCCUUCUCUAACCCGUUUUUCCAUGGAAGAACUUCAUAUUUUGAUCUUCGUCCUUCAACUAAACCGGCCUACUACGUUGCCUCCAUAAAACUUCUUUCGCUUUCAGCAGGUUACUUAUUUCAUUCUCGAGGGAUUUGUAUGCUUUGAUAUUCUAUUUGCUAGGGGACCAUCUCACAUCAUCCUUCAAUAGAUCUUCUAUGCGCUUUAUCUCCUUUCUCACUGAUCCACACCUAUACUCUUUGAAAGUUUUCCCUAACCCGAACAUAACCCUCAACUUAUUAUAACCUGCAAAAGCGUUAGACUCCCAAGUUUGUCUCACGAUUCCUUUGCAUAUUCUGUCUCUAGACCACACAUCUUUGAAUCUGAAAAAUGUGUCAUUUGACCAUAUCCUCAGUCUCCACUUGUCUCUCUAACUCAAUUCUUACUGCAACAUGAUCUAACCCAUAGUGAGGAAGGUGCUCGCCUUAAUUGGUUGGAAUCUUGAGAUCUCAACGGAAGUUGUGAAGACUUUAUCUAAACGACAUAUUGUUAUAUCUUUCUAUCCCGUUAUACCAUGUGAAUGGGUACCCAUCAAAACCAAGAUCAUGCAAUCUAGAAGCCUCCACGACUUGCCUUCCCCAAUGAAAUUGACUAAUCGACCUAGAAUUUCAGCCUUCUUUUUCAUUGUUUGCUAAAAUGUCAUUGAAAUCGUCGAAGUAAAGCCAUUUGGCUUCAGUCUACUGUUGAAGUUGUUGAACUAAUUGCCACAUAUUCCUCUUAUUAUUCUCCUCGGGGUAUCCAUAGAUACACGAGAGAAACCAAGGAUGUUCAUCUUAUUCGUCUACUACAGGUCCAUUGAUAUGAUUUAUAGAAAAGGAGGUAAUUGUGAGCUUUAAGUUUUCCUUCCACAACAGGGUGAUACCUCCUACUCUAUCUUUUCCCUGACCACUACACUCCAUUAUGAAACUUUAAUCCAUACCCCUUUUAAGCUUAACAAUUAGCAUCUCCUAUUCUUUUAGUCAAAUUUCCAUCAUAAAGAUCAGGGAGGGGUUUUCCAAACAAAUUAGCCUCAAUGAGGCUUGAACUGCACGGGGGUUCCCCAAACCUCUGUAGUUCCAAUGGAAAAUUUUCGUUGGAUUAAGCGGUGUUGGUCUUACAAUACCACCUAUAUAUUUUGAUAUGAUACUUCCUUAUUUUCUAUCCCCUGCUUCCUUUUCUUACCAUAGCUCCCUAAAUCACCCAGUGACCUAUCCAUAACCAUCACAUCAACUAGGUUUCUCUUGCCGUUUUCAAACUCAUUGUUCUUCAAAUUAUUCUUACUCGCCCUCUUACUGGAUUUCUCCCUACUCCAUUUAUUCCCUUUGUUCUUUCCAUGGAUUUCUAGGGCCUUGUCUAACAAGGGGUUGUUGUUGAUGGCUAUAUCACCCAACAAACCUGCCACUAUUUCAAUCUUCAGUUCAUCUGAAGUUGAUUUUCCAUUUCCCACUUUCUGAGUGACUCCAGGUUUCCUUUUUACCUCCCUAUCCCGCAUGACUUUUGUUUCUCCUUUUUCUUCCCUCUCUUUUGUACCACAUAUACUUUGGCUUGAGGAUAGAUUGAAGAGGAUUUUACUGCAUGUUCCAAAACUUAAUUCCUUGUUUCUCUGCUCUUCAUAUACCAUUGGCAAUGGGUAUUCCCUUAACCACAUCCCAUAAGAAAGCUCUUGUUCAAAAACAUCUUCAUACCCUUCCUCCCCCAAAUCUCCCAUUGACUCGCAAUCCUUCAGUUGAUGCCUUGCUCUUCCACAGACAAAACAGAAAGUAGGGAGUCUUUCAUAUUUGAAAAAACCCUAUGAAUUUUCUUCUUAAAACAAACUAACGUACCCCUUUCUAAUGGUUGCUUCAGAUUCACAGUUGCCUUUAUUCGAAGAAAAUGCAUGUUUCGGUGGAUGUCCUUGGAGUCCAUCUCUUCAAAUGUUCCAAGAGUGUUUACAAUUUUUCUCUCCAUCGCCUCAUAUCUAAGAAUGAGGGGUAAAUUAUAGAUUCGUACCCAUAAUUAGUUAAAGUGAAUGUCCACACAGACGAUUGUUCUUCUUCAGACACUCUCCUCAACACCAAAAGAUUUCUAUCAAAGUUCCAGGGUCUAGUAUAGAAGAACAUGAAUGCAAUCUUAUAUAAAUAUAGACCUUUAUAUAAAAGUAUAGAAUAAGAUGAACCUAAAGUUAUAUAAAUCGGAGCCUUAAAGUCACUUUUAAAAUAAGGUCCUUAAAAUAUAUUUUAAAAUUUUAAUUUUGUAGUUUAACUAUUGUUAAGAGUUGAACUAAAGACCAAAAAUAUAUAAGAUCUUUCUUUUAUCCACUUCAUUAUGAAAAAAUAUGUAAAAUAUAUGUUGUUUUAUAUAUUUAUAACUAAACUAAACUUUUUGAAGUCUUUUUUGGCCCAAAAUUUUGAUGUCUAAAGUCCUUUUUGGUUCGCCUUACCCUUGGGCCAAUCCUGCUCUACUCCAAUACAAAGGUCUACUAAGCCAACGCUAUCUUCAAACAUGUCUUUAAUCUGGACAUAGACUUCCCUUAUUUAAUUUGAGGCAUGCACUAAUAUCUAGUAUAGUUGCCCUAACAAAAAUAAUCUUGGUCGCCUCGAUGUCUUCACAUGUCAUAGGGAAUGUGUGAUCAAUAACACCCACCUCCAUGUCCUUGUUCAUAAUGAGGGGGACUUUAUUAAUCAUAUUCUGCAAUAAUAUGCUAGGAGACAAACCACACAUCAACUAUAAAUAGAGGAUUUAACAUGAACCAAAAUAAUCUCAUUCCUACCCUAAUAUUCAGAGUUCUAAUAAUGUCACAAGGCGAUAAGAACUCCCCAUAAUCAUAUAUCUCAAGUUCUUAUUUAUAGUAUGUUGUUAGCAAGGUCCCCCACCUCGAUUUCAACAAGAACAUUUGACGCCUAUCAUGAGGCCGAGUAAACAUAAUCCCUCAUUCACAUAAAUAGUUGAUUCAAAUAAGAAGAUGACACAAACAAGAACACCCGAGGAAAGUGAAGCCCUGACCAUUAUUCGAGCUACCAUGGAUGAGUUAUGAUGUAAAAGUGAGAUCCUACAUAUGCAAGUAGAGGAAAACCAAUAAAUGGAUAUUAUUAGAGUGGUAGAACCACUUAUAUCCAAAUUCUUUUUAGGAUCCCUUAAAAAGGAAGCAUUAUUGUGGUACAUGAGUUUUAUCUCAAUACUCACUCACCAAGUACUCUGAUUUUUCUUAGAAAUUGGUGCAUCAAUUUCGAGAAACAAACAUCAAAUGAUAACAACAAUAAAAUUAUUUAAUGUGUUCUGUGUAAACUCAAAUACCGUAAGGGACCACCUGGUCUUAUUUAACGAGAUUACUAUUGGGAUUGCUAACCCUAAUCAAGAGAUGUUCAUGGGAAUAUUUCAAAAUAUAUUGAAACCCAUACACCUCAACGAGUGCUUAACGGAGAAGUUGACCGACAACAUGUAGGAAGUGAUGAAGUGGUCAUAAUGCUUCACCAAAGGAGAAGAAAACAAUUCUGAGAAAAUAAAUAGGGAUGCUAUGGAAAGAUAUCUUGAGCAAAACAACUUCCAAUGCUACAAGAAGGACACCUAAAGAACAAGUCAAGUUACAUGCCAGACAACAUAAGGCUUUAUGAUUUCCCAAAAAUCAUACUAAACAUUAUGAUAAUAGAGCUACUAAAAGAGACCAUACACACAAAGUUGAUAGAAAAACUAGCCAACCCAAAGGGCUAGUAUGACUACCACUAGGUGAAAGAUCACGACACUAACAAUUGUUUUCAUUUAAAAAGGGAGAUCGAUAGGUUGAUCCAAUAAGGAUAUUUGAAUAAAUACACAUAAGUUACUUGUUAAUCUUUUGCACUUAUAAUUAAUGAAUGUUUGAAACGAUCCAUAACUAGGAGGUUCAUAAGUAGUUUCAACCUUAUAUCCAAAGGUUGCAAAUGCAGAAAUGGUAUGAAACUUUUGUUUGAUAUAUUGUAUUGAAGGUGAAAAACACACAAGAAAAUGAGAGGGUUUGAAUUGCAUUGGAGUUUUAAAAUAUUUUCUAAAUGUUUAAGAUAAAAACUAAUUCAAACAAAACCGUUGAAGGUAAGGGGAUAAGGAAAGAGAAAUAGACAUAAAGAAUUUAUCAUGGUUCACCUCGACCAGCCAACCCCCCCCCCCAACAACUCAGAGUUACGUUCAGUCAGUAUGAUAUUUCUAGUCCAAUUGAGUUAUACCUUAGAUUUCUCAACAUUAAAUAACAAACUAAAACUUAGUAUCUUUAUCUUCUCAAAGAAUUAGACUACAACUUAGCCCUUAGAAAAAUACAAUCAAAUAAGAGAUAAUUUUUUGUGUUCAUAAAUAUCUCUCUGUGUAUGAUACACAAAAAUUAAGCACAAAAUACAAGUGUUUAAGCUUUCAACAUAAAAUGUGUAUGCAAUGAAGUCACAUAAUGCUUUGAGUAGAUAUUUUCAUUAUUCUUGAGUGGUGUAGAGCUUGUUCUCUAGAUGUUUGUUCUUGAAAGUUUUUUUACUUUAUUUUCUCAAAGUUGAUUCUUUCAAGUCUUGUGUGUAAUUAAUUAUAAGAGAAUUUGAGAAUAUAUAGAGUUUCCUUGAUUUUACCAUUGCAUGAGCCAGAAGUUGGAAUAAUAGUAGUUGUAGGACAUUGUACUAUCAAACCAGGAUAGUUUCACAACUUUAUACUCACAAUAGAAAUUGUCGUGUACUACUUGUACCUAUUUGUCGCGCACUACUUGUAUCUUGUCUACUAUUGCUAUUUGUCUCUCAAUUUUAAAUUUAUUGCGUUGAGAUGAAAAUCAUAAAAAUUAUUCUUUAAAGAAUAAAUUUUUAAACAUUAUUUUAUUAAUCACCAUAGGAUAAAUUCAUCAAAGGAUAACAAUUUAAUCUUCUAAGCAAAUCACCACAGUGUUGACUAUUAAACCUAGACUUGACUAAAUGAACAUAAUGAUACCAUGUGUAACUCUUGCUAAGGGUGAUGUUGAAAGCUUGUACCAUAAGGUAACAAAGCUAAGUCUUCAGCUUCAAGACACGUGUUUGGAUGGUGCUAUAUUAAAAUGAGUAAUAAUCAGUUUGAUAAAUGAUAUCUUUAUAUUCAUCUUUAAUUCAGGUGAUCAUUAUGUAGAAGCAGACUUGCAUGCUCUCUCUAGACUACAACAUUGGUUUUAGACACCUGUAACACAUAUUAGAGAGAAAAAAAAUUCUCUUACAUAUUGUUAAAUGGGUCAUUGUUCUUUCCAUUGGAGAUAAAAUUUAGGGAGCCUUUUGGUUACUGGUUAGAAAUUUUACAGAACUUUUUGCACACAUGUUGAAACUUCGUAGAGACGUUUGUCUUUAAGUAAUUUAAAUUUAAAAACUUGUGCUUGAAUGUUUAAAACUUUUGUAAGCAACCACCUAGUAGAGGAUUAAACACAAUGUGUUUGAUCAGCUAAAAAAUAAGGCAUUGGACAACACAACUCUAUUUGUCCUGCGUUUGAUUUAACAAAUGUUCACGAGACAUAACAAAAAUCAGGAUUAGAGAUUGGACAAAAAUUGAAAUUUUUGUCCCAAGCUAAAUCAAGACACGUGUACAAAAUAUUAAAAAAAAAUACUCUUUUAUUUUCUAUUAAAAAUACUCUCUCUCUCUCAUAUAUCUACUAUGUUCACGUGGACACGCCACAAUCUCAUUUAACGUUCACACAUCAACAAUAGUAACAUAUUAACAUGAUAGCAUAAAUAAUUUUCUUGAAAGAAUGCAUUUAAGUGUUUUGUAUAUUUGAAAUUUUAAGUUGACAUACAUUUCCAAUUUUGUGACCGUCAUACUGGUUUACUCAAUAAAAUAAAAACGUCCAUUAUCAUACAUUAUGAGUCUCAUAUUAAGAUGUCUUUCUUUAUUGAUUUUCGUUCGGAUGUCAAUAUGAAAUUAUCAAUCCUUUUAAUAUAUAUCUAGACUAGAUGAAUAAAUUUCCAAAACUCUGACUAGUAAAGUUAGUUAAACAUUUAUUAUUGAGCUAUUCUGCCACUAAAAGUCGUGGCUUACUACUUCUAUAAAAACAGACAUAUAGGCUAGGCACACAAAAUUUCCACAACUCAUUUUAAUGAUAGUCAGUUUUUAUUUUUAUUUUCUUACCGGAAGAAAUUGUUUUCAUUCAUUCAAAUUUAACAUCACUGAAAAUAAAAAGGGAUGCAUAUGGAAAUAAACUUACUUCAAUACAGUUAAUAAAAUAUAACAGUAAAAUACUUAAAGGGCAAUGUUAACUUGUGUCUUAAAUUUAAUACAACUUUAUAAUUCAUAUUUUUAUUGUUUUUUUCAAUAUAUAUUUUUUAUUUAUUGGUUUUUUAACAUGUGUCCUUGGGGCACAAGUUACCAUUACCCAUACUUAAAUAAUGUGGCUAUGAAAGUGAUUAAAACAUUGAAUGAAUUUGUGAUUAGUCGAAGUUAAUUUGUCAAUUUAAAUCAAAUAAACAUCACUUACUUUGUUUAUAAAUUUAAAAUUUUAAUUUGAUCUAUAAUAAAUUUAAUAGAUGAUUUUCAUAUUUAACAUCAUAUUUAUUCUAUCUCACACUAUAUUGUAUCUUAGGUUCGGCUUAUUUGAUUAGACCAUGUGAACAUUUAUCCGAAAGCUAAAAAGUUGAGCUACAAUUUACAUGUGGAAUCUAAAGUUCAAUUUAAACAUAUUUAUCAGAUGGCCAAAAAGUUCAACCUGCGAAGGAGUUCACUUCCCUAAUUUUGCAAUAUCUUAGGAUAUAAAUAAAAUUGUUAUAACAGUUGAAAUAUGUAGUUUCUAAAAAUGCAAAGGUGUGAUAAUUCUUAAUGAUUAAAGGUUAUCAUAAAUUGUAAGAUUGUCGUAUGGUUGAGAGCUAAUUCAUGUAGAGAUAGAUUUAUGUCUUAUAGUCAGGUUAGUCUAUCACGGUAUUGAGGUAUUUAUAAUCCCUAGGUCUGGACCACAAUCUUCUUAAGAUACAACAAUCUCUUCGGGAAUGGGUUGUUGACUCCCUUAAAAUUUAGGGAGCGUGAUUAAAUCUCACGACCCCCUAUGUAACGUCUAUUGACCUGAUACACGUUUCACACACGAUUGCGUAUUAUGGACAGAGACAGUAAGGAUUCAGGUGAUGUAAUCAGAAAGGGACUCUCGAACUAAUAAAUGAGAGACUUGGAAAGAAUGAUAGGCAAAGCGUCAUUCCCCCCCCCCCCCCCCUCUUAUGAUCUCUUACAAUUAUACCACUAUACAAACCCUCAAGCACGAGGGCUCGUAGAGGCCGAAGUAUUUUAACCCCUUACUCAUCUUUAGACUUUCUAUAGGAGCCUAGUCGAAGUUUCAAUUGAACCUUCUGAACGAGGUUUAGUUGAACGUUUGUGACAAGACUUAGUUAAGUCCCUAAGGCGAGACUUAGUUGAGUUCCAUAGGCGAGACUUCAAAUUUAAGGUGUCACCUUUGUGUGGUUGGUUAUAGGAUAUAUUCCUAGGUGUUAGUGAUGUAAUUCACGCGUCAUCUGUGAGAAUUUAAACGUCAAUCAAUUGAAAGAAAUUAAACAUUAGACAGUUGAGAGAGAUUAAGCAUCAGUUGGGCUAUGUGUGCAUUGCAUUAAAUGAAAUUUAUGAUGAUCUUUCUUCGGAAGUCGAAUUUGGCCUUACUCCCUACACGUGUGUUUAAUUUAAGGGAUCUUUCCCAUUUCUUGUCAAUGUUAAGACACACAUACGGUAGUAGGUGGCCCCUACAACUAGAUAUCUUUCUUUAUAAAACGCCUACUUGUUUUUCCUCUAAUAUUUUUCCCACUCAAGCUUUCAUUCAUAUAGUCGAGAAUUCGUACGAGUGCAAAACAAAUUUUCCCCAAUUUCUUGAUUAUAGUUAUAGGUAUGAAUCCAUUAUCCCUUGACUAUUUUGUUCUUGGUGUUUCUUUGGGAUGCUCUAAAGGAGUAGUUUCACUUUUAAUAUCACAUGUUAGGGAGAUGAAGGCUCAUCCAUCUUUGUAUUCUAAUGAAGAAAGGGUAACGGCAUUUUGGCGGCAGAUUAGACUUUCCAGUAUUGGGCACGAGGAAGACCUGAUCUUGGAGCCAUGUUAUGAAAGGGAGAGAACUGAUAUGGUUGUAGUGCAUGAUUUUCUCAUUCCCUAUUUAUACUUUCACCUUCCCAUUAUUUAUGAUUUGGGGGUCUCGGUCCCUUUCACACCAUUCGAGGCCAAAUUCUUGAGGACCGCCAAUGUCGCCCCUUCUGAAAUCACACCCAAUGUUAAUGGUAUUAUCAAGGCCAUCGAUAUUAUGUGUCGCUCGCUAGAGGUUACUCCCAAUAUUAGGGUAUUCCUUUCUUUCUACGGUGUUACACCAAAUCCCACGAGAGGUUGGGUGACUUUGUUUAGUCUUCUAGGGAAGAAGCUACUAGCACCCAAUUCCAACCCCUACCCUUAUUGGAAGGACAAGUUUAUGGGAUUCAAGAGGUUAAAUGGUGCUUCAAUGGUCAAGACUAGGGCGAUAAGAUCCCUCCCCCCCCACUUUCCAUUGUCUUGGACGAUUGAUCCGAAGAUCCCUACUGGUUUUUCACUCAAUGAUCGCACCCCCCCUUUGAGCGAGAGGUGGUUCAAAAAAAAUCGACUUCAAGUUUAUGUGUUCAUGUACCUUGAUCUCUUUAGGUAUAAGGGAUGACAACAGGAUAGUCGAAUAUCUAGGAUAGUCUCCUAACUUGUUUUUCUUUAUAUCAUUUGUACAAGAACAAUGUCAACAGAUCCAUUAACAGUGAGUGAGAAAUGAACAUUUGGCGAGAAUGAGGGUUGAGCAUGAACCGCCCUUUGUCCCUCUAAACCGCUCGGUUGGUCAAAUUUCAAAGGGGAACACAAAGCAUAUCAAGGAUUACCCUAUUCUUAAUGAACAUCCCUCCAAGAUCCCCAAGCAGGAAAAUGCUCUUCUGAAGAUCUUGAGGGCACACAGUUAACAGUUACUCAUAAUAUUAAUAUCAAAGUUGAACCCUGGUUAACUAGGGAUAGUCACCGCCCUUUCUCAUCCCUCUAGAGGCACGCCAAUUUUUUAUGUUGUCAAAUUUAAUAAGAUUAACCUCCCCUUCCAUGAGGAUUCCCCCUGACUACUGAAACCUUCACAAUAGAUCAUCCCAUGAGUUUUCAACAUAGCCGAAGCGCAUCUGCUAAGAAUUCUCUUAAUCACACGGGUUCAACAGGAAAAACAUUCUAAAAAUGUUGAUGAUCUGAAGUCUAAGCUUGCAUCGACUCAAGAAGCUUUCACUCAAUGCCAAUAAACAAUAAGUACCUUGGUGCAUGAGAAAGAUGAUUUAAAGGCUUUACUUAGAACGGUGGAAGGCACAAAUUCAUGUUGUUGCCGCCAUCACUAGACUAAAGAGUUCUUUAAAUGAGGACCUUAGUUAUUUCAAGAGACUUAAGGAGUAAAUAUAUAUACCCUUAAGGAUGACCCAGUUGAGACUUUUAAUCUAUAAUUUGAGCGGGCAAAGGAACACAUAACCUUUCUCUAUUCGGGGUUGGAUUUAAGCCAGAUGGAUUUGUUUAAAGUGGUAUGGGGGAGGUCAGCUGAUGGAUGACGAGUAUGUCCCUCCUACUGAGGAAAUCAUAAUAAAUGGGUCCCAAGUAGACGAUGCCCUUUUCUCUAGGGAUCCCUUAGAUGACCAAUGAUUCCAUAACUUGAUCCUUCAUGCCUUUAUAGUGUUGUAUAAGGUUUCUUUCCUAUCUCCUUUUAACAAUUUUGAAAUACUUUAACCCUUUUAAAUCUUUAAUCAACAAUAUGCUCUUAAUUCAUCUUUGUACACUAUCUUGUACUAUAACUUUAAAUGUUUUAUUUGAAACACACCGAACCAAGCUCCUUCAUUCCAAAUGCAUCCACCCUGUAGAAAUUCAUUUGAAAAAACACUAACACUUAACCUUGCACACUAACCGAACCUGCAAUUUCAUUUCAGCAGACCACAAAAUUGAAUUCCACGAUAAGUCAACAAACGCAGUGCACAGAGAAUCAAAACCAACCUACUAACUAAAAUUGCAACUUGCUAACUAACUCUAACAAAUUUAUAAUUCAUUUCCAACUAACUUGUGAAUUUUAGUAGAAUUUGAAUUUGCAUUUCUAACUGAAAUCGGAAGGACCUAAACUCUAUAAAUAUUCUUCACUCAUUCAUCAUCAAGGGGAUUACGAUUUCAUUUUCACCUAGCUAUGAUUUUCGAGAUUUCAAUCUUCAUCGCAAACCUCUUUUCACCCUCACACAGAGCUCUCUCAUAAAACUCCAUUAAAGUUUCGCCUUGAAGCUUCAAUAGAGUUGAGCUAUGCCUUACAUCGUUACACUCCCUCUCGAUUACCUUCGAUUGCAGAAGAAGUAACAGAAGAAGAAGAGAAUCAAAGGAAGAAGAUAAGAUCAAGAUUUACCUGGUUCAAGUGAUUUUCUGUCACAUCUUCAUCUUUUUUGAUUCAAUGUUCGCCUGAACAAAUCUCCGUUUCGGAGGUAAAUUUUCUUCUUCUCUGUUUACACCAAUCUUGUUACCAUUGCAUAGACAAUACUCUAGGGAUCAAUAGCCCUAAGGUUUGAGCAUGAAUCUGUGAGUCAUCAUCAUUUAAUUUAUCUUUGAAGACCUAGGGUUCUUCAUGAUUUCCCUUUCUGUUUGGAGUUUAGAGUAGCAAUCUGUUGAAAUUGACAUCGAUUUUGGAUUUAGCAUGUUGUCACGAUCCCGAUGAUGGUUUUAGUUUGGGCUAUGGUGUUCCACCGCCACCAGAGGCAAGCUCUGACGUGGUGGAUGAUGGUGCCUCGGUGACCUGAGUCCACUCUGAUAUCCCUUUAUGGUCUGGCGUGUGAUUUUGAAUUUCCCCUUUGAAACACUUAAUGUCAAUUCCACUUGCCCCUUAUAUUUUCAUUUUUGGGCUCAGUUGAGUUAGGCCUUGUGUAAUUUUUCUGAACCUAUCACCAAUUUUUUUUUGCACCUCCCUAGCUCUCACAACAAUUGGAUAAUGGGCCAUGCGCCUUAUUGGCUUAUUGCACCUUUGUUUGCAAUUAAUACCCCUCUGGUUUUGUAUUUGCUUUUGCAUUUUAUUCCAUUUUUGUUCCCUUUAAUUUCUUGCUAUUUAAUUUUUUAAUUUUUCUUGACUUGAUAUAGAAAUUAAUUGUUAGGGUGAUUAGUCUUUUUUAACAUGAUUAAUUGAUUUAGUUAGGAUUAAUUGUGUAUAUUAAUUCUUGAUUAAUUGAAAAUGAGUAGAAAAAUAUUGAUUUAACCUAGUUUGCAUGAUUAGGUUUAGAUUGUCAAGUACACGAUGAUUGUUUAUCACCUUGUGAUUUAAUUCUUCCAUGUUGAGAAUUUUAAUUCUUGAUUUAGGAUUUAAUUGAUUGGAAUUAAUUUUGUCCAUUUAGGUUUAAUUGAUCUUUUAGUCAUUUGUUUCUCAUAUGAAUUUGGAUGAUUGAGUUCUUUGAUUGAUUGCACCUUAACCAUUGCAUGAUCCCCUAGUUUAGGGUUUGCUCAGAAUCAGUUGAUAUAGUUUGACUAAUUAAUCCAUUAAGUUGUACAUAUUCCAACUGAUCUUUUCUCAUUGGUUGUGUUGAUCAAAGUUUACUUUGAUCCACCAAAUCCUUUGCAUUAUACUUAAUUCCCUAAGCCUGUUCAAGUGAUCAAAGACCCUUGAUCACUUGAUAGGGAGAGUCCCUUUUGCUUAAGUUGUACUGGAUCUCGGAGCACAAAACUUCAAACUCAAGUCCAAACUCAAACCCAAGCUCAAGAAUUCAAGCUCAAGUUCAGGUUCAAGACUUCAAGCUCAAGUCCAAGCUCGUGACUUCAAACUCAAAUUCAAGUUCAAGACUUUAAGUCAGUAUAAGGCAUUCACAUUGAAGACAUAAUGGACUACUGUUCAAAUCACAACAAAGGUGUAUCAACACUUUUCAAUCAUGAUUCAAGUUGUGUGUCAUGAGCCUUAAGCAAUAGAGAAGGGGUGAGAGGGAGCAUUCAUACCCUCAUUCUAAAUAUCUUUGGGUACAGGAUGAUGACCCAGUUGCUCAUCAUAUUCACCUCUAUUCAUAGACUUUAGCAUAAUUUAAAUCAAAUGAUUGUCAAGUCUCUCUUCACAAGCAACAUUGCAUCAUCAGGAUCAGCAAUCAGAAUCUUCUUCAACAACUUGUCUGUUAUGAUAAGGAUUACACGACACGAGCCUUAAGCAAUAAUGAAAGGGGUGAGAGGGAGCAUUCCUAUCCCCAUUCUGAAUAUAUUUGGGUACGAGACGAAUGACCCAGUUGCUCAUCGUAUUCACCUCUAUUCAUAGACUUUAGUGUGAUUCGAAUCCAGUAAUUAACAAGUCUCCUCCAUGCAAGCACCUCAAUUAUUCAAUACCACAAGAAGAAAUUAUGUUCCUCCAAUCUACUUUUGUGCCCCUUUCAGUUUAAACACUAUCUUCAAUCACCUUUGUUGAUUUAAACACCAUUGCAUUGCUUUCAGUUUAAACACCAUCUUCAGUCACCUUCUUCAGGUUUAAACACCAUUGCUUCAGUAUACAUGCCAUCUCCAAUUACUUUCCUUAGGUUUAAACAUUAUCCUAUCCUUUGAAAAAUCAUGUUCAACUACCUUUGUUGGUUUAAACACCAUUACAUUGCUUCAGUUUGAAUAAUCUUCCUGGUUUGAACACCAUUUCCCUUGCUUUGCUUGAGCCCUAUUACUAUUGCAUUGGAAUAAACCCCUUUUCCGGUUUAGGGUUUAAAUAACAUUGCCUUGGUUUAAACGCCAUUUUCUAGGUUCAAACACCACCAUCCGGUUUAAACACCACAUUAUCCUCCACCUUUCGGUUUAAACACCACUCCGCUGGUUCAAACACCAACCCUUCAGUUUAUAUACCACUUUUGGCCCAUACUUUGGUUUAAAUACUAUUUCUUUGGUUCAAACACCACUAUUCAGUUCAAAAACCAUAAUUUUGUUAUCCUUUGGUUGAAACACCACAAUUCAGUUAGAUUCCGAUUUAGACACCACAUCAAAGAAAUUAUGAUUACACUUCAAGUUCUUCCUUCGGUUCAAACACCAUUAUCCGAUUCAAACGCCACUUUUCCCUCAAUCAAUUAUAUAUCAAUUUACUCCAUCUUUUCACUUCAAUCAAUUUCAUUUGGUUCAAACACCACAAACACCAAUUCUAUCCAGUCCUCCUUUAUUUGUCCGUCCUAGUUUCAUAAACUACAGAGCUCUGACUUUCUCAUUGCACGGUGAGAGUACAUAGGCACGGGGAUGCGAAUCCUUGGCGAGCACCUUCCUUCACUUUCCCUUUCUUUUCUUUCAUUCUUUCAUCUCCCACCAUUAGUUCUAUGAACUACGAAGCUCUGAAUUCCUUAUUGCACUAUAAGGACACGUAGGCAUAAGGGCCCUAAUCCUCACUGAGCACUCUAUCUAUUUUGUUGUUUUUCCUUUAUUCUUUUGUAAGUAAUCUAUAGAUAUCACACCCAUUCGAGCAUAGAACAAUCAAAAUGGUUCUUGUUGAGUACAAUGGAUGUGACGGAUGUUAAUACCUUCCUCUUGCAUAACCGACUUCCUUACCCUUUUUCUCUUCCCCUGGGUUUUAUCGAUGUUUUCCCUUUCCUCUGGGAAUAAAUAAAGUUCGAUGGUGACUCUGCUGUAUCUUCGAGCGUGUGAUGCGCUCAAGUAUAUUUCCGCUAUCUUCACUUUGCUCAAGCACACAAGCAAGAGACUUCCUUUGCUCAAACACUAAAGUAAGAGACUUAUUUGCUCAAGCAUACAAGCAAGAGACUUCCUUUUGUUCAAACACUAAAGUAAGAGACUUCAUUUGCUCAAGCACACAAGUAAGAGACUUUAAAUUCUCAAACACUUAGUAAGAUACUUCUAACAAUCUACCUAGAUGACAAAUUAUUGUUGGGUGAAUACACUUGAUAUACAAUCAGAGGUGUAUAAGUAAUACAACUCAAUAAGAGUCUUUUAAGACUUAAGGAUUUCUAAGAUAUACAAGGAUAAGAAAUCCUAAGUUUAGCUUGUGUUUUUACUUUGACAAAGUAACUUCUCUUUUGUCAAUUGAUGUUUAUUAGCAUUUUUCGACAUUUAUAUUCAAUUCUUUUAGCUCCUUAAAUAUAUAAGAAAAAUAUUCAUUGAAGAUGAAACACAUUAGAGUCCUUUGAGAAGCUUCAAAAGAGACAUUGAGAUGUUUCACCGAAUUGUUAGGUAAGGUGAAAGCUUGUUUGAAAAACCUUUGCUACAAAAGGAAUUAGCAAUUGUAACCCAACAGACUUUAUGAAGAAAAUAGAGCUUAGGUCUUCACAUGAUAAAGUAUGUUCAGAGUUGAAUACUGACCUAUCAGUGUCACCUUGGUCCUUGCGCUUUGACUGGCUCAGGUUCUGGUCCAUAGAAGCAGACUUCUCUAAAGCCUGGUCUUUAGAGGAUGGCUCCUUCAGACUCUGAUCUUUAGACGCCAACCUCUUCAGAAGUUGACUUCUCCAGAGUCUGGUCUUUAGCUUCUGAUCCAUCAUAUUUUGAUCUUCAAGCUUCUCAUUUAAUGUUCAGAGUCAGAACCAAUACUUGGAUUUUAUAUGAAAUUUAAGUUUAUGGUCUUGCACACUUGAACAAACAUUAUUAAACCCAUUUAUUCUUUAAAUACUUUGUUAUCAUCAAAACCUAAGGGAUAUGGGACAAACCAAUUUUGUUCCAACAAUCUCCCUUUUUUUUAUGAUGACAAACAAAACUAUUUAAGAACAAUGGUUGAUAAUUUAAUUAACUAGUUGACUCUAGGGUCUGAGGUUUGUAAGCUCCUCCGAAGUCUAAUAGUCCAUAAGAUUAGGUUUGUAAGCCCCCAUUAAGUCCUACCCAGGUUAAUUAAAUUUAAACAUUUAAAGCACAUAUAUAAUCCUUCAGAAUUUAAGCAAGAUAAUAAUUGUCAUGUCUCAGGUGCUUAAAUACUUCUAUAUAUACUCCCUUUUAUGAUCAAUAAAAAAAUGAAAUGAAAUAGAAAAGAUACAUAAGACUUUUUUUUUCAUAUAACCAAAGAAUUUAGAUGUCAGAAAACAUGUUCAAGAAGACAAUGUUUGGGAUGUAAUUAUAAUUGGAUAAAAAUAGUUUUAAAAACAUAUUUGAUUUUCCCUUUAUAAAAAUUUAAGAAAGAGAUUUGAGAGUUGGUUGGAACGGUUGGUGAACAACUUCUGCACUUCUCAAGAUGGUCAAGAUAAGUUCUUUCAGCUAGACUUUGAGACAAAUAAGGUGGUCAAGUCUAGGGAGACGUGCUUGAAGACUAAGAUAAUAUCUCUCUCCGAUGUCCAUUGGUGCACAGUAUCCAAAAUUUAUUUCUCUUUAACCAAAACUCUCUAUAAAAGCACGAUUUUGAUUCAAACAAGAUCAUAUUCCAUUGUGUCUCACAAGCUUUUCCUCAUAACAAAAACAAUGAGUAAAUCUUCCAAGAACUCCAAAGAGAGCACUUCAAAGAAUAUUGACAGGGCUGUUAAAGAAGAUGUAGGAAGAAAACUUAAGGGUAAGUCCAAAAAGACUGGAUGUUCAAGAACAAGGAUUGGUUCAACCUCAGGAGCAUCUAAAGCUAGGAGAACAUCCAUGGCUAAGCUGAAGAAUUUCAAGAAAAGCCAGGAUUCGUCUUCUGACUUAGAUUCAGAUGUUGAUGACUUUGACUUUGACUGGACAAACUUCCUCAAUCGUCAUACUUAUUUCCUUGAAGAAUUUGGAGAAGAGUAGGCUAUGUAGUUCAUCUUGCUCCUUAUGGGAAAAAAUCAACCAUGUGUCUUUUUUCUUGAAUAAUAAUAUGCCCAUUUUCUCUUGCAUAUAUUUAUUUUAAUCAUUUGCAUACAUUUCAUUUUAGACAUCGAGAAGAAAUAUUUAAAGAAGUUUUUUCAACCAUUUCAACCAAUUUUGUGUUGUCUGAGUUUAAGAAAAACUAGAGAGUUUAAACAAAAUAUAAAUCACACGGCUAUAAAAUAAAUGACUAAAGGUAAAAACAAAACAUAGUUUAAUGUUAUCCAGAAAUAAUGAUUCCCAAAGGUAACACAACCAUUUUUGUUAAGAAAAGAAACAAAUAUGACAUAAAUCACACUUCUUUGCUUAAACAAACAUGAUUGGUUAGAUCCAUUACUAUAACUCAAGGAUCAUAAGACAGAAAAUUCUCAGAAGAAUUCUAACUCAGAACCUUCUGAAUCAAAAAAUCAUUUUACACAGUGAACUAAUUGGUUCAUAGUCAUAUCAUUCAGAAUCAUAUCUAAAGUUGAAGGAAGAGACACACUAGAUAAAACACAAGUUAAUGACAAUUAUGAGACAUACACAGUAUUCAAAAACAUGUAUAAUAUAAACCACUAGUAAUUAUCUAACAACUAAUAAACCAAGUGUUUGAAAACCUUUCAGAUUCAUGACACAUAAGUGGACAGAUGUCAAACAUCAAUUUUCCCACUUAUAUGCUAUUAGAGACAACAAAUCAAAUUCUGAGUAUCUGAGGCUGAGUUGCUCAUAUGCUACACUUCAUCAAAAGCUUGUUCAGAGCUUCUAACCAUAGUAGCUUCUGAUCAUCAUUAGACUUUGAUCCUCCAUUUAGAAGCAAACACUAAUCUUUAACAAAAUGCAUGUUCAUAUUCUUUUUGAUAAAUCAAAUCUUUCAAUAGUAAGAGGCUUGGUAAAUAUAUCAUACCAUUGAUGAUUUGUAUCAAUGAAAUUUAUAUCUAUCACACCCUUCUGAACAUAAUCUCUAAUAAAAUGAUGUUUUAUUUCUAUGUGUUUGGUUCUAGAGUGUUGAAUAGGAUUCUUUGUCAAGUAGAUAGCAGCAGUAUUAUCACAAAAGAAUGGAAAAUUGUUUACACUUAUGUCAUAGUCUUCCAACUGAUAUUUCAUCCAGAGUAGUUGUGUACAACAACUUACAGCUGAGAUAUAUUUUUCUUCUGUUGUAGACAAAGCAAUGGUUGCCUGUCUUUUACUAGCCCAGGAUAUUAGGUUUUCACCUAUGAAUUGACAACUUCAUCUAGUGGAUUUUCUUUCAAUUCUAUCCCCAGCAUAAUCUACAUCAUAGAAUCCAACUAGCUUAUAAUUUAGGGAUUUCUUAUAAAGCAACCAUAGAUUGAUUGUUCCCUUCAGAUACCUAAAGAUCCUUUUAACAACAGUUAAGUGUGUCUCUCUAGGACCUGACUGAAAUCUUUCACACAAAUAGACAUUAAAUAAAAUAUAUUGUUUAUAAGUUAUUAAAUAAAGAAGAGAUCUAAUCAUACCUCUAUACAGCUUCUGACAGACCUUGGUGUUGCUUUCCUCUUUGCUCCACCUUUUCAUCUGAUAGGAUCUCACUUGUAAUGAGUCUAACAUGUUACUAAUGGUGAAGACAUCCAUUGUUCCUCCAGUUUCUGGAACAUGAACUUUAUUUAUGAGGAUCUUUUGCAUUUUCAUUAUUUUUGCACACUUUUGUGUGUUUCUUUUUAACAUUUUAGCAAAUACAAUAGAUACUUAUGCUAGCCUUAUUUACAAGUGCAUUCCUCCCCUAAACUAAAUCCUACAAUGAAUCUUCUUCCAUACUUUAGAACAAUUCAAACUUCUUAAAAGGCUAACUACUUUUCUAACUUCCCUUAGCGUGCCAAGGGUUAUCACUAAGUCACAAAUUUUGUGCAUUGCUUCUUAUUAAGACAUUAUUUCCAAUAUUGUCAGUAUUCCCAUUUAAAAUUAUCCUAAGUUUUUUUAGAAAUUCUACUAUUUUUUUAGAUGAAGAUGGUUAUUUUAUUAUAUUUUUUAAUGCAAAAUAAACAGCAAAACACAAGCAUUUAAUUGAUUGAAAAUGAAAUUAAAACAAGCUAACAUGAUUAAAAUUAAAUAAAAAACUAGAUAGGUGUCUUCACCCCAAACCUAAAGUUAGGACAAUGUCCUCACUAUCAGUUUGAUGAGUUCUGGCACAUCAGAAAACAGAAAUUAAAGUGUAGUUGACUAAACAUGAUGGGUUUGAAAUACUAGUUAGGCCUAAAGCAUGUUGCUUUUCCUGGUUGGUUUUGGUUUUUCUUAUCUCUUUCUCUUCUCUUCUUUUCUUUGUCCUUCUUCUUGCUUUACUCCUUCUUCUUUCCCUUGGUUGAUUUAUCCUCUAACUUGGCCUCCUUAUCAGAAACAACAACUAAUUUAACUUUUUCUUUCAGUUUUAUAGAGGACUCUUUGGUCUUUUGUUGCUCUUCUGAUUGGGGAUUGGUGACACUUUUUGUCACUCCAGAUGGUUUUCUUUUUAUUUUACCUAUGUUCUCGUGCUUCCUUUAAUUUAAAUGGGAUAGGGAACUCGUUGUGUUCCUUAUGACCAUUUUGUUAAAUGUCUUGUUCAGGUUGGGUUUAUUUUCCUUCAUUUUCAUCUUCUUGAAUUGGUACCUGCACAAGAAUAAAAGACAUAUUGUCCACAAUAGGUUCAACUUCUUGCUCUAUUAUAGGUUGAUCCUUAUUGACUUUUUCCUCGUCCUUGUCUUCAGCAUUAUCAUCAUUGUUGUUGUCCUUCUCAUUGUCAUUCUCUUCAGCAUCUUCCUGGUCCUUUUUAGUGUUCAUUUCUUCUUCCUUGUUUUGGAUGACUUCCUUAUUUAACUUCUUUUCAUUAACAGUUUCUUGUUCCUUCUCCUUUGGUACUUAUAUAGUUACAAUUUAUUCACCAAGUUCCUCCUUUUGCUCACUUUUGGCUGGUUCAUUCAUGUCAAAGUCUUUUUCUACUUUUGGUUCUUCUUCUCUUAUUUUAUUUUUUUGGGGCUUUUGCUCUGGUUUUCUAUUUUCUUAGAUUUCUUCUUUUUCUUCAGUUGGGAAGUGAGGUCCAUACAUGAUACAUUCCUUUACAAAAGAAAGCGUUCUUGUAUUCCUUACUAAAUUCUUGUUCCAUCUCAUCCUUGCUUUUGAUGAUGUGCUUAUGAACAAGGGAAUCCCAACUAGAGAUCAAUGAGCAGUCAUCUAUAUCUUCUUCUGGGUAUUUCAAUGCAUUGAGUACAUUGAAUACCACUAGUUUCCCAUUUAUCCUUAUAGUGAGUUAUCCCUUUUCCACAUCUAUUAAAGUUCUUCCAUUAGCAAGAAAUGACCAUCCCAGAAGGUGGGGAAUGUCUUCAUCAACACUAAAAUCCAUGAUUAUGAAGUCAGAAGGUAAGACAAACCAUUCAACCCACACUAGCACAUCUUUUAAUUUUUCCUUGUGGGUAGCAAAUGCUUCUAGCAACCAAGUAAAGUGUGAUGGUUUUUGACCUUGUAACUCCUAUGCACGACUUCUUGAAAAUGGACAGUGGACUGUAUCUCCUAUGUUUCUCCAAUAUCAUACAAUGCUCUUCCACAAAAAGAAUAUAUCUCCUAUGUUGCAUAUUAUGGUGAAACUUCUAGGAACUUUCAACUUGGGUGGUAACUUGCCCUGAACAAAUUGCUACAUUCUUGAGUUAAUGCUAUAGUGGCAAAUUCUACAACUCUUUUUAUUUUGGUCAAUACAUCCUUCAUGAACUUAUAAUAGUUUUUCAUUUAUUGAAUGACUUUAAUUAGAGGUAUGUUUAUGUGCAAUUGUUUCAAGAUCUCCAUGAAUUUUCCAAAUUGUUUUUCUUCUUUAGCCUUUCUAAUUCUUUGGGGAAAGGUCGUAUUGGUCUCGCUUGCACAAAUAUGGGUAUUGUUCUUACUUUUGGCGUAUUAGUUGUGAUUUUUGUAGUUGAAGUUGUCGUGCCAUAAGUUGUCAAAUUUAGUAGCUUAGCUUGCAGCCUCUCUUGUCUUUCUCCAACCAGGGAAGUUGUCAUAGAUAUUGGUGGUUCUUUCGAUACAUCAAAUGAUGUCAGAUUCUCCUUUGGUUAGUCAAUUUUUUUACUGGGUCCUUCAUACUCCUUACCAUUUCUCAAUGAAAUGACCUUGCAUGUUUCAAUGCUCUUGGUUCUAUACGUGGAUGCUGGUGUUUCAGUAGAGCUUGGGAGUGCUCGCAUAGGUAUUGAACUGAAAGUAGAAGAAAUUUUCCCAACUUGGUUUUCCAAGUUUUUGAUGCUUACACCUUGAGCUUAAAACUGGUUAUUUUUUUCUUGUAUAAAAGAAUUCAAAAUAUUAUUUAGUUGGUUGUUUCAUUUAGUAGCCACAACAUGGUUCGGUGCUGAAAAACCAGAGGUAAUUUAUGGUGUUUAGUUCAUUUUGGAUGUUACUACAUGAGAAAUUAGGAUGAUUAUGCCAUCCUGGAUUGUAUGUGUUAUUGUAGGGGUUGUUGUAUGUGUUAUUGCCCACAUAGUUCACAAAAACAUGAUUAGUUGAACAUUAUUCAAAUAAAUGAGCUCCCCCUACAAUAAACACAUGUAAAAGUAUCAAUUACAACUUUUACAUGAUCGCCAGCUGGCAUAUCAGAACUUGUCAUCAUUUGGUUUAUUUUAGCCACUUGAGCAGCUAAGGUUGUGGUUUCAGUGACCUCAUGGACACUAGUUGGCCUCUUUGGAACAACUAUAGUUGGUGCCCUAGCAACUAGCCAUUAAUAGGUGUUGGCAGUAAGGCUUUCAACCAAUUUAUAACCUUAUUCAUAGGAUUUAGAUAGCAAAGCUCCAACAUAGGAGGCAUCCAAAAUGUUUCUUGAGGAUGGUACCAAUCCAUUAUAGAAUGUAUCCAAUUGAAUAUAGAUUGGUAUGCCAUGGUGAGGACAUUGCAUUAAUAGUUCUUUGAAUCUCUCCCAAGAAUCAAACAAAGACUCGUCAUCUUCUUGUCUAAAUGAAGUAAUCUCAUUUCUCAUCUUAGCAUUCUUGACUUGAGGAAAGCACUUAGCUAAGAACUUUUCAGCUAAGGCAUUCCAUGUGGCUAUGAAAUUGGUUCUAAGGAGUUCAGCCAGCUUUUGGCUCUAUCCCAUAGAGAAUAUGGAAACAGCAUGAGUCUAAAAGUAUCAUUAGUAAUUCCAAGUAUUUUGAAGUUACUAGCUACUUCUAAGAAUUGUCUAGCUCCUGAAUAUUGGCAUAUUUCUUGCAGCAUUUGAAACAUCAUAUGCUUAAAUUCAAAUUGUACCCCUGUGAUAUAUGGUCUUAUAAUAUGUGUAUUCAUGGCAUUUGGAUCAAACACAAUAUACUCCUUUAUUUUCCUUGCUUUAUCAUUGACUAAACCAAUAAUGUCAUUUUCUUCCAUAACUCUUUCCAUUUCCAGUGGUACUUCUUCAAAUUUUCCUUCAAAUGGCCCUUCAAAGUAUCCUUUAAACCUACAAAAUAACAAGAGUAGGUGGAGGACUUCCUGAUAAGUGACCAGUAGCUUGAAGUCUCCUUAUUAAUAUGAGUGUUCUCUUGAGCUCAGAUUGCCUCUGUAUACUAGAGUUAGCAACCUGUGCAUGCAGCAUACACACACCUUUCGUGUCACCAAAAGAAAAAAAAAUGUCAAAAGCUCUAAUGUAUUUUUCACAAAAAAAUUUAAGAAUCAAAGUGUUAUCAAUACGAUCCCCGACAAUAGAGAUAAAAACUUAUUGUGUGAACUAUUGUUAUGUGCAAGUAUACACAAUCAAAUAGUAGCAAGUGAUGUAAAAGUAAGACCAUCGAUCCCACAAAUAUUGUGAUAACUUAAGUUGAUUCUUUAUUUAUAAUAUUGUGAAUAGCCAUGAGCAAAAGGGUAACAAUAAUAUUGGUUUGUCACAGGUUCAGGUUGAAAUAUAAUAAGAUAUAAGUGAAGAUAAAGAAGUUAAAUCAAUAGUAAGAGGCAUGUUGGGCAAUGAUCCAUCUAAUGAAGUUCAUAUUUUGUGUGUGUCUGAUAAGAUCUAUUGUGACAGGUGAGGCAGAAGGUGAUCUAGUGGUGUAUGUCUACAACAUCAAGGCAUAUGCAAUAAGUCAAGGAAACAACUCUUGAGGUCUAUCAAGAACAUUAAAAGAUGUCUUUUUGCAUCUCUUGAUUUCCCUUAUGGUUGUAGUCCUUUAUCUCUAAAGUGAAUAAUCUAGUGAAUAUGGCAAUCCUACUUCUUUCAACCAUAUUUUCUUAUGAAGUCCGUUAGUUAAUGAGUCUUUCAACCCUUAACCAACUGUUACCUAUUUCUAAGGUGAUCAAUCUAAGAAGCAAACGUAUAAAAUUAUUUCACAUAGAAAAAUAUAUAAAAUUAUUUCACAUAGCAAAAUAUAUCACUUCAAAUCACACCAUGUUAACACAAAAUACUAGUUUUCGUUAAACUUCACAUUGCCCAAUAUAAAGAGUUUUAGCCCGUGAUGAGAAAAAUAAAUACAACAACACGAGUUCUUAUAUUCAACAUUUCUAAACACAAAUUCAAAGAAAUUAUAAAUCUAAGUAUGACACUCUACUCCUUACAAUUUAUAAAUCAACAAGAGAGGAAUUAUGUCACAUUAAGAUGCUUAAAAUUUCUUGAAUGGAGGGAGAAAGGAAGGAACUUUUCACCAUUGGUCCAGUCUUCUUCUUCUUAUUAUUAUUAUUAUUAUUAUUAUUAUUAUUAUUAUUCAAUAAGAUAACCUUUUAGAGUAAUUUCUUAAGUUCCUAACUUCUGGACCUCUCUCCAUUUUGUAUAAGAGGUUCAUUUUAUACCCUCUAGUUUUUAGGGUUUUGUCUUGUCAUUGGAUCAUGGGCCUUAUCUAUAUUCUUUAGUUUUGGCUAACUAAUCACAACAUAUUUUGUUGGAAUAAUAUUUGUUCAUAUCCUUUGGGUUUUGAUGACAACAAAUUACUUAUUGAACAAUUGGUUAUACUAACAUAUGUUCAAGUGUGCAGGAUCAUAAAGCUUAAAGUCUACUCAUAAUUGAUCCUGUUGAAAGCAUUUGUUAACAAGUGAUCAGUGCAUUUUGAUGUCCAUUCUUCUACUAUUGUACUUAGACAUUUAUAUAGUUUCUUUUAUUAAUUUUACUACUUUAUUGUGUUUUUAGAUUUAAGUUUAUUUUUGCCUUUAUUUUAAUUUCGUAUUUUAUUUUCAGCAUUAAUAGUUAUUUGAUACAUGUUCACUAUGCAAAUCAUAACUUGAGCUACGAGAAUUUGAUUGAAGCGUUUUGAUAGGCGUUAGAAAGCUAAGAGAAUGAGCUACAAGUUUUGUGUUGAAGUCAAAAACUGAUUCGGAGUGAAGCAGGACCGAAUAAAUCGUUGAAGUUUCAGACUUAAGAAAUAUUUAGUUAUGGGUCAGGUUUUUUAUGUUUUUCGACCCGGUUGGGUUAGAACCCGAAUGCUAUGUUUUUCCUAUACCUAGUGGUCGCUGCUAUUGUUCAUGCCCUCAUUCACUAUUCACAAAAUAUUUCUAAAUCUUUGUACAAAAAUCUAUGAAGAACUAAUCACUUUUGUUGAUCUGCUGUAUUCAGGUUUCGAUACUUGAGAUUAAUAUAACUUUACUAUUUAAUUUCUAUUCCUUUCAAUUUUUCUAUGUGUUUAUCGUUUGCUUAAUCUGAUUUAUCACAGAGUAGUUUUUUUGGUUCAAUUGAUUUAUUAUUCCCUAAUUUUGAUUGUGUGUUACUGUAUACUUAAUCUGUUAACUCACUUUAUUCUUAACCGAUUGCUUAGUUCGGCAAAUAGGAAACAUAAUUCUUAUAAUUUCAUUCACGCUUGUUGAUUGAUAUUGUGAUCGAGAAAAGAUAGAAUCCACUUAGGGAAGUGAAGUUAUAAUAAUUGAUGAUAGGUAGGAACUGAAUCAGUAGAUCAACUUAUUUUAUAAUCAUGUUUAAUAAUCACUUUUCAUAAUCACUUUUUAUAACCCCCCGAUUGAUUCCAGUAGGUUAAUAAUAAUCCAAGAGUCCUUGAGAUACGAUAUUCGAGUGUCGCUUCCUUUUUUACUAUGUUUUGUCUUAAACUCGCCUUUAACCCAUGUGCGAUAGCAGAUCAAUAAGCUAAAUGUCUCAGAUUAUGAUGGAUCAGAAUCUGAUGACUCUGAAGGACCAGCUUCUGAAAGUUCAGACUCUGAUCAUGGUGCUUCUUCCUCUGGUGAUAGCUCAUACUCUAGAGACCUCAGCUUGAAAAGCUCAGCCUCUGGUUCGUACUUUGUCCCCGUAGCAGACCUAUGUUGUCAACACCAGAGGGAAAAAGUCAACUAGAGUCCCUUAGUACAAGGCUCAAGAAACACUGAUGUGACUUCUCUAGUUUGCCCCCUCGUCUGAUUUAUACCUAAGAUGAAAAAGAGAUGUAGUGGACUAUUCUAUUACACUUUGUUUCAAGAUCUUAACAUGAUUCAUCUUCCAAAGUCUCUUGGAGUUGUUGCAUUUCAAAGUUCUCUUGUGCAUACAACUUUCUAAUGACUCUUUUUCUGCCUCUAUAAAAGGGAGCUGAAGAUUUGAAGGAAGGUUAACAAUUAUCAAACAUCUUAAUAGAACACAUUGAGUACAAACUUUGAGCUAAAGUUUCAUCUAUUUAUUUGCACAAGAUCUUAAGAUUUCUUAUCUUUGUAUAUCUUAAAAAUCUUAAGUGUUAAGAAUCAUUUUGAUUGUUGCAAUACUUUUAUACUUCUGACUGUGUAUCAAAGGAUGGUUGUAAUUAUUUCUACUAAACCGCUUAUUUAAAGUAGAGGAAGUAUCUUGAAAGGUUGCUUGAGCAGUGGAGUAUCUUUCUGGUAUGAUUGGGCAGAAGACUCUUGCAAGAUUGCUUGAGUAAAAAUCGCUUUCUAGGUUGAUUGAGCAAUUGAAGUAUCUUUCUAGUUUGAUUGAGAAAAGUUUUAAUUAGUUUGAUUAUAGUGAAAAUCUCUUGUUGGAAAAGGGGACUGGACUACUCUUAAUUUAGGAGAGGAAUCAGGAUAAACUCUGUGUGUUGAUUUACUUCUUACUUCUGUUUGUUUAUCUUUCUGCUACAAACUAACUCUAUGUUCAAACUUUGAACUUGUUUAGAUUCAGAAGUGGUUUAUCAGAAGUUCUAAAAGAAGCAACAUACACAAUUCAACUCCUCCCCCCCCCCCCCCCACCCCUCUUCUUGUGUGUUUUUCUCACCUUUAGUUGGUAUCAGAGUUUGUUUUGUACUAUAACACUUAAGAAUGGUGCAUAAAAGAUCUUGAGAAAAAUACAUCGUUCAUCAUAGUUGAUGGUCCUGAAAUAACUAGCCCUGAUGGUGGUAAUCCUCGUGGUAAUAACAACCAUGAUCAAAGUACAUCUGGUCAAAACAACUAUAUUGCUAGACCACCAACAUUCAGUGGAGACUCUACUGAAUUUGAAUUAUGGAAGAGUAAGAUGUACACUCACAUCAUUGGUCUGGAUGAUGAGUUAUGGUAUAUCUUAGAAGAUGGAAUUGACAUUCAAGUCAAUUGUGUUGGAAUGGUUUAUGACAGAAAGUGUUUCACUCUUGCUCAAAAAAAGAUAUAUAAGAAACAUCAUCGAGUGAGAGGCAUUCUUGUUGAUGCCUUGCCUCAUUAUGAGUACAUAAAGAUUAUAAUAAGUCAACUUUCAAAACUAUAUUUAAAUAUUUAUGUGCUACCUAUAAAGGUAAUCAACAAGUUCAAGAAGCUAAAGAAAAUAUUUUGGUUCAGCAGUAUGAGCAGUUCAUAAUGAAAGAUGAUGAGAACAUUAAAACUAUGUUCUCAAGAUUUCAAGUUCUUAUCUCUGGACUUUAGGUCUUGAACAAGAGCUACACUACAUCGGAUCAUGUCAAGAAGAUUCUUAGGAAUCUUCCGACCAAAUACAGACCCAAAGUUACUAUUAUUCAAGAGGCUAAAGACUUAAACACAUUAAGUCUUGAAAGUCUUGUUAGCAAUCUCCAAAGUCACGAGAUGAAGAUAAAUGGAGAUGAGCCUGUAAAGCAAUUUAAAACAUUGGCUUUAAAUUAUGUUGGAAGAUAUGAGAAGUCUUCACAGACUAGGAUGUAUAAAGAAGCCACUCAUGGUGAAGCCUAUGAUGAAGAAUCUGAUGAUGAUGAAAUGGAUUCCAUCAUCAAAAUAUUUCAACACUUGGCCAAGAAGAAGAGUGGAUUCUCUUGUAGAAGUGGUGGCUUAAAAGGGUAAAGUUAUAGACGUGAUAAAGAUGACCAGAAGGGAUGCUUUAACUACAAAAAGCUUGAUUAUUUCAUUGCUGACUAUCCUGAUAUACAAAAGGACAAGGUCAAAAGGGAAAGCUUCUAGAAGAACAACUUUAUAAGCAAGUUCAAAACUAGUCUCAUGGAAACAUGGGAAGAACUUAACAAUGAAGAAGAAAUUGAUAAAGAAGAAGCUAAUCUUGCUUUGAUGUCCUCAACUCUUUCAGACUCAUAAUCAGAAACUAGUUUUGACUCAGAUUCAGAGGUCACAAAUGAGGUGCUUUGAAAACUCUCUAAAUAUGAUUUGAUUACUUUAUGUCAAUAUCUUAUGGAAAGAUGCUAGCAGAAAGCCAGGCAUAUGAAAAUUAUAAAUAAGCAAUAUGGUCUUAUAAGAGAUGAACUAAACUUCUCUAAAGACAAGAUUGAAAAACUUGAAAGAGAACAAAUUGCUUUAGUAUAAGAUAUGUCUGACAAACCUCUGGAUAAGUAUGAAUCAACUCUUCAAGAGUUUGUCAUAUCUGGUUUCAACAGAACCAAACUUUCAUCCAUGAUCUAUGGUGUAAGUAAGACAAAAGGAUAAGGUCUCAUUUUUCAUCAAAAACCUUAUAAUCCAAGGGAUGAUAUCUUUAUGAAACCAUCAUAUCCUUCUUCUUCAAGCAUUGCUAAGGGGCUGGAUACUUACUUUAUGCCUACUGCUGAAAAUGGUAAGCUUCUGAACCAAUCAGAACCUCUGGUGAAUGACUCGCAAGUUUUGAAGGAAUCAGAAUCUCAGACUUAAAGGUCAAGAGUUCUAAGUAAACUAGAACCUAAGACUCUCAAGUCAGAGGUUCUGAAGAAUUCAGAACUCAUAGUUAUUGAAUCAAAUGUUCCAAGAGGAUCAGAAGUCAAGGUCAAGACUUAUCCAAGACAAGAUUUUUAUAAACAAGAAUUCUGGAAUGAGUCUAGACCCUAUUAUAAGGCUAAGCCUCAAAGCAAGAGGGAACCCUAAAAAACUAACUACAAAGAACCCAUACGAGUAUGGGUACUAAAGAGUGAAAUUGUGUUUACUGCAGAUAUGCUUAAGGGAAAAAGCAAAGCAAUAGCUGUUGUUCCAGGAUAAUGGUUGUUCACAACUUAAAACAAGAAGAAAGCCUAUAUUAAAAAUCCUAACUCUGAAGGAGGAAGGAAAUGUGGAAUCUGGAAUAAACUAGUAAGGCAAGAAUACUGAUAUCGGGAAGACUGAUGUUAUUCUAUAAAAUACUGGUGCUUCAGUCUCUAUGGAAAUCUCUAAAGUUUAUCCAGUUGUUGAGGAAUAUGAAAAAACUCCUGAUGUUUUUCUAAAGAGUAUUGUUGGAACAAUGAUGUUUCUGAAAACAAUCUCAACAGCAGAUCAAAAGUUUCACAAAAAAAAGGUAUGACUAUCUCUUUGUUUUUAUGCAAUAGUUUCUAAUAUUUUUGUCAGAAGUACCUCUUAUUUAUGAAAGAAGAAUUAAACUUCAUUGUGGUAAUUCUACUUCUAUAAUAAUGGGAAAUAAUCUUAUCCCAUAUCUAAGUCAAACAUCUUUAUCUUUUAAAGAUCUAUGCUUACUUCUGAUUGGAGUAGCAGAGUCCGAUGAUGUUCAGAAGCUACUAUGAUCAAAAGCUCUAAAUCAGUUUCCGAUGUAUAAUAGCCUCUGAAGGAUUUCAGCCUCUAAAACUCAGAAGAAGGUUAACUGCCUCUGAUAAGCACACAAGUGGAAAAAAACUAUUUCUCUGCCUCUAGAACCUGUCCUCUUAUGUGUCAUAAAUUUGGAAUGUCUUUUGACACAUGGAUUAUUGUUGUUGGGUAAAAACUCCUUUAAUCUCGUUGUUUUGUCUCAGUUAAUAUGCUUCUUUCCUGUUUGUUUAUGUAUUUCUUUUUUUGAUUAAAAAUUAUUUUACACUCAAAAUCACUCUAUAUAUCAGACGCACACACUAUCUCUCUCUCUCUCUCACUUCCCACACUUUUGUUUUCUCUAACCUCCUCUGGAAAAAACCUCUUUUCAAAAAGAAAACCCUAGAAACCCUAAAAACUCCUUCUAUAAAGGCAUCAUCGUCAAUUGCUUAACAAGCGCACAUGAUUGUCAAGUCUGGAAAAAGUAUGACUAUCAAACCCAAGACGAUGAACAUCAAUCAGAAUGAUCCAAAGCUUUUUGUGGAACAGAUUAUUGUCUUCGACUCAUUUAAUCAAAAUGGAUUUUACUCAUGGAGCUACUUCAGAAUAUAAGAGUGCUCUUAAUUAUUUGAUAUGCUGAAUGGAUCAACUUAUCCUUAUAUAGUAAGAUAUUUUUGGGUUAGGGCUGAAGUAUUUGAUGAAUAUUCUGCAUCUGUGGAACUCAAUCAGUUGGUAGAAAAUGCCAGCUCUUUGAAAGGAAAAAGUAUAGAAGAAGUGGGUUUGAAGAAGUAGAGACCAGAUCAGCAGUUAUGGGUGUUGAAUUUGUCAUCACUCAAAAGACGAAUAUUAAUCAGAUUUUAUGGGAUUACAAGAAUUUCAUCUUCUACCUGAAGAAUGAAGAUAAAAUCAAUCUCUCUACCUACAUCUUCAAUCAUUUUUGUGACGCUAUCAGGGAGAGCACAAAGAACCACAAGAAGAAUGUACCCUAUAAUAUAUUGAUGUAUGAACUAUUCUAUCAGGGUCGUCUAAUUGAUGCCCUUAAAACUUUGCUUGGAAAUGAGUAUCUGGAUGAGAUCCAUGGGAACAUUAUGUCUGCUUCUGUUCUUGCCAACAUGAACCUUCUGAAGAAAAGUGAAGUGGUGUCUUCAAAAGUACCUCUCUCAGCUAGAUGUGCUAAUACUGAUUAUCUUCAGGACUAUCUUGUCAUCACCAAGAUGGACAAUCCUGAAGUAAUCAGAUUAUACAUUGAACAUGAAUUCAAAGAAGGAGUGGUUAUAAGAUACAUAGACUUACCCAAUAAGCCUAUUGAAGUGUUUAAUCCAUCUAAAAAGAGAAAGCAGGUUGUUUCAAUAUCUCAUAAGGAAGUUCAUAAGCCUUUUAAGAAAAAGAAGGAUAUUGAGAAAGAGAUUGAAGAAGUCAUUGUAUCUACUGAGUCAACACUUUCUAAGACCAGAAGUGGAAUAACUCCUUAGAAGGAAUCUUCUUCUUUUGUCUCUACUGAUGCACCUACAAGAAAGAAGAAAUUAAGAAAGAUGGUUGUUCCUGCUGUUAUUAAAGAGGAAGAGGAAGAAGAGGAUGGUGUUAUUCCCCUUGUAAGAAGGAAGUUGAGUACAGAUGUUGCAGUCUAUGAGAGUAUUGUAGAACCUAUUUUUAUAAGUGCUCAACUAUUAGCCUUUGCUAUGUUGGAACAAGUAAAAAAGCAUCCUGAAAAGUAUGAUGCUAUGGUGGAAGAAGUUGCUGAUGUUGGAAUUGAUCUGGAGACUAUUGAGGUUUAGGUUGCUAAAGUUGUUGUUGGGUUAAAGUCUGUUGAGGAUGAAGAUUUUGGUAUUCCUGAAGAAGUCAGUUCAGAACCUAUUAUUGAAGAGAAUCUGGAUACUUUAGAAGCUCUGAAUACUGGUAUGACAUAACAGGUAUAAAUAUGAACUCUAUCUCGGAAGAUGAUUUUUAUUAUUGCACCCUAAACCACAAAUCACCAACUCCCUCACCAAAUCCCUCACAUAAUCCUUCUCCAAAACAUAAUUCAUCACCUGCUGUUGAAUCCAAUGUUAUUCAGAAUCAAUUAAAUAUAUUUUCUACUUCUGAACAACCAUCACCUCUGAACAUCAUGAUUUAACCACCCAUAGACGUGUCUAGUGGGAAAGCUUCUUCUUCUAGCUCUUAGUCAGAGUAUGAUGAAGCUGGUUUCGAAGCUCACCUUAACCUUAAAUAUGUAAUCCCUACACCUGUCUUUACUAGACCUAUCCAAGCCAUUAUUAUUCAAACCUUCUCUCCUCAAUACCUACCAUCUAACUAAACAUGUUAUACUUCUAAAGUUGAACAUGUAACCUUAAUCCAACCAAAACCUACUUCUCCACCAGAAACUCAACCACCUCAACUAUCACCCAAAUCUACACCUCAUAAAGAACCUAACCUUGUUCAAACUCAAAUCCAGAAUCAAGAUGAGAGAACUUCUAGUUAUGAACCAGUUACUUAUAAUGCUAAGUGGGAUUCUCUCCAAACUCUAUUGUAUCCAUUAUUCAGAAUUUGAAGGAUGCUGCUUCAGAAUAUGUCACUUCUUCCAGCAAAAUACAAGAGCCUUUAGAAGCAAAACUGGCCUCUAUUGUGGCUACUCAACAAGCCAUGGCUAUCAAGCAAGCAGAAAUGGAUGAGAAGAUGAAGUCUAUGAAUUCCAAACAAGAUAUUAUGGGUGUUAAUCUUAAAUUUGUUCUAGAUCUUUUGAAGAAACCACAGGCUUAAGAACUAGAACCUGUUUUCUAUUUUAUUUAUUCAUCUUCUCAAAACUGAUUAUAUUUAAUGAUAAUAUUUACUUAAAAUCAUAUUUUUCUUUGCUUUUUGUCUCAUUUUCUUGUGUGUGUUAUGCUAUGAGCUAAUUUUUUGGGAAUUGCAAAAGUUGUUUUUACUUAUUUUUAUCAUAAUUUAAAUUUUCCCACAUAUUUUUUCUCAAAUAUCAUCUCUCUCUCUCUCUCUCUCUCUCUCUCUCUUUAUCUGUGUGUGUGUGUGUGUGUGACAAAAGUUGUUUUUACUUAUUUUUAUCAUAAUUUAAAUUUUCCCACAUAUUUUUUCUCAAAUAUCAUCUCUCUCUCUCUCUCUCUCUCUCUCUCUCUUUAUCUGUGUGUGUGUGUGUGUGUGUGUGUGUGUGUGUGUGUGUGUGUGUGUGUCUAUGCUGGCAUAUUUUUAUCCACUUUUUGUUGAUGACAAAAGGGGGAGAAAACUAUGGGACUAUUUAAUUGGAUACAAGUAUUUUUGAAAUGCUUUUAUAUACUUGAACUCUCAUCAUAAUUUAUUCAAUGCUUAAAUCUGAACGUAUAUGUCUUAUGCUAUCAAGGUAAGUUUAAUUAACUUGGAUACGACUUAGGGGGCUUACAAAACUCAGCCUUAGAACUAAUAGACUCAGGGGGAGAUUACAAACCUUAGACUCUGAUGUUGUCAAGUUUGUUAAACUAACCAAACAUUGUUCUUAAAUACAUUUGUUUGUCGUCACCAAAAGGGGGAGAUUGUCGGAACAAGAUUUGUUCACAUCCCUUGGAUUUUGAUGAUAACAAAAUUCUUAAAGAACAAUUGGGUAUACUAACAUAUGUUCAAGUGUGCAGGGUCAUAAAGCUUAAAGUCUACUCAAAAUUGAAUCUGUUGAAAGCAUUUGUUGACAAGCUGAAUGUCUCAUAUUCAAAUGGAUAAAAAUAUGAUGGAUCAAAAUCUGAUGACUCUAAAGGACCAACUUCUGAAGGUUCAAACUUUAAUCAUGGUGCUUCUACCUCUGGUGAUAACUUAGUGUCUAGAGAUCUCAAUUUAAAAAUCUCAUCCUCUGAUCCGUACUCUGUCCCCAUAGCACAUAUCUUAUCAACACCAGACUUAGGGAAAAAUUCAACUAGAGUCCUCAUAGAUGAUGUGACUUCUCUAGUUCUCCCACUCGUCUGAUUUAUACCUAGGAUGAUAAAGAGAUGUAGUGGAUUAUUCUAUUACGCUUUGGUUGAAGAUCUUAGCAGGAUUUAUCUUCCAAUGUCUCUCUCUUGGAGUUGUUGCAUUUCAAAGUUCUCUUGUGCAUACAACUUUCCAAAGAUUCUUUGUCUGCCUCUAUAAAUGGGAGCUGAAGAUAUGAAGGAAGGUUAUUAAUCAUCGAACAUCUUAACAUAAUACAUUGAGUACAAACUUUGAGCUAAAGUUUGAUAUGUUUAUUUGCACAAGCUCUUAAGAUAUUUUAUCUUUGUAUAUCCUAGAAAUCUUAAGUGUUAAGAAUAAUUAUGAUUGUUGCAAUACUUAUAUACUUUUGAUUAUGUAUCAAAGUAUAGUUGUAAUUAUUCUUACUAAACUAUUUGUUUAAAGUAUAUGAAGUAUCUUGCAAGGUUGCUUGAGCAGUGAAGUCUCUUGCAUGUGUGCUUGAGCAGUGAAGUCUCUUUCUGGUGUGAUUGAGCAGAAGUCUCUUGCAAGAUUGCUUAAGCGGAAGUCUCUUUCUAGAUUAAUUGAGCAGUUGAAGUCUCUUUCUGGUUUGAUUGAGCAAAGUUGUAAUCAGUUUGAUUAUAGUGAAAAUAUCUUGUUGGACAAGGGGACUGGACUACUCUCGGUUUAGGAGAGGAAUCAGAAUAAACUAUGUUUGUUGAUUUACUUCUUACUUCUAUUUGUUUAUCUUUCCGCUACAAACUAACUAUGUGUUCAGACUCUGAACUGGUUCAGAUUCCGAAGUUGGUUUAUCACAAGUUCUAAAAGAAGUAACAUACACAAUUCAACCCCCCCUCUUGUUUAUUUUUCUCACCUUCAGAUUCCUUCUUCUUGCAUUUGAACCAGCUCGAGGUAGUACAAUUUACAGCAUGCAAGGGACAACACAUCAUGUAGCAAGCCUAUUGCAUGGUUAGACAUAACACUCGCCAUUCUACACAGUACAACUUUUGUAUACUUUUUCUUAUAGUGGUUGAUCUUAUCCAUUCUCUUUUCCAACUUAUUUGCACUCAAAUCCUCACACUUUUGUCACUUUUUCCCUAAUUCCAUCAACCUUUGUUACUAGUUACCUUCUUUCCAUUUGAUAUUUCGUUGAAAGUUGAGGUUCUUGUGAUGUCCCAGUUCUAUCGUGCCAUAACUUAUUGGAAACAAGUCAUACACAUGUGAGACACACAUAAACACUCACAAAAGAGGGCACUUAUUAUGCUCUUCACAAAAUUACUUAAAACAGUAAAAUUAACUUAAAUUAACUUAAUAAACUUGCUUAACACAAAAUAAAGUCAAGUGUUAAGGGCUUGAAUCUCUCACACAUAGUGAGUUAUCCGCCUGCUUGCAGCAAAAUGAUGGAAUAACUUCUUCACCAGGUCUUGAUAGAUGGUGACAGAUGUAAGUAUUGAGUGCACAACCUAAGAUGAGGGUGAAUUAGGUUUUAUGAAAUUAUCUAGUUAUUUUUUAGUUAAUGGAAAUUUUUGGAUAUUGUGACACUUUGUUGGUUUAUUUACUUGCAAUAGUUUUGCAAUGAAGACAAAAUGUUUGGUUUAUUUCCUAGUUAAGAAAGAUAUGAGAAAGUUGAUAGAAAAUAAAGUGUAGUAAUUGCAAAUAAAACAAGUAUAUCCUGGUUCCCCAUAUCCAACCAUUGGUAGUUUAUUCCCAUCACUCCCCAUGAGAUAUUAUCCAAUAUUAUCAGAUAUGGACUCUCCUACAAUCUUCUAAUAAUAACAAAGAAGCUACGCCACUUCCUUGAUUUCAUAGACACCAUACAACAAUGGUGGGCUUUGAAUCUUUGUGAUUCAAAUGACCUUUUCCAACAAGCAGAAAGACAAACCUUCAUAUUUUUAAUCUUCUGUAGAAAAUAAAACCAUUUUCUUACAGACAAAAAUCACCACACAAUUUGGUGGAAAAAUGACUAUAAACAGAUAAUUUUGUACAAACAGACUUUGCAUCAGACUUUAAUAACUUUUAGAGAUUUGUUAUUUUUCUAGUAUUAUGAAAACUAUGUUCUUCCCUUUUUUGUAACAAUUUAUAAUCAUUGAUAUAUUCAGUAGCUCCAUGACUUAGAAAGUUUUGCAUGAUGUGAAAGUUAUGCACACAAAGUUUUCUGUUAAAAAUUAUGAACACGGUAAAAUAUUUUCUAGGAAAGAGGUUAUUUGAAAUCUGGAAAUUCUAGCUUUAAACACAUCACAACGUACCUCUUGAAAAUGUGUUGCAAUGCUUUAAAAAUGUUCAUGAUUAAUUGCAAUGAUAUGUGAAAAGGUUUCAUGCAAAGGUAUUGCAAUGUUUCGUAAUUUUCAAAAAUAUCCAUGGUCCAAUUGAUUGGAGCAUUCCAUACAAUCAAUUGGCACUAAAUGUAACGUUCAAGAAUAUGCAAAAAUAUAUUGGUCCAAUCAAUUAUGGUCUUCAUCCAAUCGAUUAUGGGGAAUAGUUUCAAGGCAAAUUAAGUUCCAUACAAUUGAUUAUGGUGAUGGGUACAAUCGAUUGGAACCUUUAAUUUGAAGAAAUUCCAAAAGGCAAUGUCUAAACUACAAUUGAUUGUUGCUCUUCUCAAAUCCCAUUCAAUUGAUCGUGGCAACACACCAAUCUAUUGUGGCUAUACAAAAAUUUCAAAUUUCCCCAUUUUUUCAAAGAGUGUCAUGAAUGAAAAAUGUUAUAAAUAUUCUAAGAGCCUUAAAGAAAGUUUGAGUUGGAGUGAGAUACUUGAGCACUUAAUGUAUAACCAGUAAAUUAAAUUGCCACAAAUAACUUGAUUAAAAGAAUACUUUCUUGAAUUCCAUUACUUAACACAUGAACAAAUUAUUCAAAUAUUUUUCUUCUUUGAUCUUUCUUCCAUGAUAAUCUUUUGUCUUCAUCAAAACCAAUCCUUCAAAAGACGAUCAACAUCUUCUUCAAAAUCUUCCCCUUUUUAUGAUGACAAAUCACAUUGAUGGGAAGUUUUUGCUUGAAACUUGUUUUCUUCCCCUAUCUUGUAUAUUUCCCAUAUCUUGCAUAUCUUCCCCUUUAUUAUUGCAAUUUAUUCUAUGAUGUCUUUGAUAUCUUGAAAAACAAUAGAAACAACCAUCUCUUUUCUCCCCCCUUUUUGAGAUUAUCAAAAAGACAAAGAGUAAAAUCUAAAUGGGUAUAUUAAUAUAAGAUAAAUUGUAUAUUAAACAUAAAAGAACUUAUCUUCUUUACAAUAUAUGAUUUGAUUUCAAUCUUUUUCAAAUCAUCUUAAUCCAACGAAGCUUUAAUUCUACCAUAUCAUAUGGUUUUAUAUCUUGAAAGGUCAAUCUUGAAUUGACAAUACUAGCAUAUGAUCUUCAAGUAUCUACAAAACAAUUAAUAGUACUUUCUAGGUAUCUAAUUUUUUUUGUCCUCUUGGGUUAGAUCCUCUCCUCACCCAUACAUACUCACCAUAAGGAAUACCAUAAUUUCUUAUGUAGUAAGUAUUAGAAGUAUGGUAUGACACCUAAAACCCUGACUCACAAUUAAAAGGAUAAAAUUCACAUUUUAGGAUGCUACUCAAACACAACAUGCAUACUUCCCAAAUAUUUUUAAAACUCAUAGCGGAAUUCAAAAUAAAUAGCAUAAACUUCAGUUAUCUCAUCACACUGAAAUGCUUAAUGAAAUUAACAUAAUCCAACAAUUAACUGAAAACAAUUAAAAUACCAUGUUCCCCGAUGUUACAGAUCAGAGAAUUAAACCAACUAAAUAGCAGUAAACGAUAAAAUAAACGAAUAAAAGCUCAAAGUCCAUCUUCCAACUCCAUCAUCACUUACUCCUCCUGAGUAUUUGUACAACAACGUACAGAGCAACACAAAAAAACAAGAAAUAGGGUGAGAAUACACUCAAAUAUAUUAAUGGUGUAAAAGAAUGCAAGGGUAGUUUAAAUCAUACAAUCAAUAACAAGUAUUCAAUUACACAAUAAUGCAACAAUUCAAUUCACAUAGCCUUUACGUAUGUAAUGUGACUCACAACUCGAAUCUAUUUGUGUGGUACCAAUUUGGACUUCAAAUGUUUGUUACUGAUCUCAUCCCUUCAAAUUGGUUCCUCAUUUAAAUCGGGUCCCCACUUAUGAACCUGGAAUGAUCACAUAUCCCCACUUUUGAACCCAUGACUCGCCUCUUUCAACACAUCAACACAAAAUGAUGCAUGAAAUAUAAGUAAUGCAACAACAAUGAUAAUAACACUUAUUGUUCCACUUCUAACCAUAAGAAACAUGUAAUACAACAUUAAACAGUAGUCCCUGCUUCUGAACUACACACCUCACCAUAACAUAUACAAUUAUCUUCACAUCAUAUAAUUGUAUUUGCAUCAUAAAAACUUAUAAACAUAAUCAUAAUUAUACAACACAUCACCGUUUGCACAUAAAAUUAUAACUCACCACUUAUAAUCAUGUAAUUAAUACAAUUAUCACUUCCUCAACAAAAGAAUUCACAUUAAUUAAUUAAAUUCAUCAAAUACACCAAAACAGCAGUCAACCAUUGACUACACGAGAAAACAACAUUGAAAAUUGGACUUAUCAUUUAAAAACUAGUUCCUGGUGUCAUGACGACUGCCCCCUUCACAAAUCAUUACUCAUGUGACGACCGGCAGAAGAAAUCCCACCUGGAGACCAAGACGGUCUCCCUGUCACCCUACUGAUGACCGUCAGCUUACCCAAAAGCAUGACGGGCAACCCGUCACACUGAUGCUGAAAGCAAUUUCUACGUUUUUGGCCAUGGGAGCUCAUUCAAAACUCUGACUUUAAUCCCCAGCACCCCAAUUGACACAAAAAAUAAUAGAUACAUAUUAUACAGGGAUCAAAUCAUCACAUACUCAUCAAUUAUCAUUCAAUUUCACCAAUUAAUCACACAUUCAAGGUUAUGUUCAUAGCACCAAAACACAUCAAUGACAAUAACCAAAUUCAUAAUUUAUACCAACACAUCAUACACAAUAUUUAGGACAUAACAGUGUACGAAUUUACACAUUAAAAAUAGAAAUUAACAUGGAUUUCACAUAAUCAUCAUUCAACACUCAUAAAGCACAACAAUCGUGAAUAAAAUCUAGAGGAGAGUGAGGAUCCCUCUCCACCCUUCAUGCAAUACACUUAUAUUCAAGUAGUCCCCCUACCUGAAUUUCCAACAAAAAUCUCCAAGCUUUGUAUAUGGUUUCCUUCUCUCUCUCUCUCUCUCUCUCUCUCUCUCUCUCUCUUCUCUCUCUCUCUCUUCUCCAACUCUCUCAAUUUCUACGUACUAACCCAAAUAAGCUCUAAUAAUUCAUUUUUAAUAAUAAACCUAAUUUAUGAAUUUAAUAAUUACACCUUGGCCCUAAAUCCUUGUAAAAACAAGAUUUGGUUCUACAUAUGUUCUUAUGUUUUGAUGAUAACAAUGCAUAGAUUCAUAAAGAACAAUUUUGUACCCUAAUAGUUUUGUUAAGUGUGCAGAUACUAGAUAUAAGUUCUGACUUUGAAGAAAUGACGUGUAACAUCAUCAAACUCUGAACCUAGUGCACUCUAACUCUGAGAUGUGUAUUCUACAAGAUAAUCAAGCUCUGGACUACUCUACUCAAAGGUUCUGAACAUUGCUCAUCCAAAGCUUUAUGACUCUGAUAAGAGAAGUCUCUAACAUUAUCAAGUUUUAAUAUCUUACACUGAACAACUCUGAUGAACUGUGUCACCAUAAUCUGAAGACUUGGUUCUGAUGAAUUGGAUCAAGACUCUGAAGACCAAGUUUUUGAAGACUCUCUCAUAUAGAAUUUGAUUCUUCUUCUAUGCAUGCUUCAUCAACUCUAUACCUGAAGCCCCUGAACAAUUGAAGAUAAGAUCAAAAAGUUUCACGUGAGAAAAUAGUACAUAGUACAAGAUCACUAUUCUUUCCACUACACUGAUUUUGUGGGAAAAUGAUUGUACUAUAGUACCAUUGUGUCUCCCAUUUUCCACAGCCAGUUAUACAAGGAUACAACUAUAUUUGUGUAUUUCAUUUCUGCCCUCCAACAAAUCUUUCCAUUGCCUAUAUAAAGGAGUCUUGGAAGAAUGUAACAUCGCCAACAAAGAAGAAAAUAGAUACUACGUGAAUAUUGCAUAUUGUGAAACAUUUGAGAGAAAUAAAAACAAGCACAGAAGGAACUUUUGUUCAUACACUUUCAUAGAAAAUAUUGUUUGUCUAAAAUCCUUUGUAAUUCAUUUGCAUAAUCUGCUUUCUUAGAAGUAUCUUGUAACACACUUUGUAUCUCAAUUUUUGAGUUGUAUUUCCUUGAGUGACUAAGUAUAGUCAUAAUUACUCAAGAAGACGUUGACAGUUAGUCUUUGUGGUUGUAAUCAAUUUUGGUUAUAGUGGAUUAAGUCCUUGUGAUAAUGCAAAAUCACCUUGGCGGGUAGACUGGAGGUAGCUUAGUUAACAACGAGUCAGGAUAGAAAUAAUUAUUUUCAUUAUUUUUAUUCUAAGUUUUCUUCUUGUCAUUUUAGGUUGCAAAAGAUUUUCAUUCUAGAAACCCAAUUCAAACCCCCCUUUCUUGUGUUUCCAUUACCUUCACUCCUUUCUAAUUAUCACCAUUUUGCCUCAUCUUUCUAUUAAUUCCAAUUUUCACCCAAUCUCUCACAACUUUAUUAUUUUCUAUUAUUUUAGUCAUUUAAAAUUAACUAAGAAUUUGAAUCAAUUUAUACCACUCUCUAUAAUUCCCCGAAAAUUACCCACAAUUGCCAAAUAGUCAUAUAACACAUUUUAUCACCAAAAUAAAUAAAUAAAAACAUUAUAAAUCACUUAAAUAAUUAAAUAUAAGCAACAAAAUUUUAAUUUAAUUAAUUAAUUGAAUUCGGGGUGUUACAUAUGACCUUUUGCAUUACAAUAAAAAUUAGUAAAGCUAAAAACAUGAUUCAUUUUAUUGACAUAAACCUUAUUUUUAUCAUAAAACCUUUUAUGAUGAUUUACAACAUGUACUUUCUUUAAUUCCCUAUUGUUAAAUUUGCUAGUAGCCUUUACAAAGAUAGUUUAACUUGGACUAGGUUUAUCAAAAUUAGACAAGCCAAGUCAACAUUUAUUACUUGUGAAUCUUUGACUACUUAACACAUUUUUUAAACUAAUUUAACUUUUUUCAUAUUUCAUGAUCACUUGGUUUAAUUAAAAAAAUUUAGAUUCAUGAUCUUGACAUUUAUUGCAUGUAGAAUCUUCUAAUUCCACUUUUGUGUCAUUAGCCAUAUUUUCUAGUUUUAAAUAAGUUUUCUUUUGAUUUGAACAUUGUCCAGAAAGUUUCAAAAAUUCUUCAUGUAAUUCUUGAAAAGCAUUUUAUAAUUCAUCAUAUGAAGGACUAUCAUCAAUUCAUGAAAAAUAUUUUAUAAUUCAUCACAUGAAUGAUGUGAUGUCAUCAAUGUCUUGCUUGCAUGGUCUUCAUCUCAAGAUGAACUUAUUUCAUUGUCAUCUCAUGCUACAUAUGCUUUCUUUGGCCUCUUGUACUUCUUGCUUUUAAAUUUACUCUUCUUUUCAAGUGUAGGGCAUUCACUCUUUACAUGUCCUUUUUUUCACAUUCAAAGCAUGUAACAUUCCUUAUUGGUGUUUCUUUCUGAAUGAUCUCCUUUUUCCUUUCUUUUCUUAAGAACUUUUUAAACCUUUUGAUAAGAUCAUCAUCUUCAUCAUUAUUGGACUCAUCCUCUUGGUUGCUAUCAUGAUUUUUUAAUCUAUUAUUUAAGGCAAGACUUUUUGAAUUCUUUCUUUCAACUUUAUGCCUUUCUUGUUUUUCAAGUUAUAUCUUGUGUUCUUGAAGUUUACCUGAUAAUGUUGUAGAAGACAUUUUUGAAAGACUUUUCUUUUCUGAAAUAGUUGUUACCUUUGGUUGCCAAGUUUUUGUCAAAUAUCUAAGUACUUCUGAAUUUAAUUCAUCAUUUGUAAAAAAAUUAUCGAGAGCCAUCAAAUGAUUUGUUAAAUGACUAAAUAUCUUUUGAAAAUCAAUAAUAGAUUCACGGAUCUGCACUCUAAACAUUUCAUAUUUUUGUGAUAAAGUGUUUAGUUUUGAUCUGUUUACCUCUAUCGUUCCUUCAUGUGUGACUUCUAAAUCAUCUCAAAUCGUCUUUGUUGUUUUACAAUGAGAUAUACGAAAGAAUUCAUACAUACCUAGGGUUGAUUGAAGCAUGUUCCUUACCUUCUAGUUAAAUAAGAUAUUUUUCUUAUCAUCAGCAUUGCAAGAGAAUUUUACUUUUUUUGUUCUACAUUAUUGAUGACCGUCUUAGGAACAUAUGGACCAUUUUCAACAGCAUACCAUAUAUCAUCGCCUUGUGCUUCAAGAUACGCUUGCAUGCGAAUUUUCCAAAAAAUAUAAUGUUCACCAGCAAAUCAUGGAAGUUUGUUGUUAUUACCACCAUCUCUAAAAACCAGAUUUGCGGGAGCCAUUUUUCUCGGAUCAAGGAACACGUUACCUGAACCUGCUCUGAUGCCAAUUGUAAGUAUUGAGCCCCCAACCUAAGAGGAGGUUGAAUUAGGUUUUAUGAAAUUAUUCGGUAAUUUUUUAGUUAAUGGUGAUUUCUAGAUUUUGUGACACUUUACUGGUUUAUUUAUUUUUAUUGGUUUUGCGAUGAAGACAAAUGGUCUGGUUCAUUUUCUAGUUAAAAGAGAUAUGAUAAAGUUGAUAGAAAAUAAAGUGGAGUAAACAUAAAUAACACAAAGAUAUAUCCUGGUUCCCCUUAUACAACCAAAGGUAGUACAUUCUCCUCACUUCCCAUGAGAGAUUAUCCAAUAUUGUCAAAUUUGUGUACAACUUACAACAAACUCUUAUACAAUCUUUUAACAAUAACAAAGAAGCUACACCACUUCAUUGAUUUCACAGACACCACACAACAAUGGUGGACUUUGAAUCUCUGUGAUUCAAAGGACCUUUUCCAACAAACAGAAAGACAACCUUCCUAUUUUAAACUUUUGUAGAAAAUAUAACCACUUUCUUACCAAAAAAAAAUCACCACACAAUUUGGUGAAAAUUACAGUAAACAAAUAAUUUUUGUACAAAGAGACUUUGCAAUAGACUUUAAUAACUUUGAGAGAUUUGCUGUUUUUCUGGUAUUAUGAAAAUUAUGUGUUUCCCUUUCCUGUAACAAUUUAUAAUCACUGAUAUAUUCAAGUGCUCAAUGACUUAGAAACUUUUGCAUGAUGUGAAAGUUAUGCACAAAAAGUUUUCUAUUAAAAAUUAUGAACAUGGUAAAAUAUUUUCCAGGAAAGAGGUUAUUUGAAAAUUGAAAAUUUUAGCUUUAAAUACAUCACAACAUGCCUCUUAAAAAUGUGUUGCAAUUCUUGAAAAAUGUUCAUGAUUAAUUAAAAUGAUAUAUGAAAAUGUUUCAUGAAAAUGUGCAAUGAAAAGCUAUUGCAAUGUUUCAGAAUUUUAAAAAAGAUUCAUGGUCCAAUUGAUUCGGAUAUUCCAUACAAUCAAUUGACACUAAAUGUAACAGUAAAAAAUAUGCAAAAAUACACGGAUCCAGUCAAUUGUGGUCUUUAUCAAAUCGAUUGUGGGGAAUAUUUUCAAGGAAAAUUGAGUUCCAUACAAUUGAUUAUGAUGAUGGGUACAAUUGAUUAGAACCUUCAAUUUGGCUAAAUUCUAAAAUUCAAUAUCUAAGCUACAAUCUUGCUUUUCUCAAGUCACAUACAAUUGAUUGUGGCAAUACAUCUAAUCUAUCAUGGCUAUACAAAAUUUCAAAUUUCCCCAUUUUUCAAAGAGUGUCAUGAAUGAAAAAAUAUUUUAAAUGUUCUAAGAUCCUUAAAGAAAGUUUGAGAUGAAGUGAGAUACUUGAGCACUUAAUUUAUAACUAGUAAGUUAAAUUGUCACAAGUAUCUUGUUCAAAAGAAUACUUUCUUGAAUUUCAUUACUUAUCACAUGAACAGAUGAUUCAAAUAUUUUUCUUCUUUGAUCUCUCUUCCAUGAUAAUCUUGUCUUCAUUAAAACUAAUGCUUCCAAAGAAGAUGAACAUCUUUUUCCCAACAGAGAUCCUAGGGAGGGUGCCUCCCUCGUGGAUGUGUCUGUAAAGGUGACAACCGGAGCUUGCACUUCAAGGGAUUAGGUGCUCCAAUUAUAUUAUUAAAUUUAAUUUUUUUCCAAAUUCAUUGUCUUGCAUAUUCAAUUUUGAUUAUUGGUCAGUAAUCAAAGUUUGUGUUUACUCUUAAUUUAAAUUGAAAUAAAUCAAUUGACGAUUCAAUUCAGAAUAAGAUUAUUCGAUUUAAUCUAAAUGCUUCUUAAUUUUAAUUCAAAUAGGAUUUACUAGAAUCUAUAACGGUAGUUAAAGGUUUGAAACAAUUACUUCUUUUGUACCAGUUGUGCAAUAAUUAGAAUCAAUCUCAUUGUUUAGAUUGAAUUCGUGUUAGAGUCUGUUUGGUAAGACCUUAAAAAGAGUUUUUAGUUUUUCAGUCCACAUUAAUGAAAAAAAUUUGUUUGGUAAAUGUCUUUUAGCUUGUAGUUAUUUUACUAGCUUUUUUUUUUCAAAAGCUAUAUGAAGUGGCUUUUGAGCCGGUAGCUUAUAACUUGUGAUUUUUUCUUCCAUUUAUAUCCUUAUUAUUUUAACAAAAAUAUAUUCUUACUCUUCAUUAUACAAUUAAUAUAUAUAUAUAUAUAUUCGCGUCAAUUUAUAAGAUGAAAGAUGAUUCAAUAUUUAUUAUCUUUAAGUAACAUCUAAAUUAUAUAAUAAAUUUUAAAAUAGUGUUGAUAAUUUUCAAAUUAGUGAAACGUCAUAGGAGAAUAAUGAUAUUAACCAAGACAAAAAAAAUCAGGAUACCACUACAGUUUUAUUGUAGAAUAUUAAACAAUAAACUUAAUUUUAUUAUUAUUUUAGAUUAAUUUAACUGAAUUCAAAAUUACAAUAUUAAUAAUUUAUGUAUAUUGUUAAAUUUCAUUAUAAAAAUUGUAUACAAAUUUAAUAUAUUUUGAUGCUUUCUUUGAUUUUUCAUAUAUAUUAAAGUUGUUUUCAUGUUUUUAUUAAUACAUCUAUUUUUAUCGAAUAAAAAUUAAUUUAAUUUAAUAAUAUAAUAAGAUAAUGAAUCACCAAUUUUUAAUCACCAAUUUAUAAUUAAAAAUAUCGUUUUAUGUCAUUUUGUAUCUAUCAGUUAGUGUAACAACUAAUUUACCAAAUAUUCAAAUUAAUUUAUCAUCUAUCAAUCAUUAGCUAUAAGUUAUCAGCUAUCAAUCAUCAACUAUAAAUUAUCCGUCAUUAACUAUCCGCUAUCAACUAAUUUUAUCGAACAAAGAUUAAUUAUCAAUUAAUAUUUUUUGAAACAUGUGAUAUAUUCACAACAAUUGUAUUAAUCAAUGAAACAAUUCUUUUAAUUCAAAUCUUUUUUUCCGAUUAAACAACGUUAUUGGUAUUCAAAUAUCUUGAUAAAUAAUGGCCAAUGUUAAUCAUCUUAUUAAUAUACAAUUUAUAAUUUAUAAUUUUUGACUACAAUCAUCAAUAAUUUCAAAUCUUAAAAUUAAUCCCAAAACCUAAUUGUUUCUAAUGAAGAAGUAACAGACUAGUUAGAGAAACAAAAAUGAAAUUUAUAAUUAUCCUAUGGACUCGUUUGUUUUGUCUUUUUUAAAAAAUUAUCUUUAUAAUAUUAAAUGAUUUUAUAUAUUUGUUUUUUAUUAAAAACCUUUUUAUAAAAAUUUUAAAUAAAAAUUAGUUUAAAUAAUUAUUUUUAAAAUGUUAAUUUUGAUAUUUCAAAAAUCUUUUUUAGAUAUCAAAAUUUUAAAAAAAAUCACUUUUAAAUAGUUUUUCAUAAAAAAAAUUAUAUCUAAGACACAAUUUUUUAAAAAAAUUAUUUUGAUCUUCAAUAAUCUAUAUUUAUGUUAUAGAAUAUCAAAAUUAAUUUUUUCAAUUUAGAAAAAACGAAUAUAAAAAACUUAUAAUAUAUUGAAAAACAGUUUUAUAAACUUCAUUUCUAAAAAUACAAAAAAAUAAUUAAUUUUUUAAAGCUAAAACAGAUCAAUCUUAUAUAAAGUAAUAGUUUUUCUUUUUUUUCCGUAUAAACCAAAUAUUUCAACAUGCAAUUACAGAUAUUUAUGAAUUGAAAAUAAAACUCACUCUUAAAAUAUUUAACAUCUAUAUUUUUAUAUAAAAGGAUAAGAGAGCUUGGACUAACCUAUUUUUCUUCCAAAAUUGUCCCUUAAAUAACUUCUUAAUUUUUUCUAUCAAAAUUAUUCCAUAAAGGAAUAACUUCUCAAUAUUUCAAAUAAAAAAGAUUCAAAUAAUAAUAACUUUUCAACAUAACUUCUCACAAUUUAUAUAAUAUUUUUUCUUUCCUCAUUUAUAAAAUUUAUUCAUCAAGUUUAUUAUACAAAUAAUUUGAAAUUAAAUAUUAAAACUAAUAAAAAAUAUCUAUUUAUAUUUUUGACACGUGAUCAUUAAAAAAAGCGGACAAACGAGAAUGAAAGUGCACGUUUGGACGCUAAUCAUUAUAAUUUUAGUGUUUUCACGCAUAGAAGAAUAACUUUAAAUAUGUUAUUUAAAAUUUAACAUUAUUUUAUUGAUAUAUUAUCGAGAUUUGAAAUUACUAUUAAAAAAUAUAAAAACCUAGUAAUUGAUUUUGUCUAUUCACUUAUGGUAUGUGAUUAGAUCUAUGAGUUAGACUCUUAAAAUAAAACGAACCAACAUAUUUUGUCUUAAAAAACCAUUUACAAGUAAUAUAAUAUAUUUCAUGUCUCAAAUAUACUUAUAACAUGUUUGGUUUGGUUUUUGUAAGAGACAAAAGUAAUUUUAAAGGUAUAAAAUUGAUUCUAGAGUGAUUUUAUGUUGUUUGAUUCUUUUAAAAUAGAAUUGGUUAUGCCUUUAGGAUUGAUUAUACUAAAAGUUAGAAUUUAUAGUUUCUGAGUUUUAGCGUGAUUUUUACAUUGACAUUUGUUGUUGCACUACUACGAAAAAACCAUUUCACAACGGUUGAAAAAUGGAUAUCACCAUGUCUGAUCGACCGUUGUGAAGUAGGGGUAGUUAUAUGUAUGAUGCUUUCCACCAGAAUCGUACGCUCGUGAUUAUAAGCUAUGUAGCGCGCUACCUAUCAAAACAGUUACUUUAAACAACUGUUAUGAUAUUCUUAACUCAUAACAUUUAACAAUGGUUGGUAUAAACAACCGUUGUGAUAUAUACACUGAGUUUAUUAAAAAUUAUAUGGAAGACUUAUUUCGCCAACUCUCACUAAACAUAUAACUUUUCAAUAUGAUCUAGGACAUUAUAAGAUGACAAAUUAAAUUAUAUUAGAAGAAUAAGCUCACGUUCAAUGUUAGACAAGAGUUUUGCAACUCCUUAUCCGUAUUUUGUUCUUUAAUGGUUAGAACUUUGUCUAAUGCUCCUAGUUCUUUCACCUCCCUUUCCUUCACCUCUAGUUCAUUUAAAAAAAUAUUAUUUACUUUGCAAAUAAAAUUAGAGGUGGAGAAAUGGACGGUUAAAGAACUACAAGCAUUAAAUAAAGUUGUAACUAUUUAAGACCGAAAUGCAGAUAAUGGACUGAAUAGAAUUGAACGUAUAUUUGUUUUCUAAUAUAACUUUAUCUAUCAUAGUAUAAUUUUCUAAUGCAAACUGAAAAGUUAUAUAUUUGGUAAGAGAUUGGAAAAACACUCAAAUCACAUUAGAUAUAAUAAACUCGUCUUUUAAAUAAGUAUUAACAACAACAUUCAUCAACAACAAACCUUAAACAACAUACAAUAUAACACUUUUAUUAAUAAGAACAACAACAACAUAUAUCAACUCAUAGAAUAUUUCAGAAAUGUGUCUAUCUCCCAUAAUAAUAUCCACAAUAAAAUGAGGAUGAAACUGAAGUGAGAGUUGCAAACUUAUGUUAAUUUUGCAUGGAUGUCAUUCUGGGUCUUUCACACAAGUUUGUAGUGCUCACUUUAGCUUUAUUCUCGUUAUUGAAACAAGCAUCCCUGCCUACCAGUCAAAACAGACAGAAAGUUCAAACAUUAUGAAAUAAGUUAUUGAAACAUAAACAAUAAUACAUCAACAUAAACAGAUUUUGAAACAAAACAAUAUUAACAAGAACAUCAACAACAUACAACAACAUUUAUGAAACAAGUUAUUAAAAUAUAAGCAAAUUUUGAAAUAAAACAACAUCAACAACAUACAAUAAUAUUUAUCAAUAACAUACACGACAACAUACAUGAAAAUAACAUACAACAACAACAUACAACAACAAUGUACAACAACAUACAAUAUUUAUCUAUAUUUAUCAACAACAAAAAAAUCAUGUGAAACAUAACAACAACAUAUACGAAAACGAGAGAAUAAGAAAGAAGAAGAAUACCUUUAUGUAUGAAGAACAAGAUUGAGGCAAUAGUGUAGAAUAGGAAAGCUAAUGAAGAAGAAGAGAGAAAAUGUGUGUUAGGAUUUUGCUGUGAGAGAUACAGUGAUACUGUCAAGAAGCGAGAGUUAAUUCGCUUAUAUAUGAGUAAACAAUUUCACCAAGGUCGUAUUCAAAAACCGUGAUGAAAUUUAAUGUCUUUCACAAUGAUUGACAUUACCAACCGUAGUGAAAAAAUAGAAAAUUAUUGGAGCUUAGAUUUGAACCAUGCCAUUUCAUAGAUGUAUAAUCACGGUUAUUUGUUUUGACGGUAAUGCAAUAUCUUUUUGUAAAUAAAAAAAAUACAUCCAUAAAUGAGAUAUUAACACGAUUAACUGUCAUACCAUUGUUAAUUAAUGUUAUCGAAUAUAUAUUUUGUAAUAAUGUUAAACUUAAUUAUACACAAAUAUAUUCAAAUAUAAAUCAAUUCGACUAAACUCAAUUAUUUUAAAAUUAAUUCUAUCAAAGUCAAUUUUAUAUAACCCCAACCCAAAAACACAGUUACUCUUUAAUAAAGCAACCUAUUAAAUAAACAAAAAAAUAUGUUAUCUUUAUAAACCCCUUUACUUCACCACCUUAGGAUGAGUUAUUUUGGAGCAUCCAACCGCUAUGGUUUCAUCAAAAUGAAAGUUUCACCUUGUUGAUCAAGAUCAUGAAUAGAGUUCCAACAAUCGCCUUCACCAUAACAUGAAAGACACACAUACGUAGUGAUGACGCAAUGAUUGAGUAAGAGUGAAAUGAUGGCAGUGUAUCUGUAAUGGAAAAAAAAUGUUAAAAAGCAUAAUCAUUUUACGCAUUAUUAUACACAUUUUUCACUUUUUAAGAUAUAAAUAACCUCACACAAAUCUUUGCUAUUGGGUCACACCUUUCAGCAUCACCAAGUUUGCUCAGCUAGUAAACACCAGAAUACCCUAUAUUAGUUCCCACAUACCUUUCACAACCCAUUAUGGACCCCUCCAACCUUCUCCUGUUUCUCACUGUCUCCUAAAUAAAACUUUAUAAUUUUUUAAUUAUGCACAUUUUUAUUUCUUAUGAUUUAAUUAAUUAGAAUAGAAAAAAAGGUGAGGGCUAUAUAUAAAGGCAGUGUUGGUGAGACUUUUACUUUUGCAUUAGUUUGAAAGACUUUACAAUAUUGUUGUUGUGGGAGUUAUUAUGGGGAGACAACCUUGUUGUGACAAACUUGGUGUGAAGAAAGGUCCUUGGACUGCUGAGGAAGAUAAGAAACUCAUCAAUUUCAUUCUUACAAAUGGACAAUGUUGCUGGCGCGCCGUGCCUAAACUCGCUGGUCUUAGGCGUUGUGGGAAGAGUUGUCGCCUUCGAUGGACUAAUUAUCUUCGUCCUGAUUUAAAGAGAGGUCUCCUCACCGAAGUAGAGGAGCAGCUUGUUAUUGAUCUCCAUGCUCGCCUCGGCAACAGGUAAUCCAAACACAGACACCGUAUCUGACACUGACACUGCAUAAGUUUAUCUAUAAUUCUCUCAUAUUUUAAUAAACAUGGUUUUCUUGAGUUGCAAGCAAUUGGAUAUUUGUAUAUUCUUUUCAAUAUACUAGUAAUAAUAUUUUUUCUUAAUAUAAUAUUCUCUAUACGUAACUGCAGAGAUUCUAAUUCUACAGAUAUAUGGUUGAUUGUUGUUGCAGGUGGUCGAAGAUUGCUUCGAGAUUACCGGGAAGAACAGAUAAUGAGAUAAAAAAUCAUUGGAACACUCAUAUCAAGAAAAAGCUAAUUAAGAUGGGAAUUGAUCCCAUUACUCACGAGCCUCUGAAUAAACAAGCAUCAUCCAAUGAAACUUCAUCCCCUGCAGAGAAUUUGUCACAGCCAGACAACAACCAUGAAGUGAAGGAAACCGACGCAGUUGUGAAUUCGGAAGAGAAUUCAAGGUCACCCGCUACAGAAAAUUCUUCUGGAGAAGAAUCUCUUUUGCUAGAUAGUCUCUGCAGUGAUGAUUCUCUAAUGAAUAGCUUAUGGUUAGAUGAAACACCAUUGGUGGAGGCACUUUGGGAAAUGGACACUACACCUAUAGCAGAGACAGAGACAGAGACAGAGAAUACAAAAAAUGAGAUGAAUUUUGUGCCUUCUUGGGAGGAUAAUUGUGCUUGGUUAUUGGAUUGUCAAGACUUUGGUAUUCAUGAUUUUGGAUUUAAUUAUUUCAAUGAGAUAGAAUCAAAGGAAAAUCAACAUUAGCAUAUUCAUGAAUAAGUAAGUAUAUUUGGUAUGUGACAAAAAAAAAAUACCAUGAGCUCAAAUUGUGUUGAGUUUUAUUUAGUUAGUAUUUCAAUGAGUUGUUUUCUUGGUGAGCAAAAUCUAAAAAAAUUGAUAGCAAACCAAAAAUCUUGGAAAUGCUACAUACUAGUAAAUAUUUAAUUUCUUUUAAUUGGUGUAAUUUUAUGUGUAUUCUAGUGACCAAAAGAAACGUGAACAAGUGUCAAAGUAAUAUUAGAGGAGUCUAAGUCUAACACCUAUAUAUUGUACAAAGAUGAUGAUUACUUUGAAAAUAAUGGUAAAACCUUAUGUGAUUAUUUAUUCUGCUCUGUUGUGUUAUUUCCAUUUUUCUAUUUUCUGUCACAUUAGAUGUUGAGGUGCAUGUGCUGAUGAAACAGUAACAGUUUGACAUGCUAAUGAAAUGAAGCACAGGCAAGGUAGUGCUAUACAUACUGAUUUGCCAUGUGCGCAUCUGUUCUAAAAUAAGUUACUUAAUUGACCAAUUUAUAUAUAUUGAGAAAACAAUAUGAAUGAAAGGAAGAAAAUAGUUUUUUUUUUUUACAAAGGAGGGCUGUCUAAAGGUUUAGAGAAAAAAUAAGAAAAAAAUUAAGAAAUUCUAACAAAUUUUAAAAAUGAGAUCUUAUGGGAGGCCUCAGUUACCGCUAGUAUUGAGAUAGCAAUUAAAGAGGAACUUUUAAAUUUGAAUAAAAAGGAAUACAAAAGGAACACGUGGGAGAUACAAAAUAGAAAAAAAGAAAAACUGAGAAGGUUAACGUAUAUGGCAAUGUGAUCGAUAAAAGCUGAUGGAGUGAAUGUCGACUUCAUUCAAUCCAAAUGAAUGGGCCAGAUGUGGGUUCUACACACUUACUUGACACCUUAGGCCCAAAAUAAAUUAGGGCUCAAGGAGAAAGUUCUGAAACACAAACAGGGCAUGGCUUCGACAAAGAAUCUCACUAUUCCGGUGAACCUCCAGACGGGAGAGACCAUGAAAGUAGAGAAACAACUAAGCACCAUAAGGAAGAUGAAGCGUGAGUGGAAGAUGACAACUCAGACAUGGAGGUUGUUGAAGAAACACCUAGUCAAGAAGAGAGACUUGGAACCACCCAAGAAUUUACUUUUAUGAUUAGUCAACUUACAAAUAGAAUUAUGAUUUGGAACUAUCGUGGAGAAGCUAGCAAAGCGUUUCAAAGAGUGUGCAAGCAAUUAGUGAAAGAGAAUAACCCAUAUAUUGUGGUGAUUGUGGAGACACGUAUGGAACCUCAUAAACUAGAAAAAACCUUCAUUCUGUUAGGUUUUAAUAUUUUGGUAAGGUCGGAAGUGAGAGGCUUCUCGGGAGGGAUAUUUAUGGCAUGGAAGUCGAAUAGAGUGAAGGUGGAUGUUCUGCAAAAAUAUUUCAAGUUUUUACAUACUAAGAUCAAGUUUGAGGGAGAGGAAGAGUGCCUCUUCACACCUGUUUAUACGUGUCCCAGGGAGGAUGGGCGUAAGGAGUUACGGCAAAGGUGGAUGUUCUGCAAAAAUAUUUCAAGUUUUUACAUACUAAGAUCAAGUUUGAGGGAGAGGAAGAGUGCCUCUUCACACCUGUUUAUACGUGUCCCAGGGAGGAUGGGCGUAAGGAGUUACGGCAGGAGUUGCACAACUUAUCAAAGCAAAAUCAGGAAAGUUAGAUGCUUAGGGGAGAUUUUAAUGAAAUUAUGCAAGCUUCGUAGAAGGGGGGAGGGGAGUACCAGCGUUAAUAAGAAAAUGUGACAACUUCAAAGAUAGAAUUGAAAAUUGUAACCUGAUGGAUUUAGGGUUCCUAGGCCAUAAAUUCACUUGGAGAGGUCCAAUCUUUCAUGGAGGUGGAAGAAUCUAUUAGCGUUUAGACAAAGUCUUUUGUAAUUAUACUUUGAGAUCCUAAUUUCCCGAUGCUUAAGUAAUAUUUCUUCCUCGUGUGGAAUUUUCUGACCACCAUCCCAUAGUGGUUCACUUCCAAGAGGUGAACACUGAAGGAGAACAGCGAUCCAAAACGCAGCGGAAAUUAAAAUUUUCUCCUUUAGUGAUCCUUACGAAUGGGCAUGAUCAGUGAUAGAAUAUUUACCUCUUGUGACGAUUGAAACCUUUGAUGCAGAUCUACGGAGCGAGCACGAACGUUGAACGACGACAACGCCUCUACUCAAGUCCACACAAACGGAUUCCUUCAAUCUCAGUGCUAGCUGCUAUGAAUGAAGGCUUUGAGUGAGAGAGAGAGAGAGAUGAGAAGAAAAUGAAAAUGCAACCGCAAUGAAUGUUUUCUGCACAAGGUUCUAUUUAUAGAACCACUUGUGUGGGCUUCAAGCUAAAAAGCCCACUUAAGUGUAUGUGGCCCAUAUCUUAUAAUAUGCCCAAAAUCACUUAAGUCCAUGGUACCUUACCAUAUGUCAUAUUCUACUUAAGUACACCGUACCUUACGAUGUUCUACAAUUCACUUAAGUGCAUCGUACCUUACGGUGUUCCUUAGUUACUCUAUCUCUCAUCAAUUCGUCCUUUGUGUGUGACCCUGUAGGUUUUCGUGGCAUUGGCAAUUAUAUUAAAUCACGUAUUUAACAUAAUAAACAGUGAGCGAUAUCUAGCAACACAUCACUGCUACCCAAGACACGAAAAUGUCAUGUGAUCUGACAAAUCCUUCUGUGAUAAUAUUUAUGUGUAGAAUUACCCUUUUUGCCCUUAUGUCUAUAUUGAACACAAGGCAUAGACCGUGUCAUCCUUGUCCAGUUCAAUAUUGGGCUCAUAGACAUUUAUCCUGUUACACAUGAUGGGCAAAUUCCAUCUAGGUCACUCAUGUCCCUCAGCAUGCUUCGUGGAGUACCCAUCAACUGUCCUUAUGGUUAUCCAGUUACGGACAAUGUUUCAUCAGCAAUAAAGCACUCGACUUUACAUCUAGGGUCCAUAGUGGUUUCAGGUCGAAGGGUGGUAUACACCAUUAUCACCAUGAGAAUAACUUAUGACACUUUGCAUAACUUUCUAUAUAGUAUUCUCAUAGCGGGUCAAUCCAAUAUAAAUAUUACUUUUAACAUUCAUACCUAUGUUUAAGACUUGAUAACUCCUUAUCCAUGAUCCAUGAGAUAUGAUCAUCGGUCUAUAUACAUAAUAGUCUUAAUGCUUUAAUGUUAUCCCACUUCACAAUAAAGCUCGACUACGGAUACUUUAAGAAUAGUGUCCUUAUGUUUAAUGUGAUCUCAUGAUUAAGUCAUACUGAUAGCAUAAACAGACUAGCUAUUCUAGGGACUUUAUUAAACAAACGUAAUAAAGAAAAAGCCUUUUAUUAUUAAUAAAUAAUUCGAUACAAGUACCAAAAGAAAAAUAUUUUGGUAAGGUCGGAAGUGAGAGGCUUCUCGGGAGGGAUAUUUAUUGGCAUGGAAGUCGAAUAGAGUGAAGGUGAUGUUCUGCAAAAAUAUUUCAAGUUUUUACAUACUAAGAUCAAGUUUGAGGGAGAGGAAGAGUGCCUCUUCACACCUGUUUAUACGUGUCCCAGGGAGGAUGGGCGUAAGGAGUUACGGCAAGAGUUGCAUAACUUAUCAAAGCAAAAUUAGGAAAGUUAGAUGCUUAGGGGAGAUUUUAAUGAAAUUAUGCAAGCUUCGUAGAAGAGGGGAGGGGAGUACCAGCGUUAAUAAGAAAAUGUGACAACUUCAAAGAUAGAAUUGAAAACUGUAACCUGAUGGAUUUAGGGUUCCUAGGCCAUAAAUUCACUUGGAGAGGUCCAAUCUUUCAUGGAGGUGGAAGAAUCUAUUAGCGUUUAGACAAAGUCUUUUGUAAUUAUACUUGGAAAUCCUAAUUUCCCGAUGCUUAAGUAAUAUUUCUUCCUCGUGUGGAAUUUUCUGACCACCAUCCCAUAGUGGUUCACUUCAAAGAGGUGAACACUACCGAAGAGAAGAGAAUAUUUUGGUUUGAAAGUGCGUAGCUCCUAGAAAAAGGUUACAAUGCUCUGAUGUAGAAAAUAUGGAGGAAUGAUAAUCAUGCAUUGGAUAACUUGAAUAAAUUUAAAGAAAAAGUGACUGGUUGGAAAAAGCUAACGACAAACUCAAUCGAGAGACAGAAGAGACAUAUGUUAAGAAGAAUUAGUGAAAUUCAACGGGCAUUAUAUGAAGGAAAAUUCCAUGAAGGUCUUUACAAAAUGGAGAGAAUGUUGCAGAAUGAGAUUUCUAAAGUUAUGGAUCAAGAAGAACUAUUGUGGUAUCAAAGGUCAAGGGUAAAAUGGCUCAUAGAGGGAGACAAAAACACUUGGUACUACACAUUAAAGUUGUGCAAAGAAAAAGAAGGAACAUGAUACAUAUGAUAAAAGAUGAGGAAAGGGAUUGGAUAGAGGACCCGAUUUAGAUAAGUAAUUUAUUCAAGGACUUCUACCAAAAGUUGUUCACUGAAGACACAGACUCGGGAAAUUGGCAAAUGUCGAAAGUCACUUAUCCCAAACUCGAUUCCAACUUUGGAAGAAAUUUGAGUGUUAUUGUGAAUAGUGAAGAGAUCAAACAUGCUAUGUUUGAUAUGUCCCCUUGGAAGGCUCUUGAUCCAGACGGUUUCCUGGCAGGAUUUUAUCAAAAAUCAUGGUCCUAUGUUGGAGUUAACAUCUGUAAGCACAUUACAGAGUUAUGGAAUAAUCCUAGCCACAUACAAGAAGUGAAAUCAACGGAAAUAUGUCUUAUUCCAAAGGUCCCUCAUCCCACCCAAGUUCAACAAUUCAGGACAAUAUGUCUAUGUAACACUAUCUAUAAGUGUUUGAGCAAGCUUAUUGUCAACAGACUGAAGAAGUACAUUGACAAGAUUGUUUGACCAUAUCAUACUAGGGCGAAGCUAUACAUGAGAACAUUGUCCUUGCUCAGGAGUUAAUGCACAAUAUGAAUAUAAAACAAGUAAAGGUAGGAUACUUUAUGGUCAAAGUUGAUUUGGAAAAAUCAUACGACAACCUGAGCUGGAAGUAUGUGCAAAGAGUGUUAGAAGAAGUUGACUUUCUCCAAAGAUGAUCCAAGUUGUGAUGGUUGAAAUCUCCUUUGUCUCAAUGAGCAUAAGAUGGAAUGAUAAAGAGUCAAACUACUUCAAAGCAUCUAAAGUCAUUCGACAGGAGGACCCUAUUUCCCUAUAUCGAUUUGUUCUUUGUAUGGAAAAAUUGUCCCAUCUUAUUUUGGAGGCAGCAGAAAGUGGAAAGUGGGUUGGAAUCAAAGUUGUUAGGAGAGGCCCAAGUAUCUCACAUCUCAUGUUUGCUGGUAAGGCCACCACUAAAAAGGUGUACCAUGUGAAAGAUAUUCUUGAUCAUUUAUGUAACAAGUCAGGGCAACACGUUAGCAUUGAUAAGCUAGAGUACUCUUCUCGAGCAAUACAACUACUCGGGUUAGAAGAGGACUUGCCUGGAUGUCUGGCUAUAAGGAAACCAAGGAGUUGGGAAUGUACUUGGGAGUUUCGAUAACAUAAAGAAAUCCCAUAAGAAGAUAUUUUAAUAACAUCAUGGAGAACUCUAAAACUAAACUAACGAGAUGGAAAGCUCAACAUUUAUCUUUUGCAGGUAGAGAUACGUUGGCAAAGAAAACUAUUGAAGUAAUUCCAAAUUAUACAAUGAUGACUUGCGCAUUACCGAAGACAUGUAUCCAGGAGAUUCAAAAGUUGCAAAGGGACUUUAUCUGGGGUGAUUCAGAUGAUCAGAAGCAUAUUCACACAAUCAAAUGGAGCGAAUUAAUGUAACCUAGAUACAUGGGGGGUUUGGGAUUCAUAAAUUUGGUUGACAUGAAUAAUGCAUGCAUGAUCAAACUUGGUUGGAAGCUGAAGAAAGGAGAGAAUCAUAUUUGGUGCCAAGUACUCCUGGGGAAAUAUGAUAGAAACAAUAACAACAUGGAGAGUGUUGGCGUCAAAGCUCAAGACUCGAGUCUUUGGAAGCACAUUGAGAAGAACUGGCCUAUCAUGAAUGCUUCCACAAUUUGGGACAUUGGCAAUGGCUUUAAGGUUAAUGCUUGGAACGAUUGUUGGCUCCAAUUAGAUAAGCUUCUUAAGGAUUUUGUACAAGAUUUGCAAGUUCAUCAUGUGGAUCGAGUUGUAGACUUGUUGAAAAUUAAUGGAGAUUGGAAUAUUAACCUCCUUGAAGGCCUCUUAAAUGUUGACACUAUUGUAGAAAUCAGAGCAAUUCAUCCCCCUAGAAAUGAGAAUGGAGAAGAAAGUUAUAUAUGGAAGGAAGCUCGAGAUGGUAAUAUGUCAGUUUCUAGGGCUUAUGAAACAAUAAGUAAGAAUAAUUCUCUCACUGAUACAAAUGGUUUUUGGAAGCAAAUAUGAUACCUCAAAGUUCCUGAACGAAUCAAUAUUUUUAUAUGGAUGGUGAAUCAUGGUAGAUUGGUCACAAAUGCAUAUCUUCAUAAUUUGAAUUUGUGUGGCCCUGAUUGUACUUUAUGUCCUAAUGUUACAUAAGAUAUUCUCCAUGUGUUAAGAGAUUGUAAUCCUGCUACGACAGUUUAGAAAUCCCUUAUUAGAAAGCCACAUUGGAACUGCUUUUUCGAAACAAAUUUGCAGGAUUGGAUUAAGUUGGACCUUACCAAUAGGUUCGGGUACACUGGUUCUUUGAAGUUGGAGAACUUAUGGGCAAUGGUGUGUCAUACAGUAUGGUUUUGAAGGAACAAACAAAAACAUGAUGAUGAGUAUAAUAUGCCAACGAGCUUAACUCCUAUGAUCUGGGACAAAACCAAGUCCUAUGCAUAUAGUAUUAAGCCUAUUGGUCAAGUCUCGAUGUGCACCUAUACAACCAUUCAAGUCCAAUAGUCUUCGUCUGGAGAAGGGUGGAUAGCGAUGAAUAUGGAUGGCACGGUUAGUAACCAAAGGAAUGUCGGAUUUCGGGGAUUGCUCUGGGAUUACAUUGGAAGUUAGCUCAAGGGUUUCUCAAGACUUAUUGGAAUAUGAAAUGUGGAAGUUGAAGAACUUUGGGGGGUGUUAGAAGGUUUGAAACUAUUGUUCGACAAAGGAUUUUAUUUUGUGGAAGUUCAGUCAAACAACAAAGAUAUAGUGGAAAACCUAAAAGGUAAUGACACUCAGUUAAGAAAAGUCAGAGGCUUGUUGAUGCAAAUUUGAAACAUAAUUACCGACAAAAAAGUAGUAUGUUUUUCUCACAUUUACAGGGAAGCCAACUCGUGUGCAGAUACUAUGGCUAAGUUGAGUUUAUUUCAUGAUCCGAGAACUAUCGUUUAUGAUAAUUGCCCGAAAGAGUUACUUCUGUUGAUUAGCGGUGACUCUCUUGGGGCCUCUUUCCCCCGUGUAGUAUUUUCUUAAUUUUUUGUUGGGCUUAGGCCCUCCCUUGUAUCAAAAAAUGAGAUCUCAUUAUUAUGAAUAAUUAAAAUGAUAUUUAAUUCAUUUGUUGAUAAAUUUAAAAGAAUUAAGAGUUUACUAUUAUUUAAAGUAAGAUAAUAAUUAGUCAAUCUGCACAAUGAUUUUCUUCACGUUAAGCAUGUCAAUUAUUUUAAGUCAUUCUUCUGAUGCUACGUACUAAGGUCGAGAAACUAUGGUCAUACACACUUUUUUGGAAAGACAUAUCCCAUACAACAUAGUUCAUAUCUCAGAAGUGAGCAUCACAUACACAUGUUUUUUCUGCAUAUCCCCUUAUCUAAUUUCUUGAAGUCUCUAAAUAAGUCUUUGCAUCCAGCUAUGGACGUAGAGCUUUUGUAUGUAUCAUCACAAUUAAACUUAAUCCAAUUGUCAUCUGGACGACACUAGCAAACAUUUCUCAUCUUCGGUUUCAACAACCCAAUCUUGUUAUUCAUACGGUUUUCAUUCUCAAUCUCUUUCAUCGGUUGCAUGAUUGUUUUUGUUGGACUGCCAAAACGUUGAAAGCCCUCUUUAAAAAUAGUCUUGUUUCUCCAUUUCUACAAGUAGCAACAAGAUAUCAUAAAGAUGAACCUCUAGUGUGCUUUGUCAAAAAUUGAAAUAUCUUUUUUGAGAUUGUACAAGAUUUAAUCCCUGUAAAAAAAAGUAAAACUGAGCAUUUUCUUAGAAGGAACAAAUCUAAUAUAUACAUGUGUUAUAUAAGGACAAUCCCAUAUCAAAUGAACUAAGGUCUCUUCAGUGUCCAUACACCGGUUGGACUCAUCAUGGAUUGUUGUGUUCCAUUUAUGGCGUCUAUACUUUGUCAAAAGUCUCUCAUGUACCAUAAGCCAAGUGAAUAUCUAAAUUUAAUAGGGUCCUAUUCAUUUUAAAAUGAUAUUCCACUCGUUAUCAGUAUUAAUAACACAUGAGAAGACAAAAUAUAUCCAUAGGAACUACUAACAGAAAAUUCACCAUCUCUAUUUUCACCACCCCUAGAUUGUAUACACCAUCUUUAGGAAGAGGAUAGUAAAUAAUUCGGUUAACCAUCUCAACAAUGAACCAAUUUUGAAACAAAAGCAAGGUUUUACCUCCCCUCGCUAUUGACAACAUUUUUUAAGUGUCGGGGUAAUAUCCAAAGUCAUGUUAGUAUUAGACAAAUAGAAGAAGAUAGGUUACUCUAUUGGAAUGCAACUGUCAAAACAAGAAUUGAUCCUUAUUCUGUCUCCAAGCUUUCAAUUAGUAUUUUUCUGAAAUUCAUCUCAAAUCUUUGUGAAAUAUUUUCGUAACAGAGAAUCAAAUGACAAGAAAACUAUAUUCUCUAACAAGUUGAUUCUUGACAUACUUAUUAGUGAGAACCAAACACCAUAAAUUAUUAAGAUUAAAUAAAUUUCAAAUAAUUUUAAAAAGAAAUGCAUAUGUCAUUAACCGGCGUCGUUUAAUGCUUGAGCCAUCAUAUUCCUUAAAACCUCCAAACAAAUCAAAUGAGCAUUGUAAAUUGUUAGAUGGACAUUAUUAUUGUCUUAAUCUACUGUUUUAUUAGUCUUAGUCUGUUUGAAUAAGACCUAUUCUUUAGGAGAAAUAUGGUUUGUUAUUUGUGUUCCUACUCUAUAGGCAUGUAAAGAGUAGAGUUGGUUAUUUCUUUUUACUUGUAAGAUGGCUAUAUAUUAGCUACUGAUUAAUCGAAUAAUAUACAUUCCUUCACUCACUUUGGAAGCUUUGUUUAAUUCUGAUUUCCAACAUUUGGUAUCAGAGCUUUCAAAAGGGGGCUGACUAAAUAGGAGUGUGAGAGUGAGUGAAGCAUGACAAACUCUGAGAAAUUUGUGACUCCAAGAUUUGAAGUAUCAGAGCUUUCAAAAGGGGGCUGACUAAAUAGGAGUGUGAGAGUGAGUGAAGCAUGACAAACUCUGAGAAAUUUGUGACUCCAAGAUUUGACGGCCAUUAUGAUCAUUGGUCGAUGUUGAUGGAUAAUUUCUUGAGGAGCAAAGAGAUGUGGAACCUGGUGGAUGAAGGUAUUCCAGCACCAGCAAUCGGGACUUCUUCGGCAAGUGCAGGCAUUGAGGAAGGAGUUUGAAAUGUUGUUUAUGAAAGAAGGAGAAAAGAUCGAUGGCUUCAUUUCACGAACCCUCAUGGCGGUAAAUAAAAUGAAAGUGAAUGGAGAAGAUAUGAAUCAAAGCACAGUGGUGGGUAGGAUUUUGAGAUCUUUGACUCCCAAAUUCAAUUAUGUUGUAUGUUCAAUUGAGGAGUCAAAUGACAUAAAUAUUAUGACUGUUGAUGAGCUCCAUGGAAGUUUACUUGUUCAAGAGCAAAAAAUGCAUGGGAAUCAGGAGGAAGAACAAGCAUUAAGAAUUUCUUAUGACGACAAACCACGACGGGGCAGAGGCUCAUUCCGAGUGGGUCGAGGUAGAGGAAGAGGGAGGUCAUCUAUGAAUAGAGCCACUGUAGAAUGUUUCAAAUGUCAUCAGUUGGGACACUUUCAAUAUGAGUGUCCUGAUUGGGAGAAACGGGCUAACUACGCUGAACAUGUAGAAGAAGGCGAAGAGGUUCUGCUAAUGUCUUAUGUUGAUGCUGGUCAAACCAAAAUAGAAGAAGCUUGGUUUCUUGACUCGGGGUGUUCAAAUCACAUGAACGGAAACAAAGAAUGGUUCUCGAAGCUAGAGGAAGGAUUUAAACAAACAGUGAAGCUUGGGAAUGACACUAGAAUGGCAGUGGUAGCUAAAGGGAGUGUACGACUUCAAGUAAAUGGUAUUAUUCAGGUAAUCUCAAAUGUUUUUUACAUACCUGAGUUGAAAAGUAAUUUGUUGAGCAUAUGGCAACUUCAGGAGAAGGGUUUAGCUAUUCUAAUUCAGCAAGGGACUUGUAAAGUUUAUCAUCCUAAAAGAGGGUUAAUUAUGCAAACUAACAUGAGUGGAAAUAGAAUGUUUGUAUAGUAGCAUCUAUGGCAGCAAAGGAAAUUCGAUGUGUCUUCAGGCUGAACUUUCCUCCGAGAAAGAGUCACACUUGUGGCAUCGUCAAUUUGGCCAUCUGAAUUACUCAGGAUUAAGAACACUUGCAUACAAGAAAAUGAUAGACGGUGUGCCUCUGCUCAAGUUCCAGAAAAGUUAUGUGAAACUUGUUUUGGUUGGCAAACAGCAUAGAGGAUCCUUUCCGAAAAACAAGUUCUUGGAGAGCAUCAAAGCAACUUCAACUUGUGCAUUCUGAUUUAUGUGGGCCUAUCAAACCCGCUUCCAACAGUGACAAAGGUAUAUCAUAAGUUUUAUUGAUGAUUUUUCAUGUAAAACUUGGGUUUAUUUUUUACAUGAAAAAUCAGAAGCCUUUAGUGCAUUCAAGAAUUUCAAAGCAUUUAUUGAAAAGAGGCUGGUGCAUAUAUAACUUGUUUGAGAACAGAUAGAGGAGGUGAGUAUUAACUCAAAUGAAUUUGGAGAAUUUUGUAAAGCUCAUGGUAUAAGCAGGCAGUUGACAGCAGCAUACACUCCACAACAGAACGGAGUUGCCGAACGAAAGAACAGAACAAUCAUGAAUGCAAUACGCUCAAUAUUAGCUGAUAAGAAAGUUCCAAAAGUGUUUUGGCCAGAAGCUGUAAAUUGGUGUGUUCAUGUUCAAAAUAGGAGCCUGACCGUAGCGGUAAAAGAGAAAACUCCAUAGGAAGCAUGGAGUGGAGUGAAGCCAACAUCAACUUAUUUCCGGGUUUUCAGUUGCAUAGCACAUGCUCAUAUUCCAGACCAAAAGAGGAGCAAGUUAGAUGCCAAAAGCAAGAAGUGUGUGUUCCUAGGGGUUAGCAAUGAAUCCAAGGCCUAUAGAUUAUAUGAUCCAACCACUAAGAAGAUCAUCAUCAGCAACGAUGUUCAAUUUGAAGAAGAAGAGAGCUGGGAUUGGGGAAGAACUGAAGAAGAACUGAUUUUGGAUGUGCUAGAAGAUGAUAAUGAAAGUGAAAAAGAGCAUGUCGGCGAGGAUAAUAUUGAGGAGGUCAGAAAUACUCCUUCCGAUUAUUCACCACAAAAUGAAGUAAACAUUCAAGAAGUUGCAGCUGAAGGAGGGUUGAAAGAGUCAGAACAAAACCAGUAUGGAUGGGGAUUAUGAAACAUGAGAAGGUCUCUCAGAAGAAGAAGAUAUGCAUGCAAUGAUGAUAGUAACAGAGAAUGAAUCCAUUUUCAUUUGCAGAGGCAGUCAAAAGUGAGAAGUGGAAAGAGGCUAUGGAAGCAGAAAUGGAAGCUAUAGAGAAGAACCAAACAUGGGAAUUGAUGGAUUUGCCUAAGGAUGCCAAGCAUAUUGGAGUUAGGUGGGUCUUUAAGACCAAACUUAAUGAAAAUGGGGAUGUCGAGAAACAUAAAGCGAGAUUGGUAGCUAAGGUUUAUGCACAACGGUAUGGAGUUGAUUACAUCGAAGUAUUUGCACCAGUAGCAAGGCUCGAUACCAUUCGAACAAUACUUGCAGUAGCAGCACAGUCUGGUUGGGAGGUUUUUCAGCUUGACGUAAAAAGUGCUUUCCUUCACGGUGAACUCAAGGAGGAAGUAUUUGUUCAACAACCUUAAGGGUUUGUUAAGAAAGGAGAAGAAAGGAAGUUUUACAAGCUAAAAAAGGCUCUAUGUGGCCUUAAGCAAGCGCCAAGGGCGUGGUACAACAAAAUUGAGUCUUACUUUCUGCGUGAAGGCUUCGAGAAAUGUUCCAGUGAGCAUACUUUGUUCACCAAGUCAAAAGGAGGUAAAAUUUUAAUAAUUAGCCUUUAUGUAGAUGAUUUAANAAAGAGGUUUAAUGCUAAUGUCUUAUGUGAUGCUGGUCAAACCAAAAUAGAAGAAGCUUGGUUUCUUGACUCGGGGUGUUCAAAUCACAUGAACGGAAACAAAGAAUGGUUUCUCGAAGCUAGAGGAAGGAUUUAAACAAACAGUGAAGCUUGGAAUGACACUAGAAUGGCAGUGGUAGCUAAAGGGAUGUACGACUUCAAGUAAAUGGUAUUAUUCAGGUAAUCUUCAAAUGUUUUUUACAUACCUGAGUUGAAAAGUAAUUUGUUGAGCAUAUGGCAACUUCAGGAGAAGGGUUUAGCUAUUCUAAUUCAGCAAGGACUUGUAAAGUUUAUCAUCCUAAAAGAGGGUUAAUUAUGCAAACUAACAUGAGUGGAAAUAGAAUGUUUUAUAUGUUAGCAUCUAUGGCAGCAAAAGGAAAUUCGAUGUGUCUUCAGGCUGAACUUUCCUCCGAGAAAGAGUCACACUUGUGGCAUCGUCAAUUUGGCCAUCUGAAUUACUCAGGAUUAAGAACACUUGCAUACAAGAAAAUGAUAGACGGUGUGCCUCUGCUCAAGUUCCAGAAAAGUUAUGUGAAACUUGUUUUGGUUGGCAAACAGCAUAGAGGAUCCUUUCCGAAACAAAGUUCUUGGAGAGCAUCAAAGCAACUUCAACUUGUGCAUUCUGAUUUAUGUGGGCCUAUCAAACCCGCUUCCAACAGUGACAAAAGGUAUAUCAUAAGUUUUAUUGAUGAUUUUUCAUGUAAAACUUGGGUUUAUUUUUUACAUGAAAAAUCAGAAGCCUUUAGUGCAUUCAAGAAUUUCAAAGCAUUUAUUGAAAAAGAGGCUGGUGCAUAUAUAACUUGUUUGAGAACAGAUAGAGGAGGUGAGUUUAACUCAAAUGAAUUUGGAAAUUUUGUAAAGCUCAUGGUAUAAGCAGGCAGUUGACAGCAGCAUACACUCCACAACAGAACGGAGUUGCCGAACGAAAGAACAGAACAAUCAUGAAUGCAAUACGCUCAAUAUUAGCUGAUAAGAAAGUUCCAAAAGUGUUUUGGCCAGAAGCUGUAAAUUGGUGUGUUCAUGUUCAAAAUAGGAGCCUGACCGUAGCGGUAAAGAGAAAAACUCCAUAGGAAGCAUGGAGUGGAGUGAAGCCAACAUCAACUUAUUUCCGGGUUUUCAGUUGCAUAGCACAUGCUCAUAUUCCAGACCAAAAGAGGAGCAAGUUAGAUGCAAAAAAGCAGGAAGUGUGUGUUCCUAGGGUUAGCAAUGAAUCAAGGCCUAUAGAUUAUAUGAUCCAACCACUAAGAAGAUCAUCAUCAGCAACGAUGUUCAAUUUGAAGAAGAAGAGAGCUGGGAUUGGGGAAGAACUGAAGAAGAACUGAUUUUGGAUGUGCUAGAAGAUGAUAAUGAAAGUGAAAAAGAGCAUGUCGGCGAGGAUAAUAUUGAGGAGGUCAGAAAUACUCCUUCCGAUUAUUCACCACAAAAUGAAGUAAAACAUUCAAGAAGUUGCAGCUGAAGGGAGGGUUGAAAGAGUCAGAAAAAACCAGUAUGGAUGGCGGAUUAUGAAACAUGAGAAGGUCUCUCAGAAGAAGAAGAUAUGCAUGCAAUGAUGAUAGUAACAGAGAAUGAUCCAUUUUCAUUUGCAGAGGCAGUCAAAAGUGAGAAGUGGAAAAGAGGCUAUGGAAGCAGAAAUGGAAGCUAUAGAGAAGAACCAAAACAUGGGAAUUGAUGGAUUUGCCUAAGGAUGCCAAGCAUAUUGGAGUUAGGUGGGUCUUUAAGACCAAACUUAAUGAAAAUGGGGAUGUCGAGAAACAUAAAGCGAGAUUGGUAGCUAAGGUUUAUGCACAACGGUAUGGAGUUGUUACAUCGAAGUAUUUGCACCAGUAGCAAGGCUCGAUACCAUUCGAAACAAUACUUGCAGUAGCAGCACAGUCUGGUUGGGAGGUUUUUCAGCUUGACGUAAAAAGUGCUUUCCUUCACGGUGAACUCAAGGAGGAAGUAUUUGUUCAACAACCUUAAGGGUUUGUUAAGAAAGGAGAAGAAAGGAAGUUUUACAAGCUAAAAAAGGCUCUAUGUGGCCUUAAGCAAGCGCCAAGGGCGUGGUACAACAAAUUGAGUCUUACUUUCUGCGUGAAGGCUUCGAGAAAUGUUCCAGUGAGCAUACUUUGUUCACCAAGUCAAAAGGAGGUAAAAAUUUUAAUAAUUAGCCUUUAUGUAGAUGAUUUAAUUUUUACUGGAAGUGAUGUGAGCAUGUGUAUGGAAUUUAAAAGGUCAAUGAUGAUGGAGUUUGAUAUGUCGAUUUAGGAAGAAUGAGGCACUUUCUUGGAAUGGAAGUGCUGCAAAAUUCUGAUGGUAUUUUUAUUUGUUCAUUUGUCAAAGAAGAUAUGCACGAGAAGUGUUAGCAAGAUUUGAGAUGGAAAACAGCAAUAGUGUGAAAAAUCCAAUUGUACCAGGAACAAAGUUGUCAAAAGAUGAAGGAGGAACUAAAGUUGAUGUAACAUUUUUCAAACAAAUGGUUGGGAGUCUCAUGUAUUUAACUAUAACUCGUCCUGACUUAAUGUAUGGUAUAAGUCUCAUAAGCAGGUAUAUGUCUAGACCAACCAUGUCACAUUGGUUGGCAGCCAAAAGAUUUUUGAGGUAUUUAAAAGGGACAACUGAGCUAGGCAUUCUCUACACAAAGAAUGAAGGUUUUUCAAAACUCUUGGCAUUCACAGAUAGUGGCUAUACGGGUGAUCUUGAUGAUAGAAGAAGUACAUCUGGCUAUGUGUUCAUGAUAGGAUCUGGAGUUGUAUCCUGGUCAUCUAAAAAAUAGCCUAUGGUGACUUUAUCAACUACCAAGGCCGAAUAUAUCGCAGCAGCUCUAUGUGCUUGUCAGUGUAUAUGGCUAAAGAGAAUCUUGAGAAAGAUUGGAGUGGAGCCGGUUGAAGGAACUACAAUUCAAUGUGACAGCAGCUCUGCCAUUCAGUUGGCUAAGAAUCCAGUUUUUCACGGAAAAAGUAAGCAUAUUCAUGUGCGAUUUCAUUUUUUAAGAGAUUUAGUAAAUGAAGGUGUUGUAGAAUUAAAGUACUGCAACUCUCAGGAGCAAGNAAAGAGGUUAAUGCUAAUGUCUUUAUGUGAUGCUGGUCAAACCAAAAUAGAAGAAGCUUGGUUUCUUGACUCGGGUGUUCAAAUCACAUGAACGGAAACAAAGAAUGGUUCUCGAAGCUAGAGAAGGAUUUAAACAAACAGUGAAGCUGGAAUGACACUAGAAUGGCAGUGGUAGCUAAAGGGAGUGUACGACUUCAAGUAAAUGGUAUUAUUCAGGUAAUCUUCAAAUGUUUUUUACAUACCUGAGUUGAAAAGUAAUUUGUUGAGCAUAUGGCAACUUCAGGAGAAGGGUUUAGCUAUUCUAAUUCAGCAAGGACUUGUAAAGUUUAUCAUCCUAAAAGAGGUUAAUUAUGCAAACUAACAUGAGUGGAAAUAGAAUGUUUUAUAUGUUAGCAUCUAUGGCAGCAAAAGGAAAUUCGAUGUGUCUUCAGGCUGAACUUUCCUCCGAGAAAGAGUCACACUUGUGGCAUCGUCAAUUUGGCCAUCUGAAUUACUCAGGAUUAAGAACACUUGCAUACAAGAAAAUGAUAGACGGUGUGCCUCUGCUCAAGUUCCAGAAAAGUUAUGUGAAACUUGUUUUGGUGGCAAACAGCAUAGAGGAUCCUUUCCGAAACAAAGUUCUUGGAGAGCAUCAAAGCAACUUCAACUUGUGCAUUCUGAUUUAUGUGGGCCUAUCAAACCGCUUCCAACAGUGACAAAAGGUAUAUCAUAAGUUUUAUUGAUGAUUUUUCAUGUAAAACUUGGGUUUAUUUUUACAUGAAAAAUCAGAAGCCUUUAGUGCAUUCAAGAAUUUCAAAGCAUUUAUUGAAAAAGAGGCUGGUGCAUAUAUAACUUGUUUGAGAACAGAUAGAGGAGGUGAGUUUAACUCAAAUGAAUUUGGAGAAUUUUGUAAAGCUCAUGGUAUAAGCAGGCAGUUGACAGCAGCAUACACUCCACAACAGAACGGAGUUGCCGAACGAAAGAACAGAACAAUCAUGAAUGCAAUACGCUCAAUAUUAGCUGAUAAGAAAGUUCCAAAAGUGUUUUGGCCAGAAGCUGUAAAUUGGUGUGUUCAUGUUCAAAAUAGGAGCCUGACCGUGAGCGGUAAAGAGAAAACUCCAUAGGAAGCAUGGAGUGGAGUGAAGCCAACAUCAACUAUUUCCGGGUUUUCAGUUGCAUAGCACAUGCUCAUAUUCCAAGCCAAAAAAGAGGAGCAAGUUAGAUGCAAAAAAGCAGAAGUGUGUGUUCCUAGGGUUAGCAAUGAAUCAAGGCCUAUAGAUUAUAUGAUCCAACCACUAAGAAGAUCAUCAUCAGCAACGAUGUUCAUUUGAAGAAGAAGAGAGCUGGAUUGGGGAAGAACUGAAGAAGAACUGAUUUUGGAUGUGCUAGAAGAUGAUAAUGAAAGUGAAAAAGAGCAUGUCGGCGAGGAUAAAUAUUGAGGAGGUCAGAAAUAUCCUUCCGAUUAUUCACCACAAAAUGAAGUAAACAUUCAAGAAGUUGCAGCUGAAGGGAGGUUGAAAGAGUCAGAACAAAACCAGUAUGGAUGGCGGAUUAUGAAAACAUGAGAAGUCUCUCAGAAGAAAGAAGAUAUGCAUGCAAUGAUGAUAGUAACAGGAGAAUGAUCCAUUUUCAUUUGCAGAGGCAGUCAAAAGUGAGAAGUGGAAAGAGGCUAUGAAGCAGAAAUGGAAGCUAUAGAGAAGAACCAAAACAUGGGAAUUGAUGGAUUUGCCUAAGGAUGCCAAGCAUAUUGGAGUUAGGUGGGUCUUUAAGACCAAACUUAAUGAAAAUGGGGAUGUCGAGAAACAUAAAGCGAGAUUGGUAGCUAAGGUUUAUGCACAACGGUAUGGAGUUGAUUACAUCGAAGUAUUUGCACAGUAGCAAGGCUCGAUACCAUUCGAAACAUACUUGCAGUAGCAGCACAGUCUGGUUGGGAGGUUUUUCAGCUUGACGUAAAAGUGCUUCCUUCACGGUGAACUCAAGGAGGAAGUAUUUGUUCAACAACCUUAAGGGUUUGUUAAGAAAGGAGAAGAAAGGAAGUUUUACAAGCUAAAAAAGGCUCUAUGUGGCCUUAAGCAAGCGCCAAGGGCGUGGUACAACAAAAUUGAGUCUUACUUUCUGCGUGAAGGCUUCGAGAAAUGUUCCAGUGAGCAUACUUUGUUCACACAAGUCAAAAGGAGGUAAAAUUUUAAUAAUUAGCCUUUAUGUAGAUGAUUUAAUUUUUACUGGAAGUGAUGUGAGCAUGUGUAUGGAAUUUAAAAGGUCAAUGAUGAUGGAGUUUGAUAUGUCGAUUUAGGAAGAAUGAGGCACUUUCUUGGAAUGGAAGUGCUGCAAAAUUCUGAUGGUAUUUUAUUUGUCAAGAAGAUAUGCACGAGAAGUGUUAGCAAGAUUUGAGAUGGAAAACAGCAAUAGUGUGAAAAAUCCAAUUGUACCAGGAACAAAGUUGUCAAAAGAUGAAGGAGGAACUAAAGUUGAUGUAACAUUUUUCAAACAAAUGGUGGGAGUCUCAUGUAUUUAACUAUAACUCGUCCUGACUUAAUGUAUGGUAUAAGUCUCAUAAGCAGGUAUAUGUCUAGACCAAACCAUGUCACAUUGGUUGGGCAGCCAAAAGAUUUUUGAGGUAUUUAAAAGGACAACUGAGCUAGGCAUUCUCUACACAAAGAAUGAAGGUUUUUUCAAAAACUCUUGGCAUUCACAGAUAGUGGCUAUACGGGUGAUCUUGAUGAUAGAAGAAGUACAUCUGGCUAUGUGUUCAUGAUAGGAUCUGGAGUUGUAUCCUGGUCAUCUAAAAAAAUAGCCUAUGGUGACUUUAUCAACUACCAAGGCCGAAUAUAUCGCAGCAGCUCUAUGUGCUUGUCAGUGUAUAUGGCUAAAGAGAAUCUUGAGAAAGAUUGGAGUGGAGCCGGUUGAAGGAACUACAAUUCAAUGUGACAGCAGCUCUGCCAUUUCAGUUGGCUAAGAAAUCCAGUUUUUCACGGAAAAAGUAAGCAUAUUCAUGUGCGAUUUCAUUUUUUAAGAGAUUUAGUAAAUGAAGGUGUUGUAGAAUUAAAGUACUGCAACUCUCAGGAGCAAGUAGCAGACUUGAUGACAAAACCACUCAACUUGAGCAGUUUGAAAAACUCCGUGGUAUGCUUGGAUGUGGAAUGGUUAGUGCGUCAGAGUUAAACUAAAAUACAUGUGUUUUAGUUUAAGGGAGGGAAUGUUAGGUGGACAUUAUUAUUGUCUUAAUCUACUGUUUUAUUAGUCUUAGUCUGUUUGAAUAAGACAUAUUCUUUAGGAGAAAUAGGGUUUGUUAUUUGUGUUCCUACUCUAUAGGCAUGUAAAGAGUAGAGUUGGUUAUUUCUUUUUACUUAUAAGAUGGCUAUAUAUUAGCUACUGAUUAAUCGAAUAAUAUACAUUCCUCCCACUCACUUUGAAAGCUUUGUUUAAUUUUGUUUCCAACAUAGAUUGUCAUUAUGUCUCCUUAUAUAAAUUUUUGUUGAAUCCUUUCCAACUCCAUAUUAAUAGUGGUAGAAUUUUUGUGUACUGCGUGUAAAAAUAAGGGAUAAAAUUUAACACACAUUUACUCAUGGUAAUUCUUUCGGAUUAAUUUUGAGUGUAGAGUUCUCAUGAUUCAAUUCAGAUUUAUAAAAUUGAGUUAAUUCAACUCAAACUUUGAUAAGUUAUCAAGGUAAAUAAAAAUUUAUUGAAUUAUUUAACUUGAAAUAUUAUAAGUAGGGAAAUUUCGCUUUACAAACUGUUUUAUUUUUAUAAAAAAAAUUGAAUUAGACACAAUACAAAUUUAAUAAAGCUUUUGUUAUUUCAACCAUAUCAUUAACUUUUUUUUUAUAUAUAUAAAAAUAUGAGAGAAAGCUACCCCACAAAAUGAUGAUGGGAGUGAGAGAGAGGGUUCUACAAAAAUAAUUGAUAAUAAAAAGAGAGAGAGAAAAAAAAGUGUAUAAGUCUUUUGGGAUGAGAAUUUUAAAAAGUUUUGGAAAACUAUUAUAAUUCUUUUGUUGUCGUAAAAAGAAAGACUAGUUAGAGAGUGACUGAUAACUCAAAGACUACAGUUUUAUUUUUUUAUUUUUCGAUUAAAAGUAGAGUUUUCAAAAUUGAAUUGAAAUAGAUGGUUCAACCAAUUGAAUUAAAAAAUGAGCAGUUUCUAUAAUAAUUUAAUCACUUGAACUGUUUGAUUCUGCUUUUGUCUUGUUUAUAGUACUAGUAUAAUACUACUCCAAGUCAUAAAUAUAGACAAAAACUGAUUUAAAAAAGUUGAUAGAUUAAGGACAUGUUUGAAAUGGUUUUAAAAAACAGUUUUAUAAUUUUUAAAAAUUGAAAAACAAAAAAUUUGUUUGAUACAUUUGUUUCUCAAAACUAUUUCUAAAAACACUUUUAGAAUUCAGUGUUUUAAAAUCUAAAAAACUGAAACUAUCAAAAUAUGUUUUGAUUUUCAAUUUUCAGUUUUAUUUUUUAAUUUUCAAUUGAGAUGAGCUGGAAAAAAACACAGUUUCAUUAAUCGCAUUUUAAUAAUUACUUGCAAUAUUUUUUAAUUGCAAUAUUUCCCUCUCAAUCUAUUGAUAAUGAAAAUUAAAAUUCUCACUCUCAAUUACUCUCUCUCUAAUUAAUCUCAUUAAGUGAAUGGUAUAUUUGUAUACAUUAAGUGAAUUUAUAUAUAUAUAUAUAUAUAUAUAUAUAUAUUAUAUUAUAUAUAUAUAUAUAUAUAUAUAUUAUAUAUAUAUAUAUAUAUAUAUAUAUAUAUAUACUAUAUAUAUAUAUAAUAUAUAUAUAUAUAUUCAAACAACACUCAAAUAUAAUUUUAUACAUUAGAUGAAUGGUAUAUUUUAUCAUUAAUUAUUAAAAUAUUUUAAUGAAACUUAAAUGUAUAUUAACUGAAUUUUUAUACUUUCAAAAAAUAUAUCAUAAUUAUUUUUAUUUAGUAAAAUAGAUUUUUAAAAUAUAGAUUAUCAAACAAGCUAUAUUGUUCUAUUUCAAAAAAAAAAAUAGUUUUUAAGAAUUAUACUAUCAAACAUAUUUUUUCACUUUUUAAUUUUUAAAACAGUUUUCAAAAAUUGAAUUACCAAAUGAAUUCAUUUUAUUUUUUUUUCUCAAAAACAAAUUUGCAAAAUCAUUUGUAAAACAAAUUUUAAAAAUUAAAAUUAAAAAGAGAUUCAAACAAGCCCUAAGUCUUCAUUUUAUUCUCCUUUAAUGAUUAGACUAGACCACAAAUAACAAUAUAACCCGCAAUAGUUUUUGUUUUUAUUUUAAUAAACCACUAAAUUAAAGAAAAUAAAGAAAAUAUAAAAAAUAAAGAUAAUAUAAAAUACUAAGGGGUAAAACCUAAUUCAGUUAAACCAUGUAGUUAGUAUUUUAAAUAGAAUAUAAUUAUUGUAACAAUGAUCUCAAAAAAAAAAAAACACACACACAACAAAAUGUUACCUAAUGAACAUGCAUACAAGAACGAAAUCAGAUAAUAAAAGAAAGGUGUUGUGUGAGUCUUCACAAACUUUAAUUAAUGGUGAAUGAAUCGACCGCCAACACGAACCAAUUCACGUACAAACAACUUCCUGUGAAAAUUACAGCAAGCAUAAUAGCUCUUUCAAGUUAAACAAACCAAUAUGACAUCGAACCAUAACAAGGAACGACGGUGAUAAGGUUGUGAAAUAUAACAAAAUCGUUGUUAUGGUAGCGUCAACCCAAACGCAUUGAUAAUUGCAAAUCUCAAUAAAUCUGAAACAAAUCAGAAAUCAAAGCAAGGCACACCACCACCAACUACAAAAACAUAACCGGAAUCGAUGAACGAUUAAAAUCUAGAAAGACAACAUCAACUCUUCACGCGAGCAAGCUUUAACAACCUCCAAAAAUCCAAUACCCUUUCUCAGGUGACCCGAAUCCGGCGAUGUGAGCAAGCUAACAGUGUGAGAGAAGAGCAGAACAACCAAUUGCCGGCGGCGCUGAAUGAAACCACCAGCGGCGGCCGUCUGCAAGCCAUCGUUGGAAAACUCCCAGAAAACACGGUGACACAGAGAAAAUACCUCAUCGCACAAUAGUUCAACCAUGAUGAUAUUGUGUUUUGAAAAAGUUAAAAUAUUAAGUUUAUUGAUAUAAAAUUGGAUAACAAAAUAUUUACAAAUGAUUAAAAAUAAAAUGAUAUGUUUUAGGUUUUAGGACCAAAAUGUCGUUAGGCCCAAUAGUUUAUAAAUUAGGGCAUUACCUUAUCCACUAUACCAAAGUUUAUAGAUUUUGGAGAUGCAUCUUCAGACGCGUCUAUAUUACACAUCUCCAACACUUUGUGAGUAACCCACUCCAUUUUUUAAAAAAAGUGUUCGAGAUGCAUCUUCGUAUCCAUAUUAGGGUGAACUCGGAGGUACAUCUACAUAAUAACCCUUAUUUCAAAACUCGGUGUUUUACGCUCAGUGAAUUUUACGGAGAUCCAUCUUCAGGCGGGUUAUAAUAGAUAUACCUCAUGUAAGAACCUUCCAUUCCUUCUUCAUUUUCUACACUUUCAAAAACACUUUAGAGCUUGCGGACAAGAACCAACAAGGCCAUUUUUCAAGCUUCAAGCUCAUUUACAAUCAGUCCCAAGACAUUUCAUUCACUUCAUUCAAGUUUUCGCACAACAACUCUCAAUCAGUAAGUUUCUAAUUUCCUUUGUAUUUUUGAAUUGUGAUGUAUGUAUUGGGUAAAAGGUUGUAAACAUGCAUUCACAUUUGUUGGUGUUUAGGGAAUCACAUAGGAUUUUAUGCAUUUUCUGCAAUCGCACAUUUUUACAGAAAUGUAUCUCCAUAAUUUUCUUUUCCAGUGUUACGGAGAUGCAUCUCCGGAUUUUACUUGCCUUGAUUUUGAUAUAAUUUCCUGGUUUGUAUUAUAGGAACAAUGGCUGAAAACCAAGACAAAUUGAGGUAUGUAGUGGAGGUCGAAGGUGAUGAUGGGCAAGUUUUGUUCCACAAACAAUGUGCAUUGAUGUCAUACUUCAUGUACUUGGUUGAUAGGAAAAUAUUUGUGGACAAAAGUGAAACCUACAUUGAUGUAGCCUACUUGACAUACUUCAUCGAAUUAAAAUGGAUCCACGAGUACAACUGGGGGGCUGCGUGUUUGAUUUUUCUAUACUUCAAACUAGGUGAAACUUGUUUUUGAAAGACAAGACAUAUGACAGGAAGUUGCACGCGGUUUACAAUAAUAUAUUUGCAUCAUAUAUUGUUACUAAUAUUUGUAUAGCACUUGUUUUACACUUGUUACUAACAUUUUAUCUAAACCAUUUUCAAGUGUGGAUCAUCUCUCACUUUCCUCACAUGUCCCGUUGGGAACCUGAGAUGGACUACAAUGAGGAUUAGCCACGUGCUUGCGUCUUUUCCCUGUUCAAAGGAAUUCAAGCGAUAGAUUUGUACAAGGUGUUUAUUGACCUCACUGUAGCAUAUGACAAAUGUUUUUUCCCGUAUGAUAGUCAUUGUCAGACGUAUCUCUUGGAUGAUAUAACCUUAUACUCUGAAUUGUUGGCUUGUGGGUCACGCAUGAUGUAUCCACAUCUACCUGAGAGGGUCAUGCGCCAGUUCGAGUUUCUUCAUAUUAUUCCAAGACCUCCCUCUGUGUCUGCUCCUCCGAUAGUUCGUCACAGAGAUCUUGGUGCCAUAUUUGAUGAUUUCUAUGAUCAUCUAGUACCAUACGAAGCAUACAGUGUGCCCUUCCUAAUCCAUGGGUUGCAGGUUACAUUCAUUGGUUAUAUCAAGUCCCACGUCCUUACAUGACACCAAAUGUCGCGAGAGCACCAUCUUGACUAGCUCAUCAAGAGAUAUUGGAAGAGGAACUAGCUAAGGAUGACCAUGCCUAGGACCAGUUGUCGGCCUGUUAAACGUAUUGAGACGAUUGCGAUAGAUGCCAUAAAGAGAGGAGAUUUUGAAGAAGGCGAUUAUGGUAUGGGUGCCGUACAAACAUAUUAGUCGAGGAACAAAAUGCCUUGGGGUACAGGCAAUAGAGGAGAAACAAGGGAUUAGAUGUACACAAUAGUGUAUUUUUAUUUGUAUUUUAGUAACAAUUGUAUUUUCUGAACAAAUUAUGUAUUGUGGUAAUGUUUUUGAUUAAUUUAUUAAUGUUUGGAUUUGUAUUGUUGUUUGAUUUUAUAUAUGACAUAUUCGAAUUACAUUAGUAUAAUUUUCAUGGUGUUAUGAUAUCCUUCGUAUAAAUGGCCUAAAAUAAUAUCAAUUUGGGACACUUGUUGCCAAGGCAAAAACUCCCAAAUGCUUUUAGGGUUGUUCUAAAGAUGCAUCUACAAAAUAACCCUUAACAAAUUACGGAGUUGCAUCUCCAAAUCAUGUUUUUGACAAACUUGGUAUGGAUGGUUCACUUGUGAAGCAUAAAGUGCUUUUAGGGGUUAAUCCGUAGAUGCAUCUCCGUAAUUGUCUCAGGGUGAUUUCAUAGAUGUAUCUCCGAAUCUUUUUUUAUUUAUAAAUAUGGGGUGGAUGACUCACUUAUGAAGCAUUAUGUGCAUUUUAGGUGAGUUCGAAGAUGCAUCUCUGGAAUAUGAAAAUUGAAAAUUCAAGUUUUUAGUGUGUUCACCCUCAGGGCAUGAAGUGAAUAAACUAAGGGAGUUACUUUUUACACCUUUAGGGGUUUUCCCUUGCCACGGUGAAAAGCCAAAACUUCUCAUACCGUCCGGAGAUGCAUCUUCGGACGCACCUUUUUUUUACACACCAUUCAACGCAAAUGGAUGGGCCUUACUUUUCCAAAAUUUAAUCGGGAUAUGUAUCUUCGUAUACCUUAAGGGUGAGUAUGAAGAUACAUCUAUGUAAACACCAUUAGUUCAUGAUUCAGUGGGUGUUACAAACAUGCAUCUCCAUAUGCGUUUUAUUCAUAAACCCGCGCCAAACCCUUCCCUUUUCCUCCUUCAUUUUCUGAAGAGUCACUCGAAAAACUCCAUUUGAGCUCUUUUGCUGUAAAACAUUUCCAAACCCUAUUUGAGCAAUUUUCAUCAAGUUCACUCAUUCCAUUCUACUUAAUUUGCUACAAAGUUACUCACUACAUUUAAGUCUCUCAAUUCAUUCUUUUCUUGUGUGUUUUGAAUGAUGUUUUCGGUAACAUAGUUUGUUUAAGCUACAUUAGAUAAUAGUACAAUUGAAAUUGGUAGUUGGUAUAGAUAUGCAUUGCCAUUUGGAUAAAGGUUAAGGCAAUAAUGGGGUUUCUGUCAUUGCUGAAAAUUGCGAGUUCAUCUUGAGAUGCAUCUCUAGAUUAUGUUUGAACUACUUUUGAAGAUGUAUCUUCAGAUUUGUGAUUAGCUGCAUUUUGGUUGAAUUUUUAUGUGACUUUUUGGUUUUAUUACAGGUGCAAAGACUGAAAACAACCCGGACAAAAUUAGGCCUGCUCAUGUGUCCCAACAUGUGUCUGUACAACGUGAGAGGGUCAGAGCCAGGGUUACGAGGCCACAAGUACAAUUGGGGGACAUCUGUUUGGUAUACAUGUACUCGAAGCUGGGUGAUGAUUGUCUUUGGAAGACAAAGCAGAUGACAGGAAGUUGCAUGCUACUUACGAUUAUUUAGUGAUACUAAUAUUUUCAUAAGUAUUUUGUCACUUGUUAUUAAUAUUUCAUUUGAACCAUAUUCAAGGAUGGUGUCAUACCCCAAUUUUGUUUGGGCAUUUUAAAUUCAUCUGAUACAUGUCCAUUUGUCAAGUUUUUUUAUUUUUAGCCAUAUGCAUUUUUAUCAUCAAAUAAAGUCACCAUAAUCAUGCAUAUAUAGUAAAAAAAGUCAACAUAAAGUCAAUAUUUUACAUGUUGAAGAAAUUGACUAAACUUACUUUUUUUUUUCAUUAUGUAUUUUGAAAAAUAAAUUCAUGAUUAUUUGAUUUAUCAUCAAAAUAUCCAUUUGAAUUUUAUUAAUCAUUUUCAUGCAUCAUAAAACAAAGAUCAAUGUUUCUAUAAGACUCAAAAUAUCUCUCAUUUAUUACACCAUUAUUCCAUGCAUAUAUUACAUCAUUAAGUUUCUAGAAGACACUCCCACUAUUUGCAUGAUUCAUAAACUACCCUUUUUAGAGCAUAUAAAUAAAAUAAUUCUCAUUCACAAAUCUCACCACCAAUCAUUCACAAAAACUAAGUCAAAACUCUUCAUUUUUCUUCAAGAUAUUUCUUUUUUUCUUUAUUGAAUUUUAUUUUAGGUAUGCUCUUAUGCUUGUUAUUUAUUUAAUUAUAUUGUAUUUUUAUUCCUGCUUCAUUUAUUUAGUGUUUUAAUCAUCACAAUUUUGCAUGGAAACUCUAUUGAUUUAAAAUCAAGAGUUUAAAGUGUUCUUGAACCUCUAUGAGUAAAAAUUAUUAAAUGUGAAUUUAUUUUCGUUUAGUUAAUUUUGUUUGCAUUAUUAUUAUUGCUUCACUUAAUUAUUACCUUAAUCAUCACAAUUUUGCUUGAAAACCCUCUUUUUCAAAUCAAGAGUAAAAAGUGUUCUUGAACCUUCAUGAACAGAAGGGAUUAAAUGUGAAUUAAUUUUUGUUUAUUUAAAUUUAUUUGCAUUAUUAUUGCACUUAAUUAGUAUAUUAAUUACGUAUAGAAACUCAAUUGAUUCAAAAUUAAGAGUUUAAAGUGUUCUUGAACCUCUAUUAACAAAAAAGAUAAAAUGUAAAUUGAUGUUUGUUUUACAUAAAUAAUGUAUCCAAUAGCUUCCCAACGUGAGGGUGGAUAAGAUGACAAAAUCAAGCAAAUAUAUAUUGAUGUAUUUUUGUUGAUUUUCAAUUUUUUUGUUAUUUAUUUGCUAAUUCUAAAUUUACCAUUAUGUUCAUGAGAUCUAGUAGAUAAAUUUUCAUUAUUUAUUUGCUUAAUUUUGUGAAAAAUUAAAAAAAUUAUGGUAUUUUUUCGUUUUCGUUGGAACAUUUUUCUUCCAUUUUUGUUGCUACGGGAAUAAUAAUCUAAUGUGGGGUUGGAGAAGAUGAAGUCUACCACACACACCCAAAAAUUUAACUUGACACCCCCCAAAUUAAACUUGGCACCCCCAUAUUUCCAUAUUGCCAAAACUGUCCCUAAUUGAAAUUUGAAUAAAAUUUAUGUUUAAAGUUUCCGAUAGGCAAAAAGGAAAUUUGCAGUACGUACAAAAUUUUCGGUAGUGUAUUUUAAAUUUCCGAUAUACCAGAAAUUUCACAAUGUCCAAUAUGUUCCAAAUAAUUUUAAAAUUUUAAAAUUUACCGGUUGACACCGGAAAUUUCAACAAAAGUGAAAUUUCCGGUAGUCUUAUUUGCUUGAUUUUAAAAAAAUUACAACUAUCGGAAAUUUCAAAAUUUUCGAUAAAAAAUAAAAUUUUGUAUCCAUACCAGAAAAUGUUUAUAACUAUCAGAAAUUCUGAAAUUUCCGGUAAAUCAAAUGGAAAUUUGUACCAAAAUUUUUAAAAUCUUUGAUAAAUUUAAAAGCCUUAAUAUCGGGAAUUUUUGGAAUUUUUUAUACAAAAUUCCGGAGGUUUUGACUUUUACGGUAAAAAAACAUAUUUUUUUUGAAAUUUCCGGUAAUUGUUUCAAAAUUUUCGGUAUCGCCCAAGAAUUUUCAAAAUUCGCUUGAGUCCUAUAAAUUUGGGAAAUUGGUGAAGUGAUUUUGCAAGGGCAAUGUUAGCUUUUCAUAUGCAUUGGGGGUGUCAGGUUUAAUUGAGGGAGGGGGUGGCAGAAAGAAAUCUUCACACCCCUAACUACUCAGUGCACCCCUGUGAGGCCCCCUCCUUUAAGCAUAGUGCAUUUUCUUAGCUACACCCCUAAAUUUCAGUCAGUUUUUAUCUUUUCUAUAUUUUUAUUUAUUUAUUGUUUUCUUAUUAUUACUUUAUUUAUUUAUUUUUGUUUUUUUUUCUUUACUUUUUUAAUUCUUUUAUCUUUUGUAUUAAUAAUAUGCCUCUCCCUUUUAUUUUUUAUUUUAUUUUUUAAAAUUAUUAUUGCUUUAUUUUUUAGUUUAUUUUAUUAUAUUUUUAGUUGAUGUAUAAUUAUUAAUCCCAAAAGAUAAAAUGACCCUUAAAAUUGAUCUUUCAAAAAUACUAAAAUCAAAUGUGCUUGAUCAACAUCAAGUGCAUUUUUUUAAAAUCACACCAAAAUAUUUUCAAACCAAAAUCAAUUGCUUAACAUCCAUUAACCUUCACAAAUAAAAUCAAUCCUUUAAAAAAAUCAACUUGGUCAACACCAAGACUUUUUCUUUAAUAACAACCUCAUAUCAUUUUAAACUAUUUUUCAUAAUCCAUUCAAACGCAAAUCAAAUGCUUGAUCAAAUGUCAAUCUCCUUUCAUAUUCAAACCAAAUCCUCUACUCCAACGUUUUUUUUUGCAAUAAACAAAUCGAUUGAAAAAUAUUGGGGUGGAAAUAAUUUUCUUCUCCUUUCCCGAAUGUUUAUGUGAUGACCGCACUUAGCCUACCAUUUGAACAUUCGUUGGUCGUUUCAAAAUACUCUUAAAUAAACAAAUUGAGUUGAUUUCUCUUGCGGACGAAAAAGAUUAGGGUGGAAGUAAUUUUCUUCUCAUUUCCCAAAUAUUCGUGUGAUGGACGUAUUUAGCCUACCGUUUGAAUACUUGUCGCCGUUAAAGAAACAUGACUUGAUUCGCUACACAAAUUUCAUAAAUCGAUUGAAAAAGAUUGAGGUGAAAGUAAUUUUCUUUUCGUUUCCCGAAUGUUCAUGUGAUGGCCGCACUUAGUCUAUCGCUUGAAUAUUUGUCAAUCACCUAAAAUAUUCAAACAUAUUAAACCUAUCUUUUUCUCGCCCCAUGCGAUCUAAACUUUUUCAAAAAAAAAUGUAUGUCUAAUCAUUUCUAAUGCGUAUACAAACUAGCGCUUAAGUCUCUACAACAAGCAUGCAAGCCCAUGUUUAACCGUUAAAAUGCGAUCCAAGUACUUAUUCAUUAAAAAACAUCAACCAACAAACCGUAGCCUUCACCCGAACUACGAAGCUUUGAGUUCCUCAUUGUAUCUGAGAAUAUGUAGGAGUGAGACCCGUAAUCUCGUCAAGCACCCUAAUAAAAAUAUUUUUGCGACCUAUUUUCUUUUUAUUUUCUCUUUUACAUUCGAAGAAAACAGUUAACAAAAGCUAACAUUUAAUCACAAAUUUAACUAAAAGGUUCUCGUUGAGUACAACGGACGUGAGAGGUGUUAAUACCUUCCCCUUACGUAAUCGGCUCCCGAACCCGAAUUUGGUUGCGACAACCAUUUUCUUUUUUUUAAAAUAUUUUGUCGAUAUUUUCUCUUUCCUUCAUUGGAAUAAAUAAAGUACGGUGAUGACUCUGUUCGAAUCAUUUUUUUCGCGACUUCGUGAAGGAUCGUAUUUUUCGAGAUGCGAUAGAUGAGUCAUCUCAUACUUUCCUCGUAUCUCCGUGUGGGAAUUUGUUCUUAACUAUAAUGAGGAUUGGUCACAUGAUGCUGCCUUUUCCCCGCUCAGAGGGAAUUAGGUGAUCGAGCCAUACAUGAUGUAUCUUGACCGUCAUGUAGCAAAUGACAACUUAACCUCAUUACGUUAUACUAAAGAUGACUGACAUGUUGGUCACGUCUGAUGGAUCUCUAUCUGCUCGAGCGAGUGAUGCGUUAGUUUGUGUAUUUGCAGAUUAUUCUGAGACACCCCUUAGAGUCUGCUCCUCCCACUAUCUGCCAUAAAGAUCUUGAUGCGAUACUUUAGGAUUUCAAGAGUCAUUUGGUACUAGAAGACUAUCGUAGGGUGCCAACUCUUGUACACUAGACUUAUGUAGACGACUAUAUGACAUGGUUCUAUAGGGUGGCACGCCCUAUCAUGACACCGACACUCAUGUAAGAUCACAUAUGCCAUCUAAUCAAGAGGUAAUUUAGGCUAUGGAUGACCACACCCAGAACAUAAGCAAUGAUUGUCGGCGUGUUAUGAAUAUGACGAGAUCAAGCAUAUAAAUAUGACUUUUUGAGGAAGACAACCCCCAAUUUGCCCUCAUAGAAGACAUUAUUGUCGAGGCACAAAAUGCCUUGUUGUACAGGCAGAUAAGCCGAUGGAUUAUACAUACUCUGUAUGUUAUGUUUGGUUGUAUUGUUUUUUGUAUUUUUGAAAUAAUUAUGUAUGUUCAAUAUAUUUUGAUUUUACUUUAAUUAAUGUGUGACUUUUUUAAUGUAUGUGUAGCAUGUUUGAAUAAAUUAAUGUAUCUGUUUUUUAAUUUAUGGCCUAAAAAGAUCUAAAAUAUAAGUUGAUCUAAAACAUUUACAAUGUUAAGACAAUGUUAGAGCCUUGAAAGCAUUCAGGGGAUUUUCAGAGAUGUAUCUUCAAAAUAUCUCAUGUGUGGAAUAAACACACUCUUAAUACAUUUUAAAUGAUAUUUUAGAAAUGUAUCUUCGAAUAUACCACAAAAAACUUACAAAAAUACAUCUCUAAAUUAGAUUUUAAAAUAAAAUAAGAUGUGUGUCUAGAUUAAUUUUUUUUGUGUGAUUUUAAAUACGAUGAGAUAUGCAUCUCCUAACCCUAAUAAAAAUAUUUUGGAGUUAUGAGAGGGAUUGGGGGCACUCAUAAAGGUGGAACGAGCUAAACUAAUUCCCGUAAACUAUUAUUCAAGGCCCAUUAACAAUGGCCCAGCUAAUCAUCAUUGACACGUGAGAAGAGAGCCAUUGCUUCACUUACCUUACCGUCUUGCUCCGCCGUGUCUCCUCCUUGCCACGGUGCCGCUUACCUUCAUUGUCUAAUACAUCGUUAGUCCAAGUUCGUUGUCAUAUAGUUAUAUUCGGUACGUUUCUUAAACUUCCAUGCUCAUAUUUCUAGGGUUUGUUUCAUUUAUCUUUGAUUGAGUUUUGAACUAUCCAAGUUUAGUUUGACAGAAAAAUCAAAUUGUUCGCAAGGUUGCAUAUAUGAAUUGCAUCGUGUAUCUGUAAGAUUUUUCGUUCUAUUCGUAUACUUUCAAUUUACUCUCUUUAUGGUAGCAUUCAAUCCUGUAAUUAGUUACCAAUUCAUAGUGUUGGUAGAACUAUAAGAGUUUGCUUUGUGUUUGAUUCGUUUUCACAAUUAUUAGCUAUAACCUCCUUGACAGUGUUCACCUGGAAUGGAGUCUAAUUGCGGAAAUACACCUCCCAGAACACAAUGCUUGACUUCACCACUACCCCUAGCGCAUCAAGAGUUGUUGCGCCUUACAAAUUAGACAUUUGAACAAAUAAUUAUGAGUAAACACUCAAUUGAGGUCUCUUACAUGGUUUUAAAUUGUGGUCAUAGAUGUGAUUGCGGGUUUGCGAUUACGGGCAAUGCGCAUUGCGUCCGUUGGGAGGUUUGAAAUAUACAGUUUAAGAACACUUAUGUAAGAUUUUUCAUUCCAUCGGGAGUAAAUUGAGUUUUGGGAUUCUGAAAUUGUAGUUUUGGGAUUCUGAAAUUGUAGUUUUGAUAAAAAUACUUGAAGAAAUAUGGGAAAAAAUUUCUUAUAUGUAUUUCUAUAGGCGACCGGACGCAUGGUUUUAAUUCACACCGCAGUUGUAGUCCGAUGCGGUUGCAGAGGCUACUGCAUCAGCAAUAUUGCGGCUGCAAUUGCGGUUGCAGACUGAAAUUUGAUACCAUGGUCUCUCACGUUGGGUACUCGUACUCCUAUCAAGUAGUAUCAACAUGGUCUCCUACUUUAUCGACAUUCCAAAUUAGUAUCCAACUUAUCAAAACCGGGAUCAAUUUAGUCCCUAUGUUAGUUUCGGUUGAAGUGAUGAUGUGUCACGUUAAGUGACAUGUUGGCACUGAUGGACCAUUUUGAAAUUUUGAAUAUUUAUCUAAAGCAAAGAAUUCAACUGAUUCUAGUGACAAAAGUCAGAACUAUUUUGGAUAUUUACUCAAUUAGUUAAUCAUCAUAACUGUAUGACCUGAAAUGCUACUUGUAGACAAAAGCUGUGAAAAUUAACAGGAAUAUCUUGAAAACUUAAAUAUAAAAUACCCUACUUUAGUUAUAAACUAAGCACUAAUCUUUUUCCAGCAUUAUUAUAACUUAUUUUUGGUUAAUCGUGCAGGAGUUACCAUAUCUGUAGCAGAAAGAGAGGAGUUUGACAGGUUGCAGAGAAGAAAGUAGAAAGAAGAGUCAAUUUAUUUGUGCUACAACACAGGGCUGUGGGUGAUGGGAAGCAGCGGCCAAGGAGAGGUUGUGGUUGGUAAAGAAGAGGUUAUCGCUAAACUCAAGGAUGAUGGCGACUUCGACAAGCUUCGUUUAAAGAUCAUUCGUAAGCUCAAGGACAAUGUAUGCUUGACUCCAAAUUCCCUAUUUAUAUGAAAUUUCAAAUUUGUACUUCUUCUGAUGUAGUCUGUAUCUAACUAACCAGGCUAUGAAUAUGGUAAUAAUAUUCUAAAUCAGACUUGCGAUUGGUUUGAAAUAUCUUGUUAUUGAGUUUUUGUGGCUUUGUGUAAUGGACCAUUUGGUUUCUGAGUUUGCGUAUUUUCUAAUUUAAAAAAUACCAAAUAUAAAUCUGAAUCUGCCGAUUCAUGACAGGAAGAGCUACGACAAUAUAUUACCUCAAUCGUUAAACAGUCAGAGGCGCUCAAUCGUGCUGGAGCAGAAAAUAUGAAACCUAGACAGCUUUCUGAUGUCAUAUAUGAAGAAGUUGGGUAAGUUUUUCCCGCACCUAGUGUCUUUGUAAAUUGCAUUUCCACAUUUGUACUCUUGAUUCUUGAUGUUCCUACCGAAAUUGCAUUUUGUUUUCAUGUUGUGACUCUGUGCAGUUGAGUCAGUUGAGGUUAUGUGGGAACUGUAUUAUUAUUUUGCGUCUAAUUUUUUUCCAGUGAGAAUGUAAUGAGCCGCAUAUCAGAUAGUUUAUGGCAAAUAAUCAGAUCAGAUGACGGCAUGAAAGGUGAAAUCACCGAAACAGUGCAAUCUGUCUACGAUAAGCUGGCAAACCCCAAAGGGAAAGAUGACGUUCUUUUAUCAACAUCUGAUGCAAUGCCAGGUCAGACUCAGGGUGAGACAGCUUCAGCUACUGAGAAUGACGAUUCUUUGCAUGAAAAUGAGCCGCAAGAGCCGCCAGGUUUCACUCUUGUACUGAAUCAUCCGAAUAAUAACAACCAUGAGGAUCAAGAUAAAGAGAAGGCACAAGUUCAGAGGCAAAGGUCGACUGCAGAGUGCAAGGAAGAUUCCCACCCGUCACAGGAUACACUUGUUGAAGAUGAUCAUAACAUUGCGCCUUCUGGAUUUUCAAAAGACAUGGAGCAUAGUCCAGUAGCUGAUUGUAGUGAUGAAGACCCUGAUGUACCGCCUGGUUUUGGUUGACGAAUUGAAAGGUAAUUUUUUUUCACAAUUAUUAUGAUAGUUUUGAGAGAUAGUGGUUUUGCAAGCACAAAUUAGCUUUUGAAAAUUAUAUCUCUUAACAAAUAAUGAAAGGACACAUUAUUUUUCAAUCUAACCUAUGUUUAUUCACUUUAUCAUUUUUAUUUUUUUUAUUUGACACUUUUCUAAAAAAGUGUCUAACAACAAAUUGCGAUUCAAGGAUUCUUAAUCAUGAUAGAUUAAGAGCAAAUACGUCCUCAUUCAUUAGUGAUACUCAAUAAUUAACACUCCAAGAAGAAAACAACACGGUUAGCUAGCAAACUAAACCCAAGGCCUAAUAACACUUAUAUGGAUUGAUUGAUUAUCAUAAAUUUAUAUAUCUGUUGCCAUGAAUUUUCUUGUGGUACACGUUGACAGAUAUUGCAAAUCAAAAGUGGUCACCAACUUAAACUUGUGGCAAACCGAAUAAUGUCUUUGAUAGAUAAAUAAAUUAAUAUUAUAAUCCAUGGAAAUAAUGAAGUGUCGAUUUGUUUAGCAUACUUUAGUAGUACUUAUAGAGAUUGACACAUUGGUUGCCACAACAUACAGAUAAGAAAAAGUAGAGGAUCCAGCGAUUAUAAGACAAUCAUCUUUUAAUGUUUACUAAAAAGCAGAGUAAAACUAACCCAUUUGAUAGCAUAAUUUGGUUUAGACAUGAUAUAAUAUCCCGCAUUCAUAGAGAUUCUUACAAACCUUUCUUGAGUUUGACAAAGAAAAUAUACUUUGAUUUGACAAAGAAAAUAUACUUUGAUUGAGUUUGAGUUUAAAUUUGAUUUUUUUUUUCAAUUACAAAAUACGACGGAUUGGAUAAUAGAAACAUUAUUAUUCAUCCUGAAUCUGCCUCAUUCAUUUUAUUAUGUUAUUGAAAGAUUGUCUCUAGCCUGCAAGAUUGUGCUAUUGAAAGAUUCAUUAUGGUACAAUUUUUUUUUUGAAAUUUGUAUACAAAUGUCUUAGACAUAUUCUAUGUUCAAUGAACUCAAACAUCUCUUCAAAAAUAGCAACAAGAUCCUCCACAAAUAAACAAUAUGGUAUAACAGACCCUUCACGAACUACACAAUAUACACAAAAUACACCGAUACAAAUAAGCAUAAUGCAUGAUAUCUUUUGUUGAUCUGAUAUAAAUACAUAUCUUUUAUGUUGACCAAUAUCUUCCGUAAGCAGCUGUAAGAACCACCUCCAACUUUUUUUACUCCCAGUCUCCACAACGCCAAAUGCUAAUGGAAAGUACUGGUCAUUUGGAUCCUUAACUGCAACAGUAAGUAAUUUGCAACCAUACUUUGUCUUCAAAUGACACUCAUCCACUCUAAUAAAGGGUCGACAUCCAUUAAAAAAAUACUUUCUUACAACCAUCAAAAGAGAAAUAAAAACUACCAAACCUUGGUGAAAUGGUUGGAAGUGGUCUCACAACAUUAAUUUUCACAGUAUUUCCAUUACUUUGGUCCCAACUUAUGCAGCGUACCUCCAUAACAUAGAAUACUAUUUAGCUAGAUCACCUUCAAUAAUUUCCCUAGCUAUAUGCUUGGCCCUCCAUGGUCUUUGAUAUGGGGUAAAUGCAUCAUUUUUCUUACUUGUUUUAUUUCCAUUUGCAUGAUUGUUUGCAUAAUUUUAGUUCGCUUUUAUGCGUUUUUGUCAUCCUUUUGUGUUUUUAGGUAAUAAGAGGUCAAAUGAUCGAAUCAGAACAAAAAAUACCAAAAAUCGCACGAAAAGGGAUCCCUUCCAUACGAAUUUCCCGAUACCAACACGACUUUGUUGUGUCCCAUGAUAUGGGCCGUGUUGGCCCUCAACACUGCUCCCAUACAAAGAAAGAGAGGCUGACACGGCCAACUUGUGUCCUCUGACAUGACUUGUGUCAGCUUUCCAGGUAGUUUCAAACUCUUGAAUUUUUCGAUUGUUUUUGUGACAUUUGAAACUUUGUAACCCCUAAGACAUUAUGUUAGUGUUUAAUGAUGAUUAUGCACGAAUUAAUGGCGUUUAAAGCACAAAAUUAUUGUUGUUUACGAGGGAUUUACAAUUAGUUUUAGUAUAAAUAAGACUUGAGUUUCAAGCAAAAAGAUAGAGACAUUUUGGGGGGAGACGUUAAAGAGGCCUAGCAGUGAGACUUAACAAACUCUAUCCUCCAUCACUUGUACAACUUUUCACUUAGGCUUUGUUUGGAUUGAUGGAAUCGAAUGGAACAGAGCGGAAUGAGAUGGAGUGGAAUUAUAUUCCAUUGUCUGGAUCACUUAAAAUGCGAUGGAGCGGAGUGGUAUGGAUUCCAUUCCAUUCCAUCACUUACCAUCAUAUUUCUUCUCCUCCAAUUUGGACGGAAUGAACAACUUGCCUUAUUCCAUUCUAAAAUUUCCAAACAAUGGAAUGGGGCAUUCAUUCCGCUCCGUCCUACUCUGCUACACUCCAUUCUGCUCCGUUCAUUUUAUGAUAUCCAAACAUAGCCUUAGAUCAUUUCAUACAAUUGUUAUUUUCUUGAGUUCUUGGCUUCAAGCUCUUGCUACUCUUUUGUAAUUUUCUACACUUUUCUUAUAAUCUUGCUUUCAUUUUUAUUAUUUCCUUUACUUGUCUUAAUUUAUUUAUUCUUAUUGGAAUAUUUCUAAUAUUUGUUAUUGUUGUUGCUUUCUGUUUACCUUGAAAAUUGAUAAACAACCGCUGAUCUUCCAAAUUUUAAAUUUGGUUACUCACAGGAUCGAUCAGAUUGAUCCUAGGACAUGUGCUAACUGUUUUUAAAGUGAAUUCUAGUAACUAUGAACACUUCGACAAUGUAUGUGGAACUGAUGAUUAAAACCUAGAUAGUAAAAAGAUAAUAUGAAUUAAAGAGAAAAAUUGUAAAAGAACGUGAUGAUAACCAAGUAGCAAAGGCAAAUGUUCGAAACAAAGAAGUAUUAAGACUGUUUGAAAUAACGAAAUAACAAAGACGGCUUGAAAUAAAGAAGUAAAAAGAUGUAUUUCUAAAAAAGUAAAGGUAAAUUGUAUUGCUUCAAAAGAACUAACAACGGUGUAAACAAGCGUAUAUUUCUUAAUUUACGGUUCCUCUUCACACUGGUACUUGGUAAAUUUUACAGACUCUGUACACACUUUGACACACCCUUGAUCCUAACACUAAGACCCUUUAUUUACACUCAAUCAAAAUAACCGUUUCUAACGACCCUUCAAUCACGUCGAGACACAUGGCAUUUUGCAUGGAUGCAACUAUCCAUUAUGCCUCACGUAUACCUUUGAUCGCGACUUUGGUAAGUCUAUGUGAAUCGUGACUGCAAGUGCACAGUCCUAUCGCCUAGUUUUAUAGAUUAUCGAACCCAUAAGGACUAAUAAUCGAACGUAUCGUGGUCUAAUGUUGCUAUGCAAAUCUAAGGCUGAUGAUUGUUCUAUGAUUGGAGGGAUGAAGAGAAAUAACUAUAAUGUAAAUAGAAUAAAGAUAUGAGAUAUAAGGGAUAUCGGUAUGUAAUACAUCAAACUUAGGGGAUUCGAUAGAUAAUUGGUGUAAUAUUAUUGAUUAAAAUAUUCUUCAGUAGAAAUUAUUUAUAGAAAGGACUUAGUCUCACACUCUCGUUUUUAUUGACUCUGACCAUACUUCUAAACCAGAAUGAUUGGCUCUCGCGGUCUCAUUUUGAAUUUAAAAGUAUUUUUUGAAUAUAGAUAAAGUCUAAUUAAUCAUAAAGCGCUCUCGCUGUGUUUAGGAUCAAUGCUUAGUUUCAGUUAUCUGGUUAAAAUCUCAAACUCUCGUUCUUGUUGACCGUAACCUUAGUUUGUUUUGUACUCUCGUACGAAAAACAGUUUGAUUAAAAUAAGAAACUAAAACCGGAAAAAUAAGUUUAUUUGUUUUGUACUCUCGUACGAAAAACAGUUUGAUUAAAAUAAGAAACUAAAACCGGAAAAAUAAGUUUUAUAAAAACUAACACCAAUUAUUUAUUGAAUCCCGUCGUUUCGACGGUCUUUACAUACGGAUAUCUAAGGGUUUAGCCGGACAUAGAUCCGGUAGCAGACAUGGCAAUUGGGGAAUUAAACAUACAGUAAGGCAUACAUAAAUAAAAUAAUAAUCAAUAAUAAACCUGGAUUGCAAUCUAAGACUUGGAAUUGAAUCUUGAAUCUUCGAUUAAAUAAUUCCGGCAAGCUUUGACAAUGAAUACCUUACAAUUGAGUCCCAAAUACGUAAAAAAUAAUAAACCGUAAUAGUCCCCGAUGUGGAGAAACUAUCACUUUUACAAUGGUAAGAAAACUGUCUAAAAAAACUAAAAGAAAAAUAGUGUUGAACAAUAUUAAGCGUAGACUUGAAAUCUGGAAGAAGAGAGAGAGUGCUCGUGCGAGUCUGAGAGAGUCUUUUUUAUAUCCUUUCCAUAUUCCUCAUUUGUAGCAAAAGUAGUGAAAAUCGUGGCUAAAAAAGUGGAGGAAAAAUAGGAAGACUAGGUUGUGGCGGUUGCCACAACCCUAGCUUCAUGUUGAGUGGCAAGCGCCACUCUUGUAGCAACUGCCCACCACUUCUCAAGGGUUGGUGGCGGACGCCACCUCCCUAUUGGGCCUAUGUGGCGGGUGCGACACUCUUUGGAUAAUGGACGCCACAAACCCAUCUGCUUUGGUGGUCCAUUAUCACUUUGGAAACCUCAUUUUCUUCUCUUUUCUUGCCUUUUUCUUUCCUUUUUGCUAUUUUCCAUUUUUCUUGUAGUAAACCUUUUAAUCGAUAAAUACCUGCAAUAAAGAUAAAAUACUGUGUAAUAAUAAGUGUUAAUCGAGUAAAAAGCAAUGCAUAUGGAGCCAAAAAUACGAUACGUUUUCGCGGUAUCAAACUCCCUCAUACUUAAACCUUUGCUUGUCCUCAAGCAAAUGCCGCGUACAUAAAAAGUUUUGUAAAAUAUUUGCAGCAUAUAUUAUCAAGACUCGUAGAAAACACAGUUGCAUUCAGAUACUCAUUCUAGUCUAUAAACUUUACUUUGGUUCCAAAUUGUAUUAACAGGUACUUACUUCCACAAUAAGGGUAUCGUUAGAACACACAAUCGCAAUGUUGCAACCAUAAGUCUCCCUCCUAUACAAACCAAUCUAAAUCAUGUUGUCAUGCCUAAGCGUACCUUACUAAACCUUCUUUUUAUCCUUUUUCAUUCUGGCGCAAUCACAUUAAGUCUGUUAUCCUUUCACAUUCUUAGUAAGAUAGUUUGUUAGUGAUUAUGAUCUCAUCAUUAUUUAUUAAUUUCUUUUUCGCACUUUGGCUCAAAUAACAAUUGAAGAUGGUCAUACCGUUGGGCUAAAUGACUGGGUGAGGAUCACCUAACUUAGAGGGAACAACGUUUUUCAUACAUUUCGUAAUCUUUUCUUCUUUUAAGCCUGAAAUCAUACACUUAUUUGCAUCGACUUCUUGCGUACUGUGUGCUUAAGAUGAUGCUGACUGCUAGAUAAACUACUUAAGGAAAUAUUAAAGGAUAGAAUUUAAGCCUAUGACAUGACAAGUACUCAAAUCGAUCUUAUACUCGGGAGAUUUAAGGUGUUAAAAAGAUACCGAUCUUAUAAAGCUUUUCCAAAUCUCUACAAUUCAACCUCAGUUUGAUUUAUAGUUCAGAAUUUUCAAAAGAUGCACUGUAUCUCUAAGUCUAGAUUUUUGCAAAAUUUUUGUAUGGCUUAAAAAAUAGGAGAAUCAGUAAAUAACGGAAACCACGCAUAAAGACUCGACAAUACAUUGAUAUUUAACUCGACUAACACUUUAACAAAAAUUAAAAUAACCAUAGAAAUUAUAAAAUAACAAAAAUAAAUAACAAGCGAUAAAUAAAAAGCGGUAAAGCUUCCUCCCCCAUACUUAAAUCUUGCAUUGUCCCCAAUGCAACGACAUAAGAUAGGAGAGAAAGGUAGAACCUGGUUAUUCUGCUAUUGACGACGUCUGUCACGUGUACGUGGACGUCCACUGUUUCUUGGCUGGUGAGGUGGCAUAUAGUUCUGGAGAUCUUCCACACGCAUUGUCAGUGUUGUCAUUUCAUCGAUCAAGUCAGACAUGUUCUGUUCGGUUCUGAAAGCGUAGUCGUGCUUAUCAUGCUGCAUUUGGCGAAGGAUUUGCAUCAUUUCAGUUUGUUGAGCUCCCAUGGUUUGGAUCUGUAGGUCUCGCUGAGCGUCUAAUUCUCUAUGCCGCAGCAGUUCAGCAUAGAUCUCAUCAAGAGUGGUUGGUGCCACAUUUCUUCUUGGUCUUUGACUGGAAGAUGUACCUGCAACAUUUUCAAAUGACGUGUGUGUGGUGUGCGGGUCAGUAGCGGGAGCAGUUUGCUCUAGAAUGUGAUCCUCAUCGGUGUCCCCGCCAGCAGCUACAUUCUCAGGAAUGUGCGCGAGGACUUGGUUAGGCACCAGAUCAUUAAUAUAAUAAUAGUUAUCCGGGUUGCGCACAUCUGUGCGAUUUGGAUUUAGGAGGAUAAAUUCUUGUAACACAUUAUUAA